rnacentral:lncRNA from 1 species
GAUAGUAAUUAUCUCACUGGGGAGAUACCAGCAUCCCUCGGAAACAUCACAAAUUUACAACAAGUCAUUUUUUCAAAAAAUCAGCUCAGUGGUAGAAUUCCCGACGAGGUUAUGCAAAUGCCAAACUUAAUGGAGUUGCACCUAGACCAAAAUAACCUAUCAGGUAGUAUUCCUGAGGUUUGGCAAAUGCCAAACAUAUUGCUGUUAGACCUAAGCGUAAAUAACCUCUCAGGUCGAAUUUAUUUUCGAGCUCUAUCUAAUGUAUCUUCUCUUCAGGGAUUGUCCUUGGCAUCAAAUAUGCUAGGCAGCACAUUACCAUCUAACAUUGGAGAUGCUCUACCGAAUCUCACGAUUCUAUACUUGGGUGAGAACUAUUUCGAGGGUCACAUUCCAGCUUCCCUAGGAAAUCCUCCAGGUCUAGGAGUCAUAGAUCUCUCAUCGAAUUAUUUCACCGGCCAAAUCCCAAAUUCUUUGGGAAACCUUUCACUGCUGUCUUUUCUUAACCUUGAUCAAAACAUGCUUCAAUCAACAGACAAUGAAGGUUGGGAAUUCAUCCAUGCCCUGGGAAAGUGUAGAUCUCUAGAAAAACUUUCAUUGUCUAAUAAUAAGCUACAGGGAGCCGUACCAAAUUCUAUUGCAAACCUGUCCAGCACUCUUACACAUCUGCUAAUGUCUGAAAACAGUCUAUCAGGAACAGUUCCCCCACGUAUUGGAAAAUUUAGUUCCUUAAUUCAACUAUCACUAGAUCAAAACAAUCUUACCGGUACAAUUGAAGAAUGGGUUGGAAAUAUGACAAAACUAGAACGUUUGAAUCUCCAAUCAAACAGCUUCGUCGGGAUAAUUCCACCUUCCAUUGGCCAACUUACACGGUUGACAUAUUUAUUUCUUGCUGAAAAUCAAUUCACUGGGUUUAUACCACCUAGCUUUGGAAACCUUACAUCAUUGUUGGAGCUGAACCUUAGCUACAACAAUUUCAACGGGUACAUACCACCAAACUUUCGAAACCUUGAACAACUCAUACUAUUUGACCUUAGCUACAACAAUCUACAAGGUGACAUAACUCUAGAUAUUAGCAAACUUAAACAGCUCACAGACCUACGUCUUUCAUCAAACAAGCUUACCGGAGAAAUCCCAGAUACUUUUGGCAAGUGUCAACAAUUAGAAACCCUCCUAAUGGACCAAAAUUACCUCAAAGGAAACAUCCCACCAUCUUUCAAGGGACUACAGAGCCUCAAAUCACUAAAUCUUUCUCACAAUAACUUGUCUGGCACCAUUCCAACUAUUUUGGAGGAUCUAUCGCUUCUCAAUAAGCUGGAUCUUUCAUAUAAUCAUCUCCAAGGAGAAAUACCAAUGAAUGGAGUCUUUGCAAAUGCAACGGCUAUUUCACUCAAUGGCAACUGGGGGUUCUGUGGAGGAGUGAUGGAUCUCCAUAUGCCUGCAUGCCCUGCGGGUUCUCCGGAAAUAGAAUGGAAACGCUAUGUGAUCAUCUUACUGAUUCUAGUAUUUAGCUUCAUGUCACUCGGGAUGUCAAUUUACGUUAUAUUUUUUGGGAAGAAGGCACGGAGGCCAUACUUAUUAUUACUUUCUUUUGGUAAGAAAUUCCCUGGAGUUUCUUACAAGGAUUUAGCCCAAGCUACAGAGAACUUCUCAGAGUCCACCCUAGUUGGGAGAGGAAGCUAUGGUUCAGUAUACAGAGGGAAGUUAACUGAAGCUAAAAUCGAAGUAGUUAUUAAGGUCUUUGACCUUGAGACAAGAUUUGCGGACAAAAGUUUUAUUUCAGAAUGCGAGUCUUUGAGAACCAUUCGGCAUCGGAAUCUUCUUCCUAUACUAACUGCAUGCUCAACGAUUGACAAUAAUGGCAACGAUUUCAAAGCACUAAUUUAUGAGUUCAUGCCCAACGGGAAUUUGGAUACAUGGUUGCAUCAGAAACAUGGUGGUGUAGUUCCAACACAUUUGGGCUUAGCUCAGAGACUAAACAUAGGUGUUGGCAUGGCUGAUGCACUGGCCUAUUUACACCAUGACUGUGGAAGGCCUAUUGUCCACUGUGAUCUGAAACCAACUAAUAUACUUCUUGAUGAUGACAUGAAUGCUCAUUUGGGAGACUUUGGCAUUGCAAAUCUCAUUGUUGAUUCCAGAUCAAUAGCAGUCGGACAUUAUUAUUCAUCUGGCUGUAGUAGUUCACUCGCUGUGAGAGGAACUAUUGGGUAUAUUGCUCCAGGUAUAAAUCAAGAAUGUUGCCAUCUCUUCAUGUAUUUGUAUAAAACAAUCUGUUAUUCACUCAAUAAUUUUCCUCUAUUUUAAGAGUAUGCUCAAACUGUUCAUGCAUCAACCUGUGGGGAUGUUUAUAGUUUUGGAAUACUACUCCUGGAGAUGAUUCUAGGCAAAAGACCAACUGAUUCCAUGUUUGAGGGUGGGCUCACCAUUAUCAAUUUUGUGGAGAGAAACUUUCCAGAUCAGGUGUUACAUUUCAUUGAUGCUCAUCUCCAAGAAGAAUGCAAGGACUUUGUUAAAGCGACGGCGUCAACAGAAAAUGAGGUCCAUCGAUGCGUGUUAUCUCUCGUGCAAGUUGCUCUUGCUUGCACGCGUUCAUUGCCAAGAGAAAGAAUGAGCAUGAGAGAAGUAGCCGUAAACUUGCAUGCAAUCAGGAGGUCGUAUGUUGCAGCGACUAAAUGAGGGCAAGCCAUGCUUCGCUAUACCUUUUGCAAUUAGCUUGGGUUAUUGGGUAUCUUUAAAUGUAAUUGGAAUAAAUAUGGCAAAUUAGGCAUGAGUAGCAUGCUGAGAUUGAUGAAAGCUAAUAUAUGUGAUUCUCUUUUAAGCCGCUAUAGGCGUGUAACCCAAAACUCUUAAGAUAGUGAGAUUGUUGCUGGCUAGUGCCCGUGGUUUUUCCCCUUCACAUCGGAGGGGUUUUCCACGUUAAAUCGUGUGUCUCCUCUGUGGCUUAAUUCUUUACUUCAUAUUUCUAUACGUCGUUCAUAACACAGACAUCGUGUUACCGCUCAUGCUAGGACUUGGGAUUUGAACAUUUGGAAAAUGGAUUUGGUAAAGCAUCAGUGAUUUUGGUGAAGUGAUCUUAUAUGGCUUUGAUGGGUAAUGUCCCAUACCGGAAUACAUUGGGACUGCACUGUAAUCUAGAUGCGAAUCUGCAAUAACCCACCUAGAAUUGGUACAGAUCCAUCAUCGAAAUCCCAAACUGGAAUUACCUUCCACCUUCCACCAAUCACUUCACAGAAUAAGGGCUAUUGAGAUCAUUUCAUACUGGGUGUGCAGCCGAAGAUCGGACAUGUGCCGGGCCACGCGCGCUGCUCGCAGACGAUGCGUCGCCACCCACCCGCCCGCCGUGCCUCCGCGCGUGGAGCGGCCGAGAUUUACCCGCAAUUGCACGGUGCUGCUGCGGUCGAGGUGAGGGCACUCCAGCGCUAGCGCUACUGUGUGGCUGGCUUGCCGUCAUGGCAUCAUUGGGCAAGGCCGAAUGUGUUCUGAGCUACUGACUGGUGUGUCAUUUUGAGCCUGACCCCUGACGACGGCGGGUUCCAUUUGCGUUGAGCGCUUGUGUGUGUGUGUGUGUGUGGGGGGGGGGGGGGGGGGGGGGGGGGGUUGUCGUGAUCCCUCAAGUCUGGUAGACCCGGAUUUCAUCGCAUGAGGAUGGAUUUUUCUCUCUUUAAAAAAAGUUUAUUUUUUGUCAAAUUGGGUAUUUGGAUGGUGCUACUACCAACCAUGCAUGUCCAGCGACGCUAACAAAAAGUGGGGGAAAAACACCUGACAUGUUGACGGAUUAUUUGGCCUCGAGUCUGUCCUCCACGUCUCUGCAAAAGCUUGUGUAUGUGCAAAACCCCGUGGUCCGUAGAGAAGUACGCCAGCAUGCAAUUGGCCCUUGAGUGUUGAGUCUCAAACAGAAAGAACAUCGGUCACUCCAGUAAGGCAUGCUAAUGUACAAUGGUGUCGAGAAAUUUUGCAGUAACAAUUCGUAUCUACGAGUAAUUCAGAGGUGAAGGGGACUUCAGAGUUCAGGUAUCCUUUCCUUGUAGAGUUAAGUGGUUUCUGAAUAGACGAUUUAUCUCACUCGCUAGAUAUUGUCUCCAAUUCUUCGUACAAUACUCUCUUUUCAAAAAAAAAUCUUCGUACAAUACUCACCAGGAGCAAAAUCGUGAGCGGCAUCCGUGAUACCUCCGGAUUCGAAUAUCGAAUACUUACAAGUUUACUUGACCCGCUGCGUUGUCUAGGAAAACAAUGAGUAAAUCACAUCCGCAAAAAUACAGUCUGAAAAAUUGAUUUGGAAACGAGAAUCCUGUAGACGCAAACAAUUCCACGAGCCGAGUUUUGUCAGAAUCACAGGCGGACGAGACGUGUAACACGUCAGUGCGUAAAAAUCGUUGUCCUGUUCAGGCUGAAAAGCACACGCAGGAGCAGGAGUAGCAGUAGACCACCGGCGGGAUGUGCUAGCUGCUGCCAGGACAUGCCGGGAUUUGGUAAGAAAUUCCCUAGAGUUUCUUACAAGGAUCUAGCUCAAGCUACAGAAAACUUCUCAGAGUUCAACCUGAUUGGGAGGGGUAGCUAUGGUUCAGUGUACAGAGGAAAGUUAACUCAAGCUAAAAUGCAAGUGGCUAUCUAGGUUCCGCGGGUCACCGGAGCUGCUAGUAGAGCUGUCCACCAACUAUAUUAGGAAUCAUGCCUGUCCCAAUGGCUCGGGUCAAUAUUUGGACAUCUUAUCCAUGUACUCAUCUCGAUCCAGAUUGUUCUUGCAAAGUUGCAGUUGGCGAAAAGAUGAUGCCCAUAUCCUGUCUUGUAUAGCCAGCCAACUAAAGAACUUGCACUUUGGAGGCGUCCAUGCUUUCCAAAUUAGGUUCUCAAAAUUAGUCUCCGUGGACCCUAUGAGUUGUGCUCGAUAGGCCGACUGUGAGUUGUACUUCCCGUCUGCUAUGAGCUUCCAUGCGAUGGUGUCCGGGAGACCCGAUCUUAGCUGCAGUCGGCUGACCUUGAUCCAUAAUCGAUGAUACUCAAUAAAAUGUGCCACGGAGAAACCUCGAUGUAGAAGGUUUAAAUCUCGUAUCCAUGUGUCGCCCGUCAUCGCAUCUAUAACGUCCUGUUCUUUCUUAUGGAGAUGUGAAAUAGGUUCGGCGCCAUGUCCCUGGGCCUUUGUCCAUGUACCCAGCAACUGUCCUAGAAUGAUAUUUUCUUGCCGUCUCCGAUUGUAAUCGUGGUUGCCGCAGCAAAAAGCUUACGGUCAGCUUUGGAGCAGGUAUCUUGCGUCCCUCCCAAGAUGGCCCGUCAUUCAUCCAAUCCUGCCAAAACCAACACAGACGUAAAGCUCUGGAAAACUUUCCGAGGUGCAGUACUCCGAGUCUGCCCCCGUUCCUAGGCAUUGCUGACCACGUCCAAUUCACCUUGCACUUGCCGCCUGUGAUUGGCUUCAUUCUUGCCCAUAGGAAUUGUUUCCGCUUAGCAUUAAUGGUCUUCAUUAUUUCUUUAGGUGCUUUGAGAGCCAUUAGCAGAUAAACCGGUUGUGCGGUUAGGAUGGAUUUAACCAAUGUGAGCCUCCCGGCUGCCGUCAAAUUUCUUCUGCUCCAACUGCUUAGCUUGCCAACUACCUUGUCUGCUAGCGGAAAAUUUCUUCUGCUCCAACUGCUUAGCUUGCCAACUACCUUGUCCGCUAGCGGUUGGAAGUCGACCGCCUUCAGGCGCACUGUGGACAGUGGUAGGCCUAGAUAUUUGAUUGGGAAGGUGCCACACUUUGCCGGUAGACUCUCCGAUACCUCGCUCAAUUGUACGCCUUCACAACAGAUAGGGAUGACUGUUGAUUUACGGAAAUUUGUUUUGAGCCCUGUUACUUCUCCAAACAUUCCCAAAAUGUUGACUAACACAUCUAUUUCCACUUUCCUUGGCGCUAUAAACAUCACCGCAUCGUGAUGUACGGCAUGACGGUACCCUUCCACAUAGUCUGCUAAGGACUCCCAUAUCGGUUGCCAAAUCUAAAAGCCUUUGCAGCGGGUCGAUCGCUAUGACAAAGAGCAGCGGGGACAGUGGAUCGCGUUGCCGUAAGCCUCUACUAUGCUUUAUAGGAGGAUUUCGGACGCCAUUUAGUCGGAUGCGUGCGGAUGAAGUGGACAGUAGCGUGUGGGGAAGCCUAGGUGGCACAGAAGUGAUAAUAGGUAAUCCCAUCGAAUGGAGUCAAAGGCUUUUGCAAUGUCCAAUUUGAGGAAGGUGGCCUGCACUUUGUUUCUAUGAUAUUGUCUAGCCGUGUUUUGCACCGUCAUGAAGUUGUCAUGAAUACUCUGUCUCUUAAUGAAAGCACUCUGACAUUUGUAGAUAAUUGAGUUCAUGUGUGGUUGUAAUCUAAUUGUCAAUGCUUUUGUGAUGAUCUUGAUGAAGGAGUGGAUGAGGCUUAUUGGCCUGAAGUCCUGUAUGGUGUUCGCUCCCUCUUUCUUUGGAAUUAGGAUGAUAUUAGCCGUGUUAAUUAGUUGGAGGUUGUUGCACCGGAGACAGUAGAACACGUUUACCGCUGCCAUUACAUCUUGUUUGAUGAUAUCCCAGUAUGAUUUUAGGAAUAAUCCUGUGAAUCCAUCUGGUCUUGGGGCUCUAUCACUCGGCAUGUUGUGGAUGGCUUGUUUGAUUUCCUCUUCGGAGAACGGUGAGUCUAGUGAGGAUAGAUCAUGCUGGUUGAGGUGAAGAAGGUCCCAAUUGAAGUCCGCACCACGUGGCUGAGGCUGCUACAUGGUUUCUCUAAAAAAGUUCUAGAUCUCAACGGAUUUUUCAUCGUGUGUGCAUGCCCAUCCAUUCUCCUUUUUAAGUUUCUGGAUGUAAUUUUUCCAUCGCCUGGAGUUGAUCCGCCGAUGAAAGAAACGCGUAUUGGCAUCUUCUAGUUAAGGUUCGUUAUUCUGCUUUCUUGAUUCUUACGUGCGCGUUCAAUGACAGCUAGUCCCAUGGCUCUUAAUUUGAGUCAGCUACGUAGGAGCUGCUUGGGCUCCGUAAGCGGUCAGUGUUCUUGUGCUAUGUCCAACCUCAGUAUCACUUCUAGGGUCAUAUGCAUCUACAUUUUCACAUUUGGUAUGAGGUGGCUGCUCCACUCCUUCAGUGCAACGGCUGUGGCAUGUAGCUUGUGAUAGAGUCUAUGGAAAGGCUCGACGUGUGGUGACUGCAUGUUCCACGCUCGGGUUACUGUUUCCUUGAAUCCUAGAAGCAUGUCUAGAAAUUCUCAAAUUUGAAGGAUUUGGGGCAUCUUGGCCCACUCUGGUUGGAAAGCAAGAUAGGACAGUGGUUAGAUAAGGAAGUUGAUAGGGCGUGUAGGACAUGAGGACUGAAGGCAUCUUCCCAUUCCGCAUUUGCAAAAACUCUGUCAAGCCUAACAGGGGUCAGAUUACGUCUUUCAUUGCUCCAAGUAAAUCUUCUAUUUUGCAGAUGAAUCUCACGUAAAUCACUAUCAUCAAGUGCCUGUUUGAACAAGUUCAUAAGCCUCAAGUUCAAUUUGUUGUUAUUUUUGUCGCUCACUUUGUAUAUGAGGUUGAAGUCACCUAGGACUAGCUAUUGAGAGCCAUGAGGAGGCUUUUGCGCUUGUAGUUCUGCUAGAAAUUGCGGUUUGUCGUUGGAUCCGGUUGGGCCGUAAACCACUGAGAGUGUGAAGAAGUUUGCCGUUUCAUGCAUUGUUACCCUUGCUGUUAUAUGAUAUUCUCCUACGAUCAUGUCAGUGAGCGCGACGUGAGUGCUAUUCCACAACAAUAGGAUACCGCAGCUGGUGCUAGAGAGGCCCCAGCUGGUUUGUAGGAGUAGCUGUCAAGCCUGUAACCCCCUAUAUAUGCGGCUGUAAAUUUGUCAAUGAUGCUUAGCUUUGUUUCUUGUAGGCACGCAAUGUGGCAUAGCGUGUUAGAGAUCGUCUCCCAUACCGUGUCCCUCCUCGCUCUCUGAUUUAAGCCUCUCACCUCCUCGCUCUCUGAUUUAAGCCUCCCACGUUCCAGCAUAGCACUUCAAGAUUCAUGCAUGAUUUGAUAGACUCUAGCCGUAGGAAGACAGGCAAAGCAGGUGAAGCAGGCAAAACAUGGGCGAUUCAUCACCAGCAGGUUGAGCAGCAGACAUACAGGGAAUCUGAUCUUAGACAUGAAGUGGCGAUGCAUAGUUGCAAGCAUGAUUGAACGACCAUUGCAGUGUGCUGGUUUUAAAGUUACAGACUCAAAGACAGGCAAGUCACAGGAGAACUGUAACGUGCAGCAAGUUCUUGCAGAGGUAACAACUUGGAACAUUGCAGAUAACAUGAUAAUUGGAGGACACUGGAAGGAUUGCUGCGCCUGGGUCAGUUCGCCGCCUGAAGAGGCAGCUGGGCAGCUGCUGCUUGGACGGCUUCCUCCUGGGAGUUGUUGUCGGCGUCACCUGCCCCUGGGUGGACAGCAGCUUCUCCCUGGAUGUCUUCGAUUGCAUCGCCUGCCACCCUUGCCAUUGCUUUGUCGAGCUCCUCAGCAACAGGGUCAUCGAGGUUGAAAGCCGCCGUCAGCGCCGCAAUCACGUCUUGCGGCAACGGUCCCUAGAACAUGGCUAAGAAUUCCUGCAGAGCAGCCUCGAUAGGCUGAAGUUCGUCAGUUAGAAGACCCAGUUUUCGAUAGAGAUUCUGUUGUGCCUGUCGGACCGCCGGCAUAGGCCUACGGUUGGACAAUCUUGCGCUACGUCGUACCGUCGACAUGUCGAAGACGCGUCAUGGAUGGCAGAUUUUGGUCACCUUCUGCUGUUGCUGCUGGUUCUGGUCCUCGUCGUGUACCUCCGUUGGUGAAACCUGGAGCACUUGCUCCGGCCUGGUGAAGAGCGCGCUGACGACGGUGUUGUCCUGUCCUCGUGUUGUCGCGGCCCUGCUGUUGAUGUCAGUAGCCCCUCCUUCAGCGCCACCGUGUGGCCCAGCCGUGCCGUAUGUGCUGUCGGUGGGAGCGGGCGCCAUCUGUUCAUCAUGAAGAGGGUCAGAGCGGAGGAGUGGUGAGCAAUGGGCGCUGUCCAGAAUUGGCGAUGUUGGUGAGAACUCCUGGUCCAGGCCGUGCAGUGCAGAUGCACCUGGAGGUCUUGUAACGCAGCAUCAACCUCCUGAAUGGAGACGGGAGCAGCAGAGACACCGUGAAGCCCCGCCGUGUCGUCUGUGCCGUCAGUGGGAGUAGACGCCAUCUGUUCAUCAUGAAGACGGUCAGAGGAGGUAUGGUGGAGUGGCGAGCACAAGGCACUGUCCAGAAGCGGCGAUGGUGGCGAGAGCUCCUGGUCCAGGCCGUGCAGAUGCACCUGGAAGUUCUGUAACGCAGCUUCGACCUCCUGAACAGAGACAGGAGCAGCGGCCGUGCUUGUGGUUGUGGCCUGGUGCUGCCAAGUCCUCCAGUAUGCGUUUGUACACAUGGGACACCUUGAUCAUCGGCGGAUUGAUUUUGUCCUUGCACCCACGCUCCUUGGACCAGACUUCAUCCCCUUCAUGUGGCAGACGGAGUGCGUCUGCCAAGCUAGCUGCUUUGUUGAUCUAGUCGUAGGAGGUGUACAGCUUAGGUGCUAUGUCAUCAUCUUCCCUUCCUUCCUGCACAGAAAAUUCCUGGCAGCCUCCUUCAACGUGGAGGCAUGGUUAGUGAACAGAAUUCUGGAGCUUCAUGGCUCUCUUGUCGCGCAGAGGACCAAACAACGAGAGCUGCUGAGGCCUGCUAGUGUCGGUGAUGGCGUGUUGGUGCUGGCGUCCCCUGUGCCUGCUUCCACCACCCCAAGUCCAGCACCUGGGCGAACGCUCCCACUCGCGGCCAGCCUCUCCGCCCGUGACCUUGUGUGCAUUGUGGGUGCGGCGAGCGCGGUCACCGUGCCCGUGGUGAUCAUGGUCGUCGUCGUCAUUGUUCCUCCGGUGCCAGACAUUCCACUUGCUGGUGUGGUAGUCGUUGUUGUAGCCUCUUCGCUGGCGGUUUUCUCUGUCAUCUCACCACUCGCCCUUCCCCGCCGCACUGCUCUGACCAAGGCGAGUUUGGUCCAAGCGUGGGGGUGAGCACGGCCGUGCUUCACGUUCCAUCGCCCUGCGUGGCUUCGUCUCCCCGUCGAUGUAGCCAAGAUGCUAAGGAGGAAGCCGGCAGAUCGCAAGCGUGCACACGACAUCCUGUCGUCGAGAAUGACGGACGCGAGCGUGUAGUCCUGGACCUCCUCGAGGUGGAUGAUGAUGCAGUGCUUGACACCGCGUUGCCACUGCCCGAGCGGUGCCUUGGACACUAACACAGACUUCAGCCUGGCAUCGCGCGCUCGACCGGUGAACAUGAGCCAGGCGUACUUGGGGAUGGAGCUUGGGUUCGCCGUCAAGCCCACAGGUUGAUGGUCUUCGUUUCUUCCGGCUGGUCAAGGUUGGUGUCGAUGGCUUCGAGGGUGCAAUUGCUGCUGAUGAGGCAUUCCGCGAUGUCAGCUUGCCAGGCAUGCAUUGGCACCCCGUUGAGGCAGAGUCUGACCUGGAAGAGGAGGACGGCGCCCUCAGCAUUGCAGAGACUCCUCCGUUUGGUGAAGAAGACUUCCACAAAGGACACUUUGGCCUUGCCCUUCUGGAGAGCUUCUGUGCAAUGAUGACUGUGCUUGAACUUGAUUAGAAAAGCCUCAGGAAAAUGGCGCGAGACUGUCACCUCUUCGUGGCGCAGCUUGAAGUCCUCCCUGAUGGCUCUCUUGACGUCGCGUGGGUCGAUUGGUUCCUGGCCGUGCACUACCCAGGUGAUCGCCACCGCUGUUUCCCACUCCCGCAGGUCGGCGUCGAUGUCCCGGUUGCUUGGACGAGGCAGUCCACCUGCUCCGGCCUUGUCGCGGGAUCACCGAGUCUUGACAUGGCCAUCGAGGGUGCGGGCUUUGGCGGUGGAGGUAGUUGUUUACGAGGUGGGGCAGAGUUUGGCGAGGUGGAGGCAGAGCUUGGCGGGGUUCCUGCUCCCGGUUGUCAAUGCACUUUGCAUGAUGGUGUGGGUGCUGAACCGGUGAGCUCCUCCUGUUGUGGUGCUUGGUAGUGCAGGACUUGGCGCGGUGGUCUGAAGCCAAGCAGAUGAAGCAGCUUCAGUUGGUUCUGGCACGGAACGCUCGCAAGCUUGGGGAAGACUGAGGUUAGGGGUGGUCGCAGGUGGAGCGUCGUGGAGGGAGGCCGUGAUGUUGUAGAGGUGGCCGGCGGGGUGGACUUGAAUGGUGCACUUUCCUCCACCAGUACGGCUGCCUAACGGGCACCCAGCCAUCCUGAGGAGUGAAUGAGCCAUUCUUGCGCCGCGCACCGGUCACCUCGGGCGCGUCUUCAUAGGCGGCGGGGUGGCAGGUGGGUGGAGGAGGCGUGUGGCAACGGGUGGAGUUACUGCUCCGAACAAACACAGUAAAGGCGGGCUGCAGAUUUUGAAAUCGCCAUGUCGAAGCUGGAUCCGCCAUAGUGAAGCCCUUGACGACCUGGGCGUAGGUACCACGGAGCUGGGAGCGUGGUCCUACUGCAAAUCCGACAAGACCUGCGCAACGGAUCUUACUUGGGAUGCUUCACUAGCCUUGGAUUUGCAGGGAACGGCUCCGGCGGAAGGGGAUCGGGGGGUGCGAACGCUGUCUAGAUCUUCAGGGGUCCCUCCCGAUCUGCCCGGGACCUGGGUGCUGGGUGAAAGGCCGGCGGUGGAGAUGGCCAGGAGGCUGCGGAGGCUCUGGGUGUGGCGUGGAUGCGGCGGAGGAGUGUGGCUGGUGGCGGGGCUGGGGUCGCCGCCGACGAGGGCGGAGUGCGCUGGGUGGGCAUCUUCUUUCUUUGUGUCUGUUAUUCGUGUCAGUAGUAUACAAUUAAUCUUGACCGUUGGAUAUUUGUAUACUCCUUUUUGAACACUAGCAUAACCUAGUAUUGUGUACCGUAAAAGAGCUCUACUUGGGAGACUUCGGAAUCGCAAGCCUAGUUCUUGAUUCAAAGUCAGAAACAGUUGGGCGAUUUGGUUAUAAUAGUUCAGUUGCUGUGUCAGGAACUAUAGGAUAUAUAGCUCCAGGUACAAAUCAAGAAUAUUGUCAUCUCCAGUUGCACAUGAAUAUUUUAACUUUAGAUUAACCUAACCAGUGGAUCUUAUAUGCGUUCUCUAGAGUAUGGUCAAAGUGUUCAUGCAUCGACCCCUGGGGAUGUUUACAGCUUUGGAAUAGUUCUUCUGGAGAUGCUAAUAGGCAAAAGACCAACCGACUUUAUGUUUGAGGGUGAACUCAGCAUUGUUAACUUUAUGGAGAGGAACUUUUCAGAUCAGAUCUUAAGUAUCAUUGAUUCUCAUCUCCAAGAAGAAUGCAAGUGCUUCAUUCAACCAUUGGCGGAAGCAGAAAAUGAGGUCCAUCGAUGCUUGCUGUCCCUGGUGCAAGUUGCUCUUUCUUGCACCCGUUGAUUACCGAGGGAACGAAUGAACAUGAGAGAAGUAGCUGUUAACUUGCACGCAAUCAGAAGGUCAUAUGUUGGAGCAAUUAAGCGCAAGUAAGCUAUGCAUCGCUCGAUCUAGGAUGGUUACCUCAGUUUCAUUUUUUAAUACAAUAGGCAUAAAGAAGCUGGAUCAGCAUGCUGAAAUUGACGAAUUAUCAUGCUAGGGAAACUGUAUGCACGCAGUGGGCGGUGAGUUUUCUUCUAGUACUAGUCAUACUAAGGUUUAGGGGUGUAAACCGAUCGAAUGGAUACCUCCGGAUACGAAUUUAUACGGACAGUGUCAGUUGUGUCGGAUAAGAUAUAUACGGUAUCGACAUCCUAUAUAUCUGACUUUGGAUGACUUUGGAUGCUGAAUAUACGGAUUCGGACAUGGAUGCCCCUCCAAAUGGCUUCAAAUUCGAAUACGGACAGACAAUAUCCGUAAUAUUUCGAACAUCAGGCGAUUGGGAGUUUGUAGGCAUGAAAAGAUUUUGGACACCGCUAACGAACGUCCGAUCCGGGCGCUAGGAAUCGGACGAUAGACCUACAGUAAUUACCGUCACUUAGAAACAAAUAAAACCCACCUACCCGACCCGCGUGCGCCCUCGUGUCACGACACACUUCACUUUCUGGAUCUCCAGGACAUGUAACCCUUCCCUGCUUUGUGGCUCUUGAGCGAGCUUUCCCCUCGCAUGAAGUUGACUACACAAGAGACGAAGAGGGAGAGAUUAGCGCUGGGAUGAGUAAGAGUAACGUGAAGAAAGUAGCAUAUACAAUACAACAUUGAGAAUCAAUAUAUGCAACAACUGAAAAUCACUUUUGCAACAUCAAGAACAUGAAUCCAACUACGUCCUCCUUGCAUGCAUCUAAUGAAACAUUUAGAAUUACCUCGUGCAACAUCCCAAAACACAAACUGAAAAAUCUGAUAAAAACAGUCUCGGCUAGUUGCAACAACCAAAACCACACAUCUCAUAAAAACAAUCUCGACCAAAUCAACUGUUGUAACAACACAAAUCAUCUCUUGCAACAUCCCAAAUAAUUUUUUGCAACAUGCCAACAUCCCAAUCCACAUGUGCGCAUACCAUGCCGGCUCAAACCAUUGCCCCCAAAUCCAUCAUGCAACAUAAAAAAAUAUGUCUUGCAACAUCAGAAAUUACCCGCCGCAACAUCAUUCAUGCAUACCCAACACUCCAAAAAUGUAGCGGCAUGAAGAGAUUCUCGUUGUGGUUGAGGAUGAGCACGGCGACACAGAUGAGGAUGAAAGUGAGGUCCCAUAGAAAUCGAGCAUCAUCACAAGGCGGGAAUAGGCCAAUCGGUGUGUUGCUCCUCCACCAUAUUCCGCCAUGGCCUACUGCAUCCACAUCGCCGAGCGCCCUUGCAACAGCCCCUGUGUGCAGCACGCUCGGUGGCACAACCCGCUGGCCACUGUCGUCGAGGAGCAGUGCCGAGUCCAGAACGUCUCACAACAGGAUCUCAAGGGACAUGGUGUUCUUCUCUACGGAAACGGAUAAGAGCAGAAGAAGAAAGGAAGGUAGAAUGAGUGGUCGAGAGUUACCUGCGUACUUCAUGGCGUUUUUAGUAAAAGUUCAUGUGGGCAGAGAUGAGACACAUAUUCACGGUGGAAAGUUGGCCAGCAAAAUUUGUAAUUAAGCAAGCACUAUGAGCUGUGAGCGAGCGUGUUAGGUUGGAUGAUCGGGUAGUAGCAUUAUCGAAAGAUUUUUAUAGUAUGUCAGUUUGCUUUGAUGGUGAUGUGAUCUUUUUUUUGACAAUUUUCCAUCGUAAUUAAGACACGUAGAGAAAAUUACAUCGGGCGGCAGUGCUAAUCAAUCUGGAAGUCCACGAUCUAGCUAAAAGUCAGAUUUGGAUCCCAAAUCCAAAUCCCAAACUGCAACUACCACCAAUCGAUUAGUUCAAAGAGCAAGGAUUAACGGGAUCGUUCGUAUACCGUUUAUGCGGGCGCCGGCCGGACAAUUGAUAGCCCUGUCAAGCUCGUCCGCAGAUGACGCGCGCGUCGCCUGUAUGCGCGGCGGUGGAGUCUAUCCGCAACGAUGAGGUGAAAAGCGAUUUCUCCAAGGUAAUCUAUGCGCCUGGGCCUUGGGUGCGCCAAAUACUCCGUCCGGCCACCUCUUCAGGUUUGGAGAGUCAUCAAAUUCAGAAGGCAAGGUUUGGAGAAUCUUCAGGUUUGAAUAUUGAAAUGAAACUGAAGACUGCAUCCUGGGAUGAUUUAGACUUCCCGAAGACAGUUUGUAAUCAGAGAAUGCAUUAUGCAUUCAAGUGACAGCUCUUAAAAGACUAGUAGUAGAAUUCUAACAUGUCCUCAUAUUUCCUUGGAGAUAUCAAUGAGCAUGAUCUGAUACCUACAUCUAGAAAUUACAAUUCUCACUUGGACUUUUAUAAAGCACCCGGCACUUAUGUCCAGGAAUUCGCAAUCGAUCGCAGAACAAAGCCUGCACAAUCAUUCAGUGAGCACCACAAACGUACCAUAGCUGAUUUGGAAACGAUAAGUUUCACAAGUAAACCAUUAGCCCAUUACACGUGCUGAGUUUUAGGCUCCCUUUGGCACGGCUCAUCCCAAAACGGCUUCACCGGUGAAGCCAAAGCCGGUGAAGCUAAAAAAACUGGUUUCACCCGGCUUCUAGUUCAUUUUAGUCCCGGCUUACAAAACAGCUUCACGCUACAGUGUCUCGAUUUGCGUGAAAUAGAUGAAGCUAAAGUCGAAAUAAGCCGUGCCAAAGAGGGCCUUAUCAGCAUCCGUAGGCGGACGAGAAAAGUCAGACGAAGUGUCCCAGUACGGCUACAAAGCAAAGAGCUGGACUAGCAGUAGAGCUGCGGGAUUCGAGGCUGGACAUGCCGCAACAACCUUGUCCAGCUCAAAUAGCGACAGCACCCGUGGGUGAGUGAGAUGGACGUUGAAAAAUCUGCAGUAACCGGCGAGUUUCGCAGACCCGCCAGGGUCUUCGUUGCCUCAAGUUGGGCCGUGUUUAGUUGGGGAAUUUGGGAGGUGCCAAAUUACUGUUACAGCACUGUAGCACACUGUAGCGUUUCGUUUGUAUUUGUGAAUUAUUGUCCAAAUAUUGACUAAUUAGGCUCAAAAGAUUCGUCUCGCAAAGUACAACAAAACUGUGCAAUUAGUUUUUAAUUUCAUCUACAUUUAGUACUCCAUGCAUGUACCGCAAGUUUGAUGUGAUGGGGAAUCUUCUUUUUGCAUAGUGUCAAAGUUGGGAGUUGGGAGUAACUAAACAUGGCCUUGGGUUCGAUGUCAGGUGGAGGCUGAAAAGCGGCUGACCGGCGAGUUCGAUGGCCUCGAGAAUCUCCUCUGCAACACCGGUCAAGCUAAAAUAAAGCGUUCAGUUGGGUUCGAUGGUUUUGUGCGGCGUUCUUGCGGUGCGGCAUCGGCAAUGGGGCCAUGGGGGCAAACCGAACAUGCUGUUUUGUGGUUGUACCGGCCUUGUACAAACUGCCAUCUGAUGCUGUCCAUCGUCAAUGAUCAGUUUGCAGGAAUGUUAAAAAGAUGGGUUAACGCUAAACGCAAUGACAAGUAGUACAAAGGGAUCAGCCCGAAAUAUCUCUGUUCGUUUCCUGCUGAAAAGUAAAAUAACUGGACAAACAGUAGAAAGCUGGGAUUAGAGGUGCGCAUGCCGUAACAAUCUUGUCGAGCUCAAAUAGCGAUGCGGCGCAUGGAUGGAGACACGGAGGCUGAAAAUAGGGCAACUCUGGUUGGUUUGACUGACUUAGGGUCUUCGCUGUAACGGUGGUCAAGAAUCAAGAUAAGGUAAGAUGUCACAUUGCCUCAAGCAACGAAAGUGUGUGGAUGUGAGAUGUGCUGUUAAACUGUCUUGGACCCAUGGGUACCCCCAAGCAAAGUUCAUGGCUCAUUUUCUCAAUGAAGGAAACUUUAUUGAUCUUAACCAAUUACCUUGAUGGUACAAUCAUAUUAAGAUAACUACUGGCGACUUGGCCUCUGUACAGUUAGGAUACACAUAUAACAUAGCCUAAGUACAAGGUUCAUGCAUCACCAAAAACGACCCGGCAAAGGCAAGAAGAAAAGGCUGUCAUGUUGCGCCCUCUCGAUCCGAUCAGAGGUUGUUGUUCUCUCCUGAUUACCAAUACAUGCAUUUUUGAAUUAUCUCUUGCCGUUAGGCCUGCCAUGUUGUUCCUGACUGAAAAUUUAAAUUAGUAGCGGUUGCCACACUUGAUUUAGAUAAUCUUUUUUCUAUUGUCUACCAACUAGGCAACUAGUAAAACUCACCAUGCUUAUGAUAUUAGCUUUGUUGCUUCUGUCUUACGGAGUUGGCGGCAUCCGUUGCUUAACGAUAUCGAACACCACAGACAUGCUAUUGUUAUCUGUUUUCAGGGGGGACGUCACCAGUGAUCCAAAAGAAGCAUUGAGCUCCUGGAACACCACCACCCCCUGUUGUCAAUGGAAGGGCGUCACAUGCAGCCUCAGGCACCCAGGGCGAGUCACGACGUUGGAACUGAGCGACCAAGACUUGUCCGGCCCAAUUUCACCCUCACUUUUUUUUGCGAAAUUUUUCACCGUCACUUGGGAACUUAACUUUCCUUAAAGGUACUCAAUCUGUCCCAAAACAGCUUCUCGGGGGAGUUACCUCACCUCAAUCGCCUCCAGAAACUUCAAAUCCUUGAUCUGGGCACAAACUCACUGCAGGGCAGUAUUCCAGAUACACUCACAAAUUGUUCAAACUUGAAGCAUUUAGACCUCUCUGGCAACAAGUUAACGGGCAAAAUUCCUCCAAAAAUAGGGUUCCUUCCUAAUUUAGUUAACCUUCUCCUUUAUCAAAACAAGCUUAAUGGGACCAUCCCACCAACCCUCAUCAACGCCACCCAGCUAUGGAGGAUUUACCUUGGAGCAAAUCAACUGGAAGGGAGCAUUCCCGACCAGCUUUUGGCAAUGGCCCAAUAUAAUCUCGUUGUUACUUGGUGAAAAUAUCCUUUCAGGUUCCAUCUCUCCAGCCCUUUCCAAUCGGUCUUCUCUUCGUGCUCUAGACUUGAAUUCAAACAUCCUGGGUAAUGCAUUGCCAGCAAACAUAGGUAACAUCUUCCCUGAUCUUAUACUACUAGACCUGUAUAAUAACAGGUUAGAGGGUCAAGUCCCAGUUUCAUUAGGCAAUGCUUCAGGGCUGCAACUGGUAGAUCUAUCAUUUAACAGUUUCGCUAGUCAAGUUCCUAGAAUUUUUGGUAAAACUUCCGGGACUAAAUUUUCUAAACUUUCAUAAGAACAAACUCGAAGCAAAAGAUAUCCAAGGCGGGGAAUUCUUGGAGACGCUGAGCAAUUGUAAACUACUGCAAACACUUAUACUAAGUCAAAAUCAGUUGCAAGGAUCUUUACCAAAUUAUAUAGGUAAUUUGUCCACCAGCCUUCAAUGGCUCGCGUUAGGUAUAAACAACUUAUCAGGGUCUGUUCCUAUGAGCAUAUCGAACCUAUCUGGUCUAACAUUGCUUCAACUAAAUACAACAGCCUCAGCGGUCCAAUUGGAGAGUGGAUUGGAAAGAUGAAAAACUUACAGGGUUUAAUUCUCCAGGUGAACAAUUUGAUUGGACCAAUCCCGUUCUCCAUUGGUGACCUUACUCAUUUGGAAUUUCUCUUUCUCGCACAAAACAAUUUCACUGGUACCAUACCUACCAGUUUGGGAUACCUUCAACAACUCUCAAAUUUGGACCUUUCCAACAACAAUUUACAUGGUAACCUACCUGCAGAGGUUUUUAGUUUCCAAACAUUGACUACAUGUGUUGAAGGACCGAAGGGGCGACCAGAGGGGGGUGAAUGGGAGCCUAUAAAAAUUCUCAACGAAAACAAGGCCUAUGUCCCAAACGCAACCCCAAAGCACACUGCGCGUCGUAUCGUCAAGAUGACACAAGUCAACUCGUGACAAGCUCACCCUAGGAACGAUUUGACACGCUCAAGAUAUAACGGAAGCAAGACAUAAAAUGACUCUAACAAGUUUGCUCAAAAAUAUGAUUAACCAACAUCACUACUAGCUAAUCACUCAACUAAGCAUAAAAAAAAAUAAUAAUAAUCCAAAAUGCUAUGCGUGAUUAGCUAAUGAGAGAACAAAAUAAUUAACAGCUAGCCUUGAUUAGCAAAAGAUAUAUCAUGGACAAUAGCUAAACAAGAUGUCACAGAUAGAUUAAUUAGCUAAGUAAAGGAAAUAACGUAGAACUAAUUAUUGCAUGGAAUUAACAAAAGAUAAAAGAAUUGGCUCACUGGUCUCGUGUAGAUGAAAUGCUCCUGGUGACCUGCUUGUUAGGAUAAGCUGGGCUUGACUUGCUUUGCGUAAAGAAGCUCCCUGGCUACGAGCUGGGCCUGCAAGUCACGAGAUGGACCACCAGGUGCUGGCCUGCGUAGCGCACGCGGCCUGGUGCUGACCUGCCUGGGCCUGUGUCGCUGCUGGGCUGUGGCUGGUGGGCCGCCUAGCGAUGGGCCACGAGCUGCAGCUUUGCAGCACCACCGUUGGACUGCUGGCCUGCUGCUGCUCCACCUGGUUGCCUGCGCGCACGAACAGAAGCACGAACGCAAGAACAGAAAGAACAGACCAGAUAAACGCAAGAACACCCGAAACUUCGAACGAGAAAUCCUCCUUCAAAUCUCCAUGAAUCGAGACAAAACUUGAGCCACAGAUGCGCAACCCUAAAGGCUAAUAGAUCCAUGGAAAAGAUCACAAAAAGCUCAAGUAUCCAUCACGGAUUUUGGAGAAAACCGAAACCCUAACUCAAGAACGCGAUUUGGGAAAAACUCAAAAUCAAGCCGGAUUCGUGAGGGAUUUGAAAGGGGAUCAUAUCACGAAUGCUCUCCAAGGUCCUAGCAACAUUUCCCUUCAACCAAUCUCACGAGAUUCGGGCUCAACCAUGAUGAACGAAAAUUCCCCAAAAAUAGUUCCGAAAAUAGGGAAAAAGAAAAACGCUCGGGAAUCAAAGAUUUAGCACGAUUUGAGACAACAAAUAAAGCUAAAUCACGAGAACAUCUUCUAUACAAGAUGAGGACUAGCCUCCUCCCUUCAUCCACCCACUAAAGAUGAAGAAAUCAAGAGAAAAGAGUAAUCACUCCCUAAUCCCCCUCUCUCCUCUCACUUUAAGCACAUGACUAGCCUCUAAGCAAAUAGAUAAUAAGUUGCUAAGCAAAGAGGUGCUGAAAUAACCAGCCCCCCAUCCCUAUUUAUAGUCCAGGACGAAAGACUAUACUACCCCUACAGCUACAACUAAGAUAACUACCCACGCAGGGGCAUUUUGGUCCAAGUUUUUAUCCGUGCAUCGGACGGACACGCCGCCUUCACGACUUUGCUUCGCCUCGAUGCAAGCUUCGCGAUGACACCACGUGCCCUCCUUCUCGAAGCUCCGACCACACCGGGCUCGCCCCCGGUUUUGAGGCCCAAACCGGGAAACCUGCCUGCGUAGUGGUUUUGAGGCCCAAACCACCCAAACCGUCCAUUGACGCGUGUCCGGCCUCCGCCAAGCCUCCCGCUUGACUCGACCGACGCCGUCUCCAUCGUAUCAUGCCCUCUCGCCAUUCCGUGCACCAUGUGGACCGCCCGUGACUUCGCCCGGACUCCUCGGGUCCAUCGGUCCAAGCCUACUCGCGUUCAUCCUUCACCGCCCUUGGUCCAUCGGCAUGAACCUUUCGCUUGACCUUCACCGCACGCCGUCGACCGCCACGUCGCAUCCUACACCUGCACAUCACAAGCCAAGAGAAACAUCAAACCAACACAACGUUGUCAAUCACUCAUCAUCCAAGGGUGACCACCAUUGGUCCUCAAUCUCCCCCUUGAUGAGUGCAUUGACAACACCCCACAAAUUCAUAGUAUUGAAACAGAAAAACAAGAAACUCAAAAUAGAAAAAUCUCAGUCCCCUAAGAUAAGGGCAACGGCUCUACACAACUGAGACAAAAUCAUGUGAUCCCUCAAGAAGAGGCAGAAAACGGGCUCAACACCAAUCACAUGAAAAUCCAAACUCAAAACAAAAAACCGGCUCCUCAAGAAGAGGUAAAUAGCUCAACGCGACCGGUACAAGGGCAUAAGAGCAUAACAAGAGUAUAACAACUCAUAAAUACUCCCCCUGAACAUAUGCACUCCCCCUGAAAUCAUGCAUACAUGCAAAGUCUCCCCCUUGAUAGAUGAAAAAGUUUGUGUAGAUUUCUCUCCCCCUUGUUGACAAUGCAAUCAUCAAGAAAAGCAUGAAAGCACAAAGUGCAUGCAGAACCUAACAAGCUUCUCAAAUAUAUCACAAUGCACUCUCAAAGGCUACUAGGGAGAUAAAGCUUGAUAGAUCAUAAGAAACAAUAGCAUCGCCAACAAGAUGAUAUCAAGUUACAACAGUGGAGGUGAAGCAACUAUCAAGUUUUAGCAAUGUAUAAAAAGAUCACCGCAUGAGCAUUCACCUAGUUAAGAAUCACCCAAGCAAGAAUAGACUAGUCCAUCAAGAGCUCAUACUAGGAAAAUCCAUUCUCAACAAGAGAUCAUUGCAAACACCCACAUAUGCAUCCCAAGUCAUGUUUAAAGCUUGUUGAAAACAAGUGUCUACUUCUUUUGGUAGACAUCUUGUGACAACUAAGCAAGCAAUAAUAUCAUAUUAAGCACAAAAACUCGGUGAAUUUAUGAAGUUUUCAGCAUAUUUCUUUUCAGUAUUCACACAAAGCAAAAUACAUGAAGUGCCUUUGCGGCACAAAGAAGCCAUGCUUCCCCAAGGGGUGCAGCAUGGGCUAAACAUUUGCAAUGAUACCUAGAUCUUUGACCCAAUUGAAAAGAACAUGAAUUCCAAACAUAAGCUAGAUAUGGAACCAGUAUUCAACCAAGGGCAAACCAUAACCAAGCAUCUACUCAUGGGUGAUAAGCAAGUUAAUAGAGUAGAAUUUAGCAUUGAAUUUCAAAAAACAGUUAUCUCAACAAGUAUACAAUAUCAUCAAGAGCAUAACUGCACAUUGCAUCCAAAUCACCAAUCACAGCACUACCUCACAAAUAGCAUAAGGGAGUACACAAGAUAUAUAGGAGAAGCUCAUCUAGUGCAACAUGAUACAAAAUGCAAUAUGAUACAAAAUGCAUGGAAACUAAGCUAAAAUGAUACAGAUGAACAACAUGCCAUACCCAAAUGUGAACUAAGGUAAAGCAUGACAUGAUGUUCAUAUGUAUCAUCCACCACAAUAUAUCACAAAAAUAGCAUGAUAAGAUAUACAUGAAGAACUCAAAGCUAUCAUGAAAAAGUGACUAUCCUACCAUGUUUUAUACAAAAAUGAUACAAGUAUAAUACAAGAGAAGCUCCAAAAACCCAACUCAGAAUGGAAAGCAAACACCCAACUCCCCCCGCAAACAAGCAAAAGUGGCUUGAUCCAGGGGUUUGGUGAAAAUGUCCGCGAGUUGGUUUUGGGUAGCAACAUAGCCAAGGUCAAUAUCCCCUUUCUCAACAUGAUCUCUCAGAAAAUGAUAUCUCACAUCAAUGUGUUUAGUUUUUGAGUGGAGAACGGGGUUCUUGGCUACACUAAUGGCACUCGUGCUGUCACAAAGAAGAGGUACACGAGUAAAAUCCAAACCAAAGUCUCUCAAAGUGGAAAUCAUCCAAAGCAGCUGAGAACAACAGCUAGCAGCAGCAACAUACUCAGCUUCGGUGGUAGACUGAGCAACACUAGAUUGUUUGCGAGAAGACCAAGAGACCAAAGACGAACCGAGAAACUGGCAAGUACCCGAGGUAGACUUGCGAUCCAAGCGACACCCAGCAAAGUCCGCAUCGGAGUAUCCCCGGAGCGUGAGUGUCGAGGAGGCAGAAUACCACAAACCGAACUCAGGGGUAAAGCGGAGAUACCUCAUGAUCCUCUUCACUGCUUGACGGUGAGAUGUCCUUGGUGAAGCCUGAAAACGAGCGCACAGACACACGACGAAGUGUAUGUCCGGCCUCGUCGCCGUCAGGUACAAGAGGGAGCCGAUCAUGCUUCUGUACUCCUUCUGGUCCACCGGUUCGCCAUCUUCAUCCGCAUCUAGUGCCGUCGUCGUACCCAUGGGUGUGGAGAGUGGCUUAGCAUCAGCCAUGUCAAACUUCCUCAACACGUCCUUCGUGUACUUCCCUUGGUGCACAAGUGCACGAAGGUUCCUUCCUUGCUUUGCUUAAUUUGUAGUCCGAGGAAGAAGGUCAACUCACCCAUCAUCGACAUCUCGAACUCCCUGCUCAUGUCAUCUGCAAACUUGGCAACCAAAGCAUGAGAAGAACCACCAAAGAUAAUAUCAUCCACGUAUAUCUGAAUAAUCAAUAAGUCAUUGCCUUGCCUGAGGAGAAAGAGUGUUUUAUCAACUGAUCCCAUUUCAAACCCAUUCCCAAGCAAAAAGGAUUUCAAUCUAGCAUACCACGCUCGGGGUGCUUGUUUUAGGCCAUAGAGAGCUUUCUGGAGUUUGAAAACACGAUCAGGAUAUUUAGGACUCUCAAAACCAGGGGGUUGUUUCACAUACACUUCCUCCUCUAUGAAACCAUUUAGAAAGGCACUUUUCACAUCCAUUUGGAAGAGCUUAAAACCUUUAGCCACAGAGAAGGCUAGAAGGAUUCUAAUUGCUUCCAAACGGGCAACAGGGGCAAAGGUUUCCUCAUAAUCUAUCCCCUCUUUUUGGCUAAAACCUUGGGCAACCAACCUCGCUUUGUUUCUCACAAUCAACCCAUCCUCACCUUGUUUGUUUUUGAAAACCCAUUUUGUUCCUAUAGGAUGGCAAUUUGGAGGUGGUUCAACUAAAACCCAAACCCUAUUUCGCUCAAAGUUCUCCAACUCCUCAUGCAUGGCAUUAACCCAAUUUGAAUCAGAUAAAGCAUGUCCAAUAUCUCGGGGUUCGAAAGAGGCAACAAAUGCAGAAUGUGCAAAGUGUGAAAUAUGCCUAGAGCUGUGCCUAGUGGUGCGUUCAUGUAAGUUACCGAUCAUCUGUUGUGGAGGAUGACGACGCUGAAUGUGCCGUGGAGCCUCUCGCUCUGAAGUCGCCUCCCCCUCAACAGCAGCUGAAUCACUCUGAUCUUCUUCUUCUUCAUCCUGUAGUGGUACUGGUUGAUGGCUUGAAGUAGUGGAAGUAGAGGUAGGGCCAUCAACUCUCGUAGUCGAAGUAGAAGAUACAGGUGCAACAGCUGGAGCUCGGUCAAUCUCAUCAUCCUCUUCCUCACCACCAUCUACACGCUCUUCCUCUUCCUCAAAUAUGCUUUGCCCCAUUUCAUGUUCACCUGCAACUUCAAAGACAGGAGUUGUGCAAGGCAUAGUUUUAUCGAAUGUAAUCUCACAAGUUUCCACGAUCCGGUUAGUUUCAAGGUUAAGCACACGAUAAGCACGACUAUGAGAAGCAUAACCAAGAAAAAUCCCAUCCGUAGAACGAGACUCAAAUUUAUCCAAAUUUCCUUGCUUGAGAAUGAAACACUUGCAACCAAACACUCUCAGAUGACUCACUUUGGGGGAACGUCGAUGCAUCAGCUCAUAAGAAGUUUUCUUCAGGAAAGCUCGCAAAAAGAUUCGAUUGGACACAUAGCAAGCAGUGUUGACGGCUUUGGCCCAAUAUUUUCUAGGAGUCCUAUGCUCAUCAAGCAUCGUCCUAGCCAUUUCACAAAGGGUCCGAUUCUUCCGUUCAACGACACCAUUCUGAGGAGGGACAUAAGGCGAUGAAAACUGGUGUUCAAGACCAAGAUCAUUGCAAAAGGCUUUAAAACGAGCGUUUUUGAAUUCUGUGCCAUUGUCACUGCGGAUAGCUCUCAUGGCAUCUUUUGGUCGCUCAUUUCUCAACCUCAAGAUCAAAUCUUGAACAAAAGGACAUGCCUCAUCCUUAGAUUCCAUGAAGAAAACCCAUGAAUACCUCGAAAAAUCAUCAACGAUCACAAGCACAUACCACUUCCCACCGACUGAACAAACACGAGCUGGACCAACAGUGUCCAUACGCAACAGCUCGCCUGGAUGUUCAGUCAUCACCUGAUUCACAGGUGGAUGGGAAGCAGCAACCAUCUUCCCAUGUCGACAGGGAGCACAAACAAGAUCUUUCUCAAACUUUAAUUUAGGCAAACCACGAAUAAGAUCCAAAGUACUCAAGCGGGAAAGCAAAUCAAAGCUCAAAUGACCCAAUCUCCUAUGCCAUUUCCAAAGUUCAGAAGAUGAGCCAGCCACUAAACACCGAGAGAGACCAAAUGACUUGGAAAAAUCAACUCGAAAUACUUGACCCUCGGGGACGAUCAUACACACAAGAUCACCUCGAGAGUCUAAAAUCCUUGAGGUCCCUUGCUUAAAACGGACCUCAAAACCAUCAUCAAGCAGUUGCGACACAGAGAGCAAAUUGAAACCAAGAGAAUCAACUAGAGCAACUCGCUUGAGCAUGAAAUUCUCACUCACCUUGAUAACACCUUCAGACAACACCUUACCUUUGCUAUUAUCCCCGAAAGUGAUGUACUCCUUGGUCAUCACCGGGGUGAGGCUGGAGAACCAUCUGUGAUCACCGGUCAUGUGUCGAGAGCAACCGGAAUCAAUAAGCCACGUGUUCUCCAGGCCUCCGACCUGCUCAAACAAAGGGAGACCAAGGAUGAGCAAAUGACUCAACACUGGGGUUAGAAAAACAAGUAGAAUACCAGUGUCGAACCAUUUGCUCAAGAGUGGGGUUAUCAAAAUCAACCAUCUCUCAUCUCACAGGAGGACUACGGCCAACGCUAGGGGGAAAACGUGGUCCGUUGUAGCUCCGAGACUCAAAGCCACAACCAUAUUGUCCUGGGCCAUAUUGAUCAUGGCGAGGAGCAUGCCUAGCAAAAACACGCGAAGGAGCAAAACGCACACUAUCCACACGACGAGGUGGAGGAGCUGCUCUAGGCGCAUGUACACCAUGAGAAGGGUGGUACAUGUCCCUGUUGCCCCACUCACGCUCACGCCUCAAAGCCUUCUUCUUGCGAAAGCAAAACUCCUCAAGGUGACCCCAUCUCUUGCAAUACUCACAGUGGAAUCUAGCAGGCUGUUUUGGCUGAGGAUUCACUCUAGGUUGUGGCUUGUCUUGGGUUUUUGGUGGAGGUUUCUUACGAGCAAUAUCUGGAAGUGUGUCAAGUUUGUUCUUGAGGUGGUUUGGCUUUUCCACCCAAAUGGCUUUCUUGGGUACUUUAGGUGGUGUCUCAAUGAAAAUUCCAUCUCUCACACACUCAGACAAGUUUUGCUCACAAGCUGGAUUGGGUUGCUCUCUAUUUUUAGUGGGUGACUCUCGAGGGGUGUAGUCAAUUGGUGGCUCACACUGAUUGUAGCUUGGUUUCUUUCUCUCACCACUGUUUUGACCCACCUUCUCACACAACCCAUCAAAGAACUUGUGCAACCCAUUAAAAAGACAUCCCUUCAUAACUGACCCAAGCCCAAAACCAUCAGCCCUUUUGAACUCCUGAAUCAUCAUGCCUAACUGAGGUUCCCUACUUGACACCCAACUAAGAACAGUGCGCAAGUAGGAGUUUUCAUCCUCAACAUGUUGCAAAUUAAGCUUGAGUUCAGGACAAACAGUGCAUUCAGGAAGUUUAGAUCUAGCAAUAAACUCAGACUUCUCUAAAGCACUAAGCUUAGCACAUGCAUCAUCCAACUGAACUUGCAAAGCAGGGCAAGACUUGCAUGCACGAAGCAAAACAGGCCUAUUCUUGAUCUCAUCUAAAGCAGCCCUAGUCAAAUCCAAUUCAUCUACCAACAAAGCAUGCUUAGAUUGUAAAGAUGCAAGACUAGCCAUAUGAACACCACAUUCAACACACUCAACAACAUCAGAAACAGUAGAAGCAGAUUUAAGCAUGUCUAUCUCAAUCAAGGCACUUUCUAACUUAGCCUUAAGCUCAACUCGCUCUUUAGCAGCCUUCUUAAGCAGUUUAUCUUGAUUGAUUAGGCAAUCAUUAAGUUCUUCUAUUUCUAGAGCAAGUUGUUCAGGAGUAGACUUUACCUCAGUUUCUGUGUCGGAGUCACUUUCCUUGUCAUCCUUCUUGGAGUUGAGAGCCAUGACACAGUACCCGUCGCGGUUCUUGUCGGAGUAGAAGCAGAGGCCAUUGAAGUUCUUGCCGUCCUUCUUCUUUGCCUUGCGGUCGUCGUCCUCCUCGCUUGAGCUUGAGUCGGUGUGGUCGUCGGUGACGGAGUCGACGUCGCUGAGGGAGGCGAUGAAGGCACGUGCUUUGGCCUUCUUGCGAUACUCCUUCUUCUCGCGGUCGGUGUACUUCUUCUUCUUCUUGGUGCCGUCCUUGUUCUUGUGCUUGUUGUAGUCGUACUUGCUCUUGGUUUUGUUCUUGUCGGGGCAGUCGGCGGCGAAGUGGCCUGGCUUGCCACAAUCGAAGCAGUUGUUGUUGUUCCUUCGCCUGUUCUUGCGGUUGUCAUUGAAGCGCAUGAAUCGCCUUGUGAUCAAGGCGAGCUCAUCAUCAUCAAGAACCUCCAGCUGCUCCUCUGAAACAGAAACCAAAGAAGACAAGGCAAACGACAUAGAAGAAGAGUUACUCAAAGACUUAGGCUGUCCAGAGCCUGACAUGAGAGCCAUACUAUUUGGAUCAGUAGGGCCUCCUUGUUUUGCUCGGAGCCUCUUGUCAACCUCCGUGGAUUUCAACUUGGCAAAGAGUUCAUCAAUGGAAAGUGUUUCAUAAUUCGGUGACUCGAUGAUAGCAUCAACCUUCGUACCCCACACUUCGUGAUCCAAGGCAUGCAGGAGCUUUAAAGCUCUAUCAUGAUCAAUGUAGGGUAAGACGAUGAUAUUUGCUUUCAUCUUGUUCACAAUAGCUAAGAAACGCUGAAACAAAGCAUCGGCAGACUCACCAGGCAAAUGAACAAAGUUCUCAUACUCACGCCUAUAAGUCUCAAAGAGUCUAGCCUUCACCUGACUGUUUCCCUCGUGGAAACUCUGAAGUCGAGACCAAAUCUCAUGAGCAAGAGAGAGAUCUUCGACUCGAUCGAACUCAGCACGACUCAGACUCGCAAACAGAAUAUCAACCGCCUUGCUGUUGGCGUGAUACUUAUCCCUUUCAUCCUGAGUCACACGAGUAGCAGGAAUCACAUAAGUCACAUCCUGAGUGAUUUCCCAAACCCCUGCUCCCCUACUAUUAAGAUGGGCUCUCAUGCGAGUUUUCCAAUACCGAUAAUCAGAGCCAUCAAAGUAGGGUGCAGCGGUCGAGGAAGAACGCUCAGAGGUCGCCAUAAUAGGUUUCGAAACCGAUUAGGGUAUGGAGAAACCUUAACCGGCUCUGAUACCAAUUGAAGGACCGAAGGGGCGACCAGAGGGGGGGUGAAUGGGAGCCUAUAAAAAUUCUCAACGAAAACAAGGCCUAUGUCCCAAACGCAACCCCAAAGCACACUGCGCGUCGUAUCGUCAAGAUGACACAAGUCAACUCGUGACAAGCUCACCCUAGGAACGAUUUGACACGCUCAAGAUAUAACGGAAGCAAGACAUAAAAUGACUCCAUCAACUUUGCGCAAAUGAGAUUAAGCAAAGACACUACUGACCACAAGCAAACCUCACUUUAUCUGAUCAUGCAACUAUUAAAUAAAGAUACUUAUCUAACAUACGAGGAUUAGCAAAGGAAGGUGCUAAUUAGAUAUCUAAACAACCAGACAACAAUUAAUUAGCAAUGUAUUAAAAUAAAUGACUCGCACAAAAGAAUUGCUUACAGUGGACCACUUGCUUGCUACGCUAGCUAAUCUGGUGCUAGGCCUGCAGGGAAGCUUGGGCCGCAACUUGUUGGCCUGCUGGCUUGCAAACUGAGCUUCACGAGCUGGGUCGAAAAGCUGGCUUCCUACAGCUGAUCGGAUGGGCUGCUAGCCUUGAUCUGCUCCUGCUAGGCUGCUGCUUCACGGCCCGCCUGCCGGUUGAAUCCUCCUGGGCCGUGCGUGGCAGCAGGCCUGGGUUGCGGUGUGGGCUGGUUCAGCUUGCUCCUCCCGGUGGACUGCGACCUGCCGCUGGCGAGCUGCAGCUUUGCAGCACCACCGUUGGACUGCUGGCCUGCUGCUGCUCCACCUGGUUGCCUGCGCGCACGAACAGAAGCACGAACUGGAGAACAGAAAGAAAACGAAGAACACCAAGAACUAGAACCAAACUUCAAUUCGUAAGAUCUCUUCCUAUACUUCGCGGAUCGAGAUGAAAUCUGAAACAAGGAUGCAAUACCCCAAGGGCAAAUAGAUCCAUGAAACUAAUCCUGAAAAGCUCAAUAAUUCAUCACGGAUUUUGGAGAAAACCGAAACCCUAACUCAAGAACGCGAUUUGGGAAAAACUCAAAAUCAAGCCGGAUUCGUGAGGGAUUUGAAAGGGGAUCAUAUCACGAAUGCUCUCCAAGGUCCUAGCAACAUUUCCCUUCAACCAAUCUCACGAGAUUCGGGCUCAACCAUGAUGAACGAAAAUUCCCCAAAAAUAGUUCCGAAAAUAGGGAAAAAGAAAAACGCUCGGGAAUCAAAGAUUUAGCACGAUUUGAGACAACAAAUAAAGCUAAAUCACGAGAACAUCUUCUAUACAAGAUGAGGACUAGCCUCCUCCCUUCAUCCACCCACUAAAGAUGAAGAAAUCAAGAGAAAAGAGUAAUCACUCCCUAAUCCCCCUCUCUCCUCUCACUUUAAGCACAUGACUAGCCUCUAAGCAAAUAGAUAAUAAGUUGCUAAGCAAAGAGGUGCUGAAAUAACCAGCCCCCCAUCCCUAUUUAUAGUCCAAGACGAAAGACUAUACUACCCCUACAGCUACAACUAAGAUAACUACCCACGCAGGGGCAUUUUGGUCCAAGUUUUUAUCCGUGCAUCGGACGGACACGCCGCCUUCACGACUUUGCUUCGCCUCGACGCAAGCUUCGCGAUGACACCACGUGCCCUCCUUCUCGAAGCUCCGGCCACACCGGGCUCGCCCCCGGUUUUGAGGCCCAAACCGGGAAACCUGCCUGCGUAGUGGUUUUGAGGCCCAAACCACCCAAACCGUCCAUUGACGCGUGUCCGGCCUCCGCCAAGCCUCCCGCUUGACUCGACUGACGCCGUCUCCAUCGUAUCAUGCCCUCUCGCCAUUCCGUGCACCAUGUGGACCGCCCGUGACUUCGCCCGGACUCCUCGGGUCCAUCGGUCCAAGCCUACUCGCGUUCAUCCUUCACCGCCCUUGGUCCAUCGGCAUGAACCUUUCGCUUGACCUUCACCGCACGCCGUCGACCGCCACGUCGCAUCCUACACCUGCACAUCACAAGCCAAGAGAAACAUCAAACCAACACAACGUUGUCAAUCACUCAUCAUCCAAGGGUGACCACCAUUGGUCCUCAUGUGUGCUUUCAUACAACAAACUAGAAGGUCCUAUGCCUGAGUUUAGCAAUCUUAAACAACUCACUGAACUACGUCUGUCAUCCAACAGAAUUGUUGGUGAAAUCCCUGCCACUUUAUCUGACUGCCACUUUAUCUGAAUGUCAAGAGUUGAAUGUCAUUGAACUAGACCAGAAUAUUCUAACAGGAAGCAUUCCAUUGCCUUCAGGUAAUUUGGCAACUUUGAACAUGCUCAAUCUUUCCCACAACAAUUUGUCAGGCUUCAUCCCAACAACUCUAAAGCAUCUGAAUCUUUUGACUCACCUGGAUCUUUCUUACAAUCACCUCCAAGGAGAAAUACCAAUCAAUGGAGUGUUUGCAAAUGCAACGGCUGUUUCCCUCAACAACAACAACUGGGGGCUUGAUAGAUCUCCGCAUGCUUGUGUGCCCUGCAGUUACUUGGAAAAUAGAGUGGAAACAUUAUUUGACCAUCUUACUUAUUCCAGUAUUUAGCUUCAUGUCACUCGCGAUGUCAAUUUAUAUUACAGUCCUUGGGAAGACAUCAAGAAGGCCAAAUUUAUCAUUACUUUCUUUUGGUAAGAAAUUCCCUAUGGUUUCUUAUAAGGAUCUAGCUCAAGCUAUAGCUAGGGAACUUUUCAGAGUCCAACCUAAUUGGAAGGGGAAGCUACGGUUCAUUAUAUAGAGGGAAGCUAACUCAAGCUAAAGUCCAAGAUGCUAUUAAGGUUUUUGACCUUGAGGUUAGAUUUGCAUAUAAAAGUUUUGCCUCAGAAUGUGAGGCUUUGAGAACCAUUCGGCAUCGGAAUAUUCUUCCCUAUGGUAAUGAUUUUAAGGUCCUAAUUUAUGAGUUCAUGUCCAACGGGAGUUUGGAUACAUUGUUGCAUCAAAAACAUGGUGGUGUUUCUCCAAAACUUUUGGGCUUAUCUUAAAGAAUAAGCAUAGGUGUUGACAUAGCCGAUGCAUUGGCCUAUUUACACCAUGACUGUGGAAGGCCCAUUGUCCACUGUGAUCUGAAACCAACUAAUAUCUUUCUUGAUGAUGACAUGAAUGCUUAUUUGGGAGACUUCGGCAUAGCAAGUCUUGUUGUUGAUUCUAGGUCAAUAGCAGUUGGACAUUCAUGUUGCAGUAGUUCUCUCACUAUCACAGGAACUAUAGGCCAUAUUGCUCCAGGUAUAAAUGCCAUCGCCUCCACUAUUUGUAUACUAUCUGUUAUGCACACAAUAAUAAUUUUAUUUUUCAAUUUUUCAGAGUAUGCUCAAAGUGUUUAUGCAUCAACCUGUGGGGAUGUCUAUAGUUUUGGCAUAGUACUUCUGGAGAUGUUAUAGGCAAAAGACCAGUUGAUUCUAUGUUUGAGGGUGUGCUCAGCAUUAUCAGCUUUGUGGAGAGAAAUUAUCCAGAUCAAGUGUUACAUAAAAAUCAUUGAUGCUCAUCUUCAAGAAGAAUGCAAAUACUUUAUUAAAGCAAUGGCGGCAACAGAAAACAAGGUCUAUGGAUGCCUGUUGUCGCUCAUGCAAGUUGCGCUUGCUUGUAAACUUCCAUUUCCAAGGGAAAGAAUGAGCAUGAGAGAAGUCGCCAUUAACUUACAUACAAUCAGAAAAUCAUAUGUUGCAGCAAUUAAGUGAGAGAAAACCAUAUGUGGUGUUAAGCCAAGUUGUAUGUACUAUGUAGUAUGUAGUACCAGCUCAUACUAAUAUUUGUCUUUAGAACAUUUAGAAGUUGGGAUUUGAGGUGCUGUUUGAAUUUUUUUUUUUGGUAUCUCUGUAAUAUGAGUAUGUGACUUGUUAGAAUCGAUCCUAUUGAUAAUACAUAUAAAGGGCAUGUUAUCUCUGUCAAGAUAAUUCUAAUUCAUUGGAUAUUAUUUAUUAUGGUAUCUGGAACACGAAAUACAUAGAGUGGAUCAAGAAAAAAUGGAACUAUGAUUGAUACUCACUAUUUAGACCCCGCAACUAGACUGGAAAAAAAUUCAAGUAGUUCUUAAUAAAAAAGAAAUUUUCUUCCAAUUUUGUUUGCCCAAAAGAGAACUUUUUUUCUCCUUCAAUAAAUGAUCUUCAAGCGGAGUAACGGUAAUGGAAUUAGAGAGCAGCUGCAGGGAUUUUUCUGAUUAGAUGCUGCACAUUAUUGAUGCAAUGCUCAUCUCCAAGAAGAAUGCAAGGGUUUUAUUCAAGCAAAGCUCAAACAGACAAGGGCGGAUGCAGGAUGGGAGGUUUGGCGGGGGGGGGGGGGGGGGUUCAUUUCCCUUCCCCUUCCUCUAGCACCCCCUUUCUUCCUCCUCUCUCCCUUCUUUCCUCCUCUUCUCCCUUCUUCCCUCUUCUUUCCAUGGAGUUCCUGGGACCCCCACGCUGGAUCCGCCCCUGGAAACAGAUAAUACAGUGAAUUCAUGAUUGUUAUCUCUAAUGCAGAUAGCUCUUUCUUGGACUUAUCUAUUCCCAAGAGAAAGAAUGAAUACGAUAGAAUUUGUCAGUGUAAGUUGCAAUCAAUCAGAAUGACAUAUGUAAGAGAAAACAGUCAUAGUUCAUAUUUAGUAGAGUAUUUUACAAUAUGGCAGGAAUCUUGUGUAGGCAGUUUAGGUUCUCUUUGAAUGCAAUGGGCACAAAGUUGGCAAUUCAGCCUAUGUGUUCGCAUGUUAAAAAAGAAUGAGGUACCCUGCUAUAAAGCUGUAACCUGUAGGUGGUGAAUGAUGAACAGUGUAUAGUGCCAUCAUAUUAAGAUUGGGCUUUUGAGCAUUUGGAAAAAUGGUUUUGAUAAGGCAUCAAUAAAUUGACAAAGUACUCAGAUCGCUUCUAUGGUAGUGUGUGACUGUAACACUGAGUGGUGUUUCAGAAAACUUUAUGAUAAAUGGAAUGACGCUGCUAAUCUGACCGCAAGUCCGCAACCUAGCUAACAACCGCUCGGAUCCCUAAUCCGAACCUCAAACUACAGUCAUUCCAAAAGUCAAGGUCGACGAGAUCCUGAGCGUACCGUUAGUGCGGCCGCUGGUUAGCCGCCUGCUUUUUUUUUAUGAAACAGGAGAGGCAGAUCCCCUGCUAGUUAUAUAUUAAUAAAUAAAAAUAAAUGUACAAAGAUAAGAAAAGAAAAAACAGAAUUACAAUACAGAUAGCCAGAUGUCUAUACUAGGAUGGUACUUCUUUGCUUGAUGCAUAACCAUGCCAAACUCUUUCCUGAAUAAUUGUUUGCAGUGCAGAGUUGCAGACACCUAGUUUUCAAAGAUAAAGUUAUUUCUGCACGUCCAUCUACUCCAUGUCAUGAUGACAAUAAUCUCCAUGAAGAAAAGCCUAGCAAUCUGAUCUUUAAGGGAAUUUAGGUUGUCAUACCUAGAUAGAUUGUCAUCUAUGUGCAAGCCUAUCUGUUCCCAACACAAUUUAGCAAAUGGGCACCACAGGAAGAGAUGAAGCAUAGUUUCAAGGUUGUUGUCAUUGCACGGUACACAACUGUAACUUUGGAGAUCCAUAUUCUUUCUCUGCAAAAUAUCUCUUGUAUUGAGUCUGUCCUUAAGAAGUAGCCAAAAGAAGAUCUUGUGCUUGGUUUGACAGCAGCUGUUCCAUAUCCAUUUAAAUGCUGGAUGAAUAUCUAAAUGGCCUUUCAAUGUUGUAUAUGCUUUUUGUGACCUGUACGUGUUUGAUCCCCAUAUGUAUGUCCAAAUGUCACGGGCUCCCUGAUCUGAAUAUUUCCAAUGCUAUUUUGUAAAUGCAGAAAUUGAUCAUAUGCUUCUAUGGAUAGGGGCAGGUGGAAAAGUGAGUGCAGCUCUUCAGUGUUCAUCCUUAGGCUGAUAUUUAUGUUCUUUGCAAAUGAGAACAAUUCUAGGAAGUUUAAACUAGGUACCAUGCCACACCAAAAAUCAUUCCACUGGUAAACUGAAUUUCCAUUAUGGGGGAUAGGAAUGGCCAUACCUUUGUAGAGAUGUAAGAUUUUUUGAAUGUGUCUCCACCAGAAUGAUCCUAUUUUCACUGAGCCUGGAAGCUUACCAUUGCUGUAGUAAUUAUCUCAGAUUAGAUGAACCCAUGGUAAGUCUGCAUGGUUGAAGAAUUUAUGCAAGUUUUUCAAAAUGAGAGCAUUAUUCUGAGCUUUGAUAUCUGGUACCCAAGGUCUCCUUCCUCCUUUGUAGACACACCAUUUCCCAUGCAGCUUUCGGUAGCUUCUUAGCAUUUAAAUCAGAUCCCUUCCAAAGGAGAUGCUUUCUAUAUUUAUCAAUCUGCUUUAUGACAGUGGCACGUAGUUUCAUAGUAGACACGAUGAAUGUUGGUAGAGAUGUUAAGACUGAAUUAACUAGGAUAAGUUUACCACCCUGUGAGAGAAGGUUUGAUGUUACCAAGAUUCUGCUUUCACACUUCUUGACUAGAGGCAUGAUGUCCUUUACAGAGGGUUUAGUGAGGCCAAGGGCAUCCCCAAAUAUGUGAAAGGCGGCUAUGUCCCAAUUGCACAGCCCAAUGUGGAUGUCAGGAGAGAUAAUUUAUCUUCAGGAGUGUUAAUUGGCACCAUCAAUAAUUUUGAGUAAUUUACUUUCAGGCCUGAUGAUGAGGCAAAGCUAUUCAAUAGAUCCCUGAGAGAGGAUAAUUGUGAUUCAUCACUUUCCAGGAUUCAGCCACCUGCUUCGCCGUCCGCCGCUGCCCGCAACUGCGACUCUCCACGCUCCGGCCCCAAAUGACGCGUGCCGCCUGCGCUCGCGUAGUGGCCGAUUUCAUCCGCAACGGCGCAGUGCCGCCAUGGUGGGAACCACUUCGUCGCUUUGCAACUGUGGUGAGAUUUUGGAAAUUUUUUAUUUUUUAUUUUUUUAUUUUAGCAUUUUGUAAAAAUAUAUGCCUAAAUAAAAAAAAUUGCAAAUCUAGACGCAUACCGUCAUUUGAAACGGCUAUAGCCAAAUAAACCAGCAGAAGGUGUACUAUAGCAACCUUACUGCCGGUUCAACCGGCGAUAUCUCUCCUCUCUGGAUAGCUCAUCUUCAAAAAACCAUAACUUUUCAUAUGAACUCAGGUGGACAGAUCCCUUGGACCCUAAUCGAAAUCCCAGAUUGGAUUUUGGAAUUUUUUAUUUUUUAUUUUUAUUUUAGCAUUUUGUAAAAAUAUAUGCUCAAAUAAAAAAAAUGCAAAUGUAGAUGCAUACCAUCGUUUGAAAUGGCUAUAACCAAAUGAAGCGGUGGAAGGUGUACUUUAGCAACCUUACCGCCAGUUCAACCAGCGAUAUCUCUCCUCUCUAGAUAGCUCAUCUUCAAAAAAUUAUAACUUUUCAUAUGAACUCAGAUGGAAGAUUCCUUAGACCCUAAUCGAAAUCCCAGACUAGAACUAGAACCGCCACCUAGCUACAUACUUGAAUCAAACGAACAGUGAGGACCUAGCUAGGAGAUCUUCCGCGUACCGUUGAUGCAGCUUCUGGUCGGCUGCCUAAUGCUGCUGGCCCGUCCGCCUCUCCGUUUCGUCCUCGAAGUCUCAAACGCGCCGCCUCUCACCGCCCGUCGCGCGUGGAGUGGCGCGCGGUGGACGUCGCUGCUGUGUUGGCUUAGCCCAAUCGCGCUGUUCGUUGGGCGAGGCCGAAUGCGCUCUGUUGGUUGGCCGGGCCGAUCGAUCCGUUCGUGCCCAAGAGUUGCGGGCUGCAACAAGAGUACAAGACGCAGAAUGAUGGUGGCUGAACAGGCCUAAUGGGCCUCAUAAGCACUCAGAAGUCCACCACUGCAAAUCUCCAACUCAUGCGAAAAAAAAGUUGUACGCACAGAUUAUUUGGUCUCUAGUGUGUCCUUCAUUUAUGCAUAAACUAUGCACGUUGUGAUUUGUAUUAUUAAAAAAUUAGAAUAAGAUCUCUGUAUAAAUUAGGCGCUUCCUCUAAGGAGACUGAGUUAGCUAGCUCUUACACCUCCAUAUCAGAUUUUUUUUACGAGGAAGAGAGAGUGCAAGGAGAGAGAAAGUGCAGUAUCUCUUUUCCAAGAACUAGCUUAUAACGAGAAGGUAUGUUCCAUACUUUAUUAAUUAAAGAGAGGUUGUUGGAGUAGGAUGCUUUGAGCAACGUGCUAUUAUAUGAGUUGGAUAAGCUUAUAGAUAGUGCAUGUACUAACUCAACCGUAAAAAUAAGUUUGCAUAAUUCAUCAUGGAACGACACACUGUGGUCAAUAGAUCUUAGUACAAAGUGUUGGGAUCAAAGACCCGAACAGAAACCGUAAGAGAGAGAAAUCAUAUAAUCAGAUAGGCAAAAAGUUUCUCUUCCCUAAAGCUCUAGGCUCUAUUUAGAGGGAGGAGCACAUAACUAUUUAUAUUUACUCCAUUAAUAAGGUAAAAUAUUACAUAUAACUCCCUAAACUCUACAACGAGGUCUGUGGACAUUGCAAAUAAGUCACAUACCUUACAAAGAAACCCUUAGAUGUCGCGAAUGGGUCCUCGAACCACUAAUUUGAAUCUCUUUUAUACAAAAGGGGUUCCAAGUCUUGGCAUCCUAAGGCGCCCCAACACGGAGUAUUGACAAAAUUAAUAUGAACAUGGAUAUUUAUUUGAGCUAUAGACUCAAACCUUAAGUGAGCAAAUUCCACUAUGUAAAAGCUAACUAGUUGCAGUAUGCUCAGUUUGCUAAGUUGCGAUAUUUCUAUCGAACCUCGUAAAUAAAGAUCGUCGGCCAAUAAAGACAUUGGCUUCUUUAGUAAUUCAUGGUAAUGUAAGACAGUGGAAACUAUUCGCAGUUUACCAUAAACAUAUAUACCUUCCGUAAUGCAUACUAAGAACAGGCACUUCAAUCAAAUAUCCUCGAAGAGAAAGUGCUUUUGGCCUAUAACUGAAUUGGGUUUCAAACUUUCAAUCACCAGAUAUCCUCUCUAAUUCGUACAAUACCCACCGUUAGCAUUCUUAGCAAAAUCGUGAGAAGCACGGCCUCCAAAAAUCUGAUCCAGAUCGAAUACUUACAGGUACAGGUUUACUUGACCGGCGGCGUUAGUUGGCCAGGAAAUAAAACCAGUGAACAGAUUAAAUCCACAAUCACUACUACUUCACUAGAAAGAACCAAAAUGACUAUGGAGACAAGAAUCUUGUAGCGGUAGCAUUCCACGAGUUGAAUUUUGUCAGCAUCGUAUGUGGCUGACACAAGUCACACAUCCGCGCAGAAAAAUUUCUGUUCGAUUCGCUGAACAGUGACCGCAGAGCUCUUGGAUUAAAAGCGAUGGACAUGCCGCAACAAGCUAGUCCAGCUCAAACAGUGACCGCAGUGGCGUACCUUUGAGGAGAUGAAAGCUGAAAAGCCGCAUUAGCUGCCAAGAUUGACGGACUCAAGGUCGUCGCUGCAAGGGCAAGGGCGAUAAUAACCUUAGCAAAGGCGUGACAGUGCCACUGCCACAGCCCACAGGGCAUCGCCGCAUCGGAGGCGUGUGGACGUGAGAUGCUGUAACUGAUAAUACAAGCUGCUCACCCAACGCACUGCUUGUGGAUGAAAUGGUGAUGUAAAAUCGUUUUUGAACCCUGGAGCCCUGAGCCAGCUGUGCAUCCAACUCAAAGUUCACAGUUCAAACACCAGACUGCCAAACGGCAGGACCAAGCUCGUCAAAACCGCUGCUGCUUCGUGCGCGCUCCAUCCUGCCGAUCAGAGGUGUUUAUGUUCCUUCUCUAUGAGUAUUUGCAUCUUUUACGUGUCUUAUUUGCAUAUAAGAGGAGUGCUCUCAGGCUUCCUAAUAUUUUAUUGGUUGUCAGUGAUGUGGGGGCAUUUGACAAAGUCAAUGCUCCGCGUUUCCUUCGCUUAGUGCUCUCUCGCAGUAUAGUAGGCGAAGCUCAUAGUUAUAGUCAGAUGGCAUGUACGAGGCUAGGGAUAAAUUCGAAUUAUGGAAUCAAAUUUGGAUAGCUCUACUUAGAGCAGUUCCAGUGUAUUAAAAAAAUUGAAUCGUGGAUGUGGAAAACCGAACUGAAUACACUGUGAACAUCGGACAGUGCAGCUAAAAAUUGCACUCCGCAAACGUCCACAUCACCAUUGCCGGUCACUCAUCACGCCUUCACACGCCGACGAGCUGCACCCGGAGGUCCUCUGAUGAAGCCUGCCGGUCACUACAUGCAGGGCACGGCAGAAGCAGUAGGCCUGGAGAUCUCAGCGGUGUGUGCUGAGAUGGAGUAGAGUAUCCCCAGUCACUUAAUAAUUUUUGUGAAUAGGACCAUUCUAAUAUCUCUUUCGUUAUUAUUGGAAGAGUUAUUUUUGGAAGAGUCAGAGCAACUUCAAAAACUUUCUUAAAUUACCCUUAAUACCUCAAUUAGGGAGAAAAAAUAACCUCCAACAGCUUCAAAAAACCCCGCAAACAUACAACGACUUCAUAUCCCGGCUUCCUCGCUCCGCAUGUUUCCACCAGCUCUCGGCACUCGCAAUCCGUGAUUUUUUUCCCGCAAGAGGCGACGUGGCACGUCGUUAUUUUUCUCCCCAUGAAAAAGUCACUCGUUUUCUUUUUUCUCACCAUGAAAACGUCGCUAGUUUUAUUCUCCCACACGAACAUCCUUUCCUACGGACAAAAAAGUCGUUGGUUUUCCUUUCACGGUGGAGAGUGCCCCCGCAAAUGGAUAAUGUCUAGCACUUAAAGUUUUUAGCAACUUUUUUCUAGGUACUCUUGGAGGAGAGGAACUUUUUAGCUCCCAAUAUUUUUUAGAAAGGUCCCCGGUUUUUGGAAGUCUAUUUUUUGCACUCUUGGAGAUACUCUCACAACUCCUUUAUUUGGGAAGACUUGGGAUGCAUUAUUGGUUUGUCCAAUAAUUAUUGGAAAUAAAGCAAAGAUUAAGGGAGUCUGUUGGAGCACUAUUUUUCAACGACUCUACCAAUAUGAUACGUGGAUUGGGGAACGGGGAUGAUCUGUUGGAGAUACUUUUAAACAAUCACGACUAAAAAAAUGACCUUUCGUCCACUUCCUUAGUAUCGAUCACAUUUUAACCCGAUACUAAUUGUCGUUGUCAAGAUUAGCGGGUCAAGACUUAGACUAGUAAAUUUCUUUUAUGCGCGUGAGGCUUGAGAUGGUGGCGUGAGAGACACGGGGUUUAUACUAGUUCAGGUAAAGGAAAUACCCUACGUCCAGUGUUAGGAGCUGCUCGUGUUGCCCACGUGGGGUUCUGUAGUAGGGGUUACAGAAGUGCGAGAGAGGGAACUGGUCCCAGGUCUCUUGGGUGUGCACUGAUGCUCUAGAAGGGUGUGUGUGUGUUCUGUUGGCUUGGAAGCGUUGUGGUGCUUUUUGUUGUCCUUCCAGCCCCCCUGUCUCAGGCCCCCGAUUCCCCUUUUAUAGCGUAAGGAGACCACCGGGGUUACAGGCGAGACCGAGUAUGGGGAGAAGUAAAGAGAUAAAUAUAGCUAGGUAAAAAAUACAACACGAAAAGGGGGGAAACAAGUUCCCAGGUCACCGGCGUCCUUGCCGGCCUUCGACUUCCGCCGGCGCGUUUGCCGGAGGAGGGUGGCUGCCGUCGCGUCCUGUUGAUGGCUUCCUUGGCAACUGUAGCCGCCGGGCGUGAUGAUGGCAUUUCGCCGUGACCCUCGUGUCCGUUGGGGGAUACGGUGGAUCCCGCCAUCCUACUGACGGCCCGCGGAGCGCGGACAUCGCAUCCCUGCCGUCGGGCACGCGGGGCACGAGAACAGGCGAGGCUUCCCCCUGCUCCGGGCGGCGCAGGCCAUGAGUGCCCUGUGGCGAAUGGGUGGAGGCCGCAGCUACUGUAGCUUGUACAGUGCGAUCGUGCAUGGGUACUUGCAGCAGGUUGCGUGAGGGGCGCGGGCAUCCUUCUUCCUGACAGACCUACGACGCAUUUAUGGCGAGAUCGACAGGGGGACCCACGAGAUCUGCGCCCGAGGCGGAUACUCGUCUGGUGGGCUCGGGUCAGCCCGACCCCCUACGCUUGGGGUCAGGUGAGGCGGAGACCUGCGGCGGGGGGUCGGACGCUCCCGACCCCAGACCUGCGGUCGGGCGAGGCGGAGCUUGGUCUUCCAGAUGCCUGACCCCGGGAUGCAGGGUCGGGGAGGCGGAGCGUGAUUCUCGCCCCCCGUGUUGGGCUGGAGGCAGGCUUGUUACCUUAAGUGGGCCUGGACCUUUACAUUUUGUUGUUUCCAUGGGCUUGGGGAAAUCGUUAAUAUUUCCCCCCAACAGUAGCCCCCGAGCCUAUGGUGGAGCGGGGAUGCUCCUCCAGAGGCUGCUGUCAUCGCCUGUAUGGGAUCCUUGCAGUUGAUCCGGGACGGGAGGUGUUGUUUGGAUGGCUUGACCGAGGGGGUCAAUUAGGCGACGCAUCCUGUGAGCGACUCGGCGCGGGAGGACUUCUUGUCAUUCCCUUCCGCCUGCGAGCCUUAAGUCAAGACCACCCGCGUGGCCUUUGGUUGCGAGGCCAUCCCCGAGCCCCUGCGCAUUGCAGGGACCGGUCGGAGGCUAGGUCGACUUUUGUUCGUUACCCUUCAAGCGUUCGUUCGCUAGGACAGAGGGGGCGAGCCGUGCCACGCUAUCCUCGUCAGACAAUCCGUGGUGCUCGUUGAGCUACUAACGAGUUGAUUCGAGUGGGAUCCAGGUCCCCGUUCGGGGGGGUGCGGCUUGGGCCAAGCUGGUGGCGUACCCCAGGCUCCGGUCAGCCAGUUCAUAUAGUUUCCGAGUCCGUUCGGUUGGAUCCGGGGGCUCGUUGCCUUUCUUCGGGGAAAAACCAUGAACUUUGAUGCCGGUCCGGACUCAAAUGUGAGAUUGAGAUGCCCUGGGCUGUCGCGUGUCCGGGUGAUGGUCGCUAGCGGACCCGUCUCUUCUCACCCCUCGCUCGGGGGUACCCUGAGGCGGCUGUCGAACCCGUGGUGGGCCAGCCUUCGAACCUCUGGAUCGUAAUGGGCCGUAGGGGCAUUUUCAGCCCCGUAUCCCUUUUUACCUUUUGAUGGGCCUUGGGCCGAAUCGUAGCGGAGGUCGCGUCUCGGGCCGGACGUGGAGGAUGUUGUGUCUUGGGCCGGACGUGGGAGACGUCGUGUGCGUGUCUUCCGGGAGACAAAGUGGUGGAGGGCGCCGACCCGCGAAUCGAGGGAGGAGGGGAUGUUUCCGCUGUAGAUCGUGCGCACAGUUUCCGAAAAGGGAGCGGGCGUGACGGGGAUGUACCUGGUGCUGCAUUUAUUGCGAUAGGGGCGUCUGUUCUACUUCCCUCGCGCCUUCUCUAUAAAAUGAGAACUUCGCCUCGCUGGUUCCACCCGCCAUCUGCCUUCAAGCCUUUUCGUCUCCUCGCACGCCCUUAGCUUUUCUGCGCCCGCUUCGUCUUCCUCCGCCCAAUGCCGCACCCUUUCUCCCCAUCCUCCGUCGAGUUCUUCUCCCUCCGGCGAUGGGAUCCUGGGCGCGUUCCCACUUCGGCCCCACGCGCGCCGAAGGCCUAGUGAGGAAAGGCCUCCUCUGCGAGAGGACGGAGGUGGACGAGUGGGAGCUUCCGGGGAUGGAAGAGGUGCCGACGCUGCCCGCCGGCUAUGUCGUCUCCUUCGCCCACUUCCACGAGAGGUGGUUCGCGACUCCUGCAUUACUACGGGCUUGAGCUGCAGCACCUCAACCCCAAUGGGAUUAAGCACAUCGCGGUGUUCGUCGCGCUGUGCGAGGGGUUCCUAGGCAUCGAGCCCAACUUCUCGCUGUGGAAGUAUUUCUUCACGGUCAGCCUGUACCAGAAGGCCGAGAAGAAGGGGAGCCAGCAGCGGUCGUCCCCGGUGCCGAUAGGGUGCGCCGGUUUCCACCUCCACCUUACUCGCGCCAAGGAGUACAUGACGAUGAAGACCGCGAUCUCCCACAAGGGGUGGCACCAGCAGUGGUUCUACGUGAAGAACUAGUCCAACUCCCUCUUGCCGGAGUUCACCGGCCGCAUUAUUGAGGCGGCGCCGGAUGUGUAGGCGUACGGCCCGGUGGAAAAGGAGAAGAAGCGGAUCUCCGGGCUGCUGCAGGCCAUCAAGCACCUGAAGGGGAGGGGACUGACCAGAGCCGGAGUCAUCGGGGCGUACCACGCCCAGCGGGUGGCACCGCUGAUGCUCCGGGUCCGCUCGCUUGCCUAUAUGACCCCCGGUGCUCCGACCGAUGGCACCGUCCUCGCGACGGGCGCGCUCGCCGCCUCUGAGAUCCGGCAGCGGAUCCGGGAGGCGCUGGAGGACAAGGACGCAGAUUACCCGGUGCCGGGCCACCGUCUGGUGCGCCCGGACGAGAAUUUCAUCGACCUGGUAAGGAUUUUGUGCACCCAUUUCCCUUUCUCGUGUUUCUUGGUCCGCCGUUCUAACGCGGGGCGUUUUUUGUUUGUAGGGUAGCAUGACCCGGGUCGUCGACUCACGCCCGCCGGUGCCGGAGGACGCCGAGUGGUGGCGGCAGAACCGUCUCCUUGCCGAGAAGCAAAAGCAACGCAAGGACAAGGAGAUGGCGAAGAAGAAGAAGAGGGCCGCCAAGGAGUUCCAACGGCGGCGGCGGGGACAGGUCGUGUCGGAUGACGACGAUGACGACGAUGAAGAGGAGGAGGAGGAUGACGAGGAGGAGGAGGAGGAAUUUAUCCUGUCCCCCCGGCCGGGCGUGCUUGUUAUCUGGGAGGCGCGCUCCCAAACGGCCACGGGGGAUGAGGUGAGCAAGCCGCCUGCCCGGGACCCGGCCCCGCAGAGUUCUGGGGCCGCACCCCAGGGGUCGGCGCGGAGCGCCCCCAGGAGGUUGGCGGAGCCGACCCCUGUCCCUGCGCCUACGGCCCAGGAGCAGAGGAGUGGUGAUAAGCGGCCGUUGCCGGAUACCCCGGGGUCGGCGUCCGGCCCGGAGGCGAAGCGCGCGCGCCGCCCUUGCGCUGGGGGAACGUGAGUUGAAUUUCCUUGGGAAUCUCAUUCCUUUCCAUACAUUGUGUCUGUUUCCCUUGAUGUUGUUUGUUGUUUCGCAGUGCCGCCCCUCGAGGCCUCGUCCCACCGCUGGCGCCCAAGAAGGCACUGCGGGUGCUGCCCGCCUCUGCGGGGCGGACCGCGGCUCCGCCGGCGGCGAGCGGCGGGGUCACCGGCGAGACCGCGGGUCCUUCCGCGGAGGUGGCUCCUGCGGCGGUAUCUGGUGGAGUGGUGCCACCGCCGAGCACGGGAUAGGGUCUGGCCCCGGCUCCGUCCUCCGCCCCUUCGGCCGACCCCACGGUGUAGAUUGUUGCGCCUGGGUGUCCUCCAUCCGGGGAGGUGAUUGACCUCGACGCCGACGAGGGGGAGGAAACGGCGGCGGUGGAGACGGGGCGGUUGCCCUAGCGGCCGCGACGGGGACGGCGUCAGCGAUGGGGGAAGGAGAGUCUAUCCCCGCUGCCAUGGUGGGGCGGCGGCGAUGGAAGGGGGGAAGACGCCCGCCCCGGCGGCUGCGACGGAGGAGGAGGCGGUGACGGUGACGGGGACUUCCGCCCGGGGAGCCACAGCGGAGGUAGCAGCGGCGGCGGAGGUAGAAGUGCCUGCUCCGGAGGCCGUGACGGGGGCGGGGACGCCUGCCCUGACAGCCGCGACAGAGGGCGAGGUGGCCACAGGAACACCUCCUCCGGCACCUGCGUCGGAGGCGGUGGCGCCGACGGGCGGGCCCGCGGCGGCCUCGACGGGGAUGGGGGUGCGUGUGCCGAGACCGUCCGUGAGCCCGGCGGCUUCCGGGAUGGUGGUGCCCGUCUUGACGGGGUCAUCGGGGUCGGCCCCCGCCCGUGCCUAGACCACUUCCGUUCCCAAGGCGUGGAGCGGGUUCGUCCUGCGUUGGUCGUCUCGUGACAACCCGCAGAGACCCCUCUUUACGUUGGACGACGCCACGGAAUGGGGAAAGUGGCAGGCGCUGCUGGGCGGACUCGUUAACAUCCGCGUGGCUCUGUCUUCGGCGUUGGGGGAGCUGGACGGCGUCGUCUUCCCCGGUGGCCAGGUAUGGUAUUUUCUCUAUUGACGGUUGCUUUCCUCCCGUUGCUUUACCCCUGAUGGCGUACUGUCUUGCAGGCUCUCCAAGAAUGCAGCUGAGGAAAAUUCGAUUUCCUCCAGCUCGAGCGGGGGCUCUGGGAGCGCUUCAACUUGGAGAGGCAGCGGACCGGGGAGCUGACCAUGUAGGUCGCCGCCGCCCAGCAGGUCAUCGACGACCUGCGGAGGCGCGAACACGCGGCAGGCGGAGGCCAAGUUCCAGGUCAUCGCUGAGAGGGCUCGCUGUGAUCGCGAGGAGUUCCAAGCAGCUACCGAAAAGGCCCAUCACAACGCCGAGGAGCUCGCGCGGCUGAAGGGGGAGCAUGAGGCCCUUCAGAAGACCAUCGAGCGCAUCCGGCGCGAGCAGCAGAAGGCCUGGCAGGACCGGGACGCCGAGAAGGUCCGGAAGGAGGAGGCCGAGAAGGUGGUGGCCAACCUUGGGGCAGAGGUUAGCCAGCUCCAAGUGCAAGCGCGGGAGCUUCAGGCCUCCGUGGCCCAGGGGCUCGACCGGGAGCGCCAGCUGAAGGCCCAAUCCAAAGGUAUGACCCUGUUUAUUCCUUCGUCUUUGUGAUGUCAUGGUGAUUUUUGAUUUGGCGGGUCCUUCUGGGUGGUCCUUGCAGGCGAGCUCUCCCGGCUGAGGGAGUUGCUUGACGUGGAGCGCGGUGAACACGGCGACCUGCGGGAUGCUGUUCGCGUCGUCUGCGACGGCCUCGGCGUGGUCCAGGGGGAGGGGACGAGUUCGCUGGUGACUUGCGUCCUUGGGACGUACCGCCGGGCCCGCGAAAUUGCCGUGGUAGCGCUCCACACCGGCGUGAGGCGAGCCUUCGGGGUCUUCGGCUCCCACUGCUCUGGCAUCAACUUCGCCGGGAUGAGCGGGGGGUACGCCGCCGGCUACUCCAAGGCUGAGCUGGACAAGAUCGACGCGUCGGUGCUCAACCCGGCGGAGGCCUUGGUGAAGCUCCUGGAGGAUGAAGCCAUCCCUCCCGAAGAUCCCCGAACGAGUUAACUGUAUCGGGCUGGCGCCCAAGAUGUAAAUACGUUAAUGUCAGACUUAUUUUGUGGUGGCCACAGGGGCUUUUUCUAUGGAUUGUUGUAAAAGAGUUUUCGAUUCCCUUUCUUGUUUUUUGGACUUGGAAAGUUUAGAGCGCGUUGUCGGGUGUGUCAGUAAGCUUUGCUGAGUGAAGGCACCGUAGCCGCUGGGACGUAGGUUUUUCGCAGUCCGAUCAAUCUUACCUGAACACCGUUGGUGCACUUUCUCCUUUUCAUGCCCAAAAGUUUAGAAAGGGGGUCAGCUCGGAAAGAGAAAGUGUUUUGAGAGGGUGUCAAGUGGCCUAGGGCGGAGCCCCUGAUAGCCCCCGAGGGAUGUGCGGCCCUGAGGCAGAGCCAGGGUCGGAUAUCCCUGAGUUUGAAGUGAAACUUGAAUGGAACCGACUCAAAAUUCUUUUUUCCGUAAAAUUUUCAGAUGUACGGAAGUAUCUAUGUACAAAACUUGGAAAUGAAAGCUAGGGGUAUAAACGUCUUACCUGUUUUAUGUUCCAAGCAUUGCUGAAGGUCUGUCCAUCGGGAGUCGCCAGCUUGUAGGUGCCUGGCCGCAGUACCUGCACGAUGAUGAAGGGACCUUCCCACGGAGGGGUCAGCUUGUGUCGACCCCUGUUGUCCUGGACGAGAUGGAGUACCAGGUCGCCGACGUUAAAGGCUCAGUCCUGCACCUUGCGGCUGUGGUAGCGUCGUAAGGCCUGCUGGUACUUGGCCAAGUGCAGUAAGGCCACAUCGCGUGCUUCAUCGAGCUGAUCUUGUGCGUCUUCGAGCGAUGCUUGGUUCCCUUGUUCGUCAUAUGCCCUGACCCUCGGCGAUCCGUACUCCAGAUCGGUGGGCAGGAUGGCCUCGGAUCCGUAUACCAUGAAGAAUGGGGUGAAGCCAGUCGCCCGACUGGGGGUUGUCCUCAGACUCCAAAGGACUGCGGGAAGCUCUGCGACCCACCGGUCGCCGAACUUUUUGAGGCGGUCGAAGAUCCGUGGCUUGAGACCCUGGAGUAUCAUGCCGUUGGCUCGUUCAACCUGCCCGUUCGUGCGGGGAUGUGCCACGGCCGACCAGUCCACUCGGAUGUGGUGGUCGUCGCAGAAUUGGAGAAACCUCUUUCCAGUGAACUGCGUGCCGUUGUCCGUGAUGAUGGAGUUGGGGAUUCCGAAACGAUGGAUGAUGUUGGUGAAGAACUGCACUGCCUGCUCGGACUUGAUUUGCGCAAUCGGUCGUGCUUCGAUCCACUUGGAGAACUUGUCGAUGGUGACAAGCAGGUGGGUGAAGCCCCCGGGCGCUUUCUUGAAUGGCCCGACGAGAUCCAGCCCCCAGACCACGAAGGGCCACGUGAUGGGGAUGGUCUGGAGCGCUUGCGCGGGCAGAUGAGUUUGGCGCGUGAAGAAUUGGCACCCUUCGCAGGUGCGGACCACGUGGGUGGCAUCGGCGACCACCGUGGGCCAGUAGAAACCCUGCCGGAAGGCAUUGCCAACGAGGGUUCUUGGCGUGGCGUGGUGGCCGCAGGCUCCGGCGUGGAUGUCCUGGAUCAGCUCCUUUCCCUGCUCGAUUGGGAUGCAACGCUGGAGGAUGCCGAUGUGGCUUCUAUUGUGGAGCUCCUGGUUGAUGAUGACGAAGGAUUUAGUGUGGCGCGCGAUCCUGCGCGCCUCCAUCUUGGUCGUAGGGAGCGUGUCGCGGACGAGGUAGUCGAGGUACGGGGUUCUCUAGUUGAGCGGGGGGUCAGGCCCCGCUGCUGGGUCUGCAUCGAUUUUCAUGACCUCGGGGUCAGCCUCCGAGUCCGCGGCAGGCGAGGCGUUGCCGACCCUGGUGGGCGGCGCGUCGCUGACCUCUCCCGGGUCAGGGCCCGAGUUCAGGACAGGUGGCGCGUUGCCGACCGCCUCCAGCUCUUGGGAGCGGAUUGAGGGCUUGAGUUGGUCGCUGACAAAAAUACCGUCGGGUACGGGUUUUCAUCCGGACGCUGCCUUCGCCAACUCGUCGGCUGCGUCAUUGAAACGCCUUGCGACAUGGUUGAGCUCUAGUCCAUCGAACUUGUCUUCAAGCUUGCGAACUUCGUUGCAGUAAGCUGCCAUCUUGGGGUCGUGGCAGCUCCACUCCUUCAUGACUUGUUCAACGACCAGCUGAGAGUCGCCCUGGAUGUCCAGCCGCCGGAUGCCCAGCUCGAUAGCGAUGUGAAGCCCGUUGAGGAGGGCCUCGUACUCCGCAACAUUAUUAGAUGCAGGAAAGUGGAGGCGGAUCAUGUACCUCAUGCGCACGCCUAGAGGAGAGACGAAGACGAGGCCUGCUCCGGCGUGGGCCCUCAUCAGUGACCCAUCGAAGUACAUUGUCCAGCACUCCUCUUUUUCUGGGGCCGGUGGCGUCUGGAUCUUUGUCCACUCUGCUACAAAGUCGGCUAGUACCUGGGACUUGAUGACAGUGCGGGGAGCAUAGGUGAUGCCCUGGUCCAUGAGCUCAAGCGCCCACUUCGCAAUCCGUCCCGUGGCGUCCUGGUUUCGAAUCACUUCGCCGAGAGGGAACGACGAAACCACUGUUACCGGAUGGGAGGUGAAGUAGUAGCGCAGCUUCCUCUUCGUGAUGAGGAUGGCGUAGAUGUGCUUCUGGAUCUGCGGGUAGCGUGUCUUGGAUUCGGACAAGACCUCGCUGACGAAGUACACCGGGCGCUGCACCUUGAGGGAGUGUCCGUCCUCUUCUCGCUCCACCACCAGAGUCGCGCUAACCACCUGGGUGGUCGCUGCGAUGUAGAGCAGGAGGGGCUUGCCGUCGGUCGGCGGGACUAGGAUCGGGGCCUUCGUCAGGAGGUCCUUGAGCCGGUCAAGUGCCUCCUGGGCCUCGGCGGUCCACUCGAAGCGGUCGGUCUUCUUCAGGAGUCGGUAGAGAGGGAGCCCCCGCUCGCCAAGGCGCGAGAUGAAGCGGCUCAGAGCCGCCAAGCAUCCUGUGAUGCGCUGGACUCCUUUUAUAUUUCGGAUCGGCCCCAUGUCGCUGAUAGCCGCUAUCUUCUCCGGAUUGGCUUCGAUGCCGCGCACGGAGAUGAUAAAACCUAGCAGCAUGCCCCUUGGAACCCUGAAAACGCACUUUUCAGGAUUGAGCUUGAUGUGCUUGUCUCUUAGCCUUUCGAAGGCUAGUUUGAGGUCGGGGACGAGCUGGUUGCCUCUUUUGGACUUGACUACGAUGUCGUCGACGUAAGCCUCAACGGUCCGCCCGAUGAGGUCGCUGAAGCAUUUGAGCAUGCAUCGCUGGAACGUAGCCCCCGCGUUCUUGAGGCCGAAUGGCAUCUUAACGUAGCAAUAGGGGCCAAAGGGGGUGAUGAAAGAGGUAGAGAGCUGGCCGGACUCUUUCAUCGUGAUCUGAUGAUAGCCAGAAUACGCGUCGAGGAAGCUAAGGGUUUCGCACCCAGCGGUUGAGUCGACUAUCUGAUCUAUGCAUGGCAAAGGAAAUGGAUCCUUUGGGCACGCUUUGUUGAGACCAGUAUAAUCAACACACAUCCUCCAUUUCCCAUUCUUCUUUCGUACAAGAACAGGAUUAGCUAGCCACUUGGGGUGGUGAACUUCCUUGAUGAAUCCAGCCACCAGAAGCUUCUGGAGCUCUUGCCGAUGGCCUUGCGCCUCUCCUCAUCGAAGCGGCGCAAGCCUUGCUUCACUGGCUUAGAACCAGCUUUGAUGUUCAAGGAGUGCUCGGCGACUUCCCUCGGAAUGCCGGGCAUGUCCGAGGGUUUCCACGCGAAAACGUCGCUGUUCGUGCGGAGGAAGUCGACGAGCGCACUUUCCUAUUUGGGGGACAGGGUAGCGCCGAUCCGCACGGUCCGACCAUCGGAGCUGCUGGGGUCGAGGAGCACCUCCUUGACGCCUUUGGUGGCCUCGAAGGAGGUGGCCGACUGCUUGGAGUCGGGCUGGUCCUCGGCGCCUUCCGCGAGUUGGACUGUUGAAUCUUUCGUGAAGGUGAUGGCUGCGGCGUACUUUCAGCAUUCUACUCGCACUCGUACGCCUUCUGGAAAGACGUGCCGACGGUGAUGACCCCAUUGGGCCCCGACAGCUUGAGCUUGAGGUAGGUGUAGUUGGGGAUGGCCAUGAACUUGGCGUAGCACGGUCACCCCAAGAUGGCAUGGUAGGUUCCACGGAAACCUACCACCUCGAAGGUGAGGACCUCCUUCCUGUAGUUGGAAGGGGUCCCAAAGGUGACGGGCAAGUCGAUUUGCCCGAGGGGCAUUGCCUGUUUCCCCAGCACGACGCCAUGGAACGGUGCCUUGCUGGGGCGGAGGCGGGAGCGAUCGAUCCCCAUGGCGUCGAGGGUCUCGGCGUAGAGGAUGUUGAGGCCGCUGCCUCCGUCCAUGAGCACCUUUGUGAGGCGCGUCGUGCUGACGACGGGGUCGACAACGAGGGGGUAGCGUCCUGGCUGCAGGACACGCCCUGGGUGGUCGGACCGGUCGAAGGUGAUGGCGGUUCCUGAUCAGUCGAGGAAGGCUGGUGUGGCAGGUUCGGCCGCGUAGACUUCGCGGCGCUCCAACUUCUGGCAGCGCUUGGAGUCGUAUGCCGCCGGGCCACCGAAGAUCAUGAAGCAGCCGUCCACCUUGGGGAAGCCAUCUUCCUUCUCUUCGCCAUCCUUCUUCUCCUCGUUGGGCUUCCACCUCUGGUCUCCCUUUACCGGGUCGCCUACAAAGUACCUCUUCAUGAGGUUGCAGUCUUUGUAGGCAUGCUUCACGGGGAACUCGUGGUUCGGGCACGGUCCCUCAAGGAGCUUGUCGGAGAAGCCGGGGGUGCCUUCUGGGGGCGACUAUCCCCGUUUGCGCUCGACAGCAGCCAUGAGGGGUGGCUUGCGCCGCUGCUUGUUUUUCUUCUUUUGUUGACGGUUGGAGGUGCCUUCGUCGGCAUCCUCCUCCCGCUUUGCUUUGCCCUUGGAACGAUCGAAGAUUGCCUCGACAGCCUCUUCGCCCGAGGCGAAGCUGCUGGCGAUGUCGAGGAGCUCCUCCGUGGUGCGCGGGCCUCGACGCCCCAGCUCGUGGAUGAGGGGUCGGCAGGAGGUUCUUGGUAGAAAAGCCCCUAUGACAUCGGCGUCCGCGACGUUGGACAGCUCGGUGCGCUUCCGAGAGAAGCAUCUGAUGUAGUCCUGGAGGGACUCAUCUGACCCCUGGCGGCAGCUCCGGAGGUCCCAGGAAUUGCCAGGGCAUGCAUACAUGCCCUGGAAGUUUCCCACGAAUAUCUCCUUCAGGUCGUUCCAGCUGCGGAUCCGUCCCGAAGGGAUAUGUUCUAGCCAGGCUCGCGCUGAGUCGGCCAGAAAGAGCGGUAGAAUGCGGAUGAUGAACAGGUCAUCGUCCGCCCCACCGGCCUGGCAUGCAAGCCGGUCAUCGCUGAGCCAUAGUCCGGGGUUUGUGUCCCCCGAGUAUUUGGCCACAUUCGUUGGUUGCAUAAAGCGCGGUGGGAACGGCGCGUUCAGGAUGCGCGCGGAGAAGGCCCGGGGCCCCGCCGGGUCGGGGCUUGGGCUGCGGUCUUCCCCGCUGUCGUAGUGGCCACCGCGGUGGACAUGGUAGCCGCGAUCGGCCCCCUCCUCCCUGUCCGCGCGGGAGCGCCUCCGCGCGUCUAGGGUGUCGCGGGUGUCACGGAUGGGACCGACGCGCCGGUGAACGGACUGAGCCCCGCCUCCUGCAGGUGGUGGUGUCCGUCGAGCGGGCGCGGCCUGGUUCGCCCUAGGUGGAGGCUGAUAAACGGAUUCGCCCCGCCUCUCCGGGGGUACAGUGGGUGCUGCCCUGCUAUCGUUCUGCCCGCGUCACCGGGACGCGGAACUUUCCGCCUGCUGGACAGCGGUGCACUCGAGUAGGUUUUGCACCUCCUGGCGCGCCUGACUGUGACGGAACAACCUCGGAUUAACUUAACUAAAGCACGAUUAAGCCGCUUGACAUGCGACACUCAUGCCUUAAUCAAGUUAACUCGAUGUGCCGUCGGAUUUCAUCCGAUUUAACCACUUAACAGGACCGAGUUAGCAUGACCCACACGAAGGUGAGUGGUUCAAGAGAAUACAACAGAUCCACCAUUAGAUUAACAAGUGGUUACACACUUGGUUAUAAAUCAGAGUUCUACAAGUUCUGAAGAAAACAACAGACGAUAAAAACAAGCGGAAGCUACUCGUCGGGGUCGGACGUCCCUGGUGAGGCCAGCCAGGACAUCAGUGAUCCCAUUCCCCACCGUCCGAGGAAGGAUCCCACUCGACCGUCCAACCCGGAGGGAGUUAGGGCGGCCAAGAGCCAACAACAAGCUCAGAAGCUGCAACUUCACCUGAAAAGAGGAGCCACAAACAAGGCUGAGGUUCUAAGCUCAACAAGACUUAACCGCCCGGUGGGAAAAACUACUCCACCACUUCUAGACAUGCAAGGCUCUUUGGCUGAGGGGUUUGUUUGCCAAAAGCGACUAUGUUAGGUCCUUGCUUUCAAGUUUUAGCUCAAAUUCUAAGUUCAUUAACCAGUCUACAUUUGCAUCUUACUCUAAGCAAACAUAGAUCCAACUUUAUGUAUAUAAGCUACUCAUCAAGACCAUGUCAUCAUCAGACUCUUUCAUUACUCAGUGUAGCAUAGCGAUCAAGCAGUCUCAAACUGUGAGAGGCAGAUGAAUCGAUUCGAGUUCUUUAACCAUGCAUGGUGAACCUAACCUCACGACAUCCGCGCACCACCGAGGGUCGCUUCCUGUGUCGGCCUUCCCCAUCAAUUCCCUAACCCGUGUCGGGCCCACUCCCUUUGGUGCAAGGUUCCACAGACCCGGCCUCUGCCGUUCUGUGACCACACUUGCCACCACGUGCGGCUGCAGGGGAACUUCGUUCCAAGGACAGUGGGAUGACCGCUCACGUCUAGGUUCAAUCAGGUACUAGGCUUCCCCAUCCCAUACUGAGUAUGAGCUUAGUACUUUCAAACACUUGAUCACGAACACCACCACUGUCGGGUCUUAACAGAUUCCAUAGACAGACGGGGCGAUCAGCCGACCACCAAAAGAGUUAACCAAAACCCUGCCCCGUCCAUCGUCCUUAUAGUUGUAACAGAAGGGGAAAAACAACCAACUCCUAUAGCUCGCGAGUGACAGGGAAUCACUCGGCUUUUACCGAUUCCUAUUUAAGGAUAGCAACUACUCAGCCCAAUAAACUAGUGUUCAGAUCACAGGAACUACGCCCAACAAACGAGGCGUUGCAGAAAGGGUUGCAGAGGGGCUUCCGCUGCGAUUGGGGAGGAGGGCGUGGGAAUCCAUUCUGUCGCGGCCGACGACUAGGCGAAGCGGCGGGCGUCGGAGGGAUUAAGCCACGCGGCGGGGAAGCUCUGAAGCGGCGCAUGCUGCGCGGGUGCGUUUGCCUCGGAAGAUCCGGGGAAAAGAUUUGCGGGUCCACCGGUCAGUCUCGGUUGUUCCACAGCUCCAAGAUUGAAAGGAACACCGCCGUUUGAGAUUUAGAAAGAACCGGUGUUUCUGGUUGGGUUUCCAGGGGUGGGGACCGGAAACUGGAGGUUGAGCACUUAAGCUCAGGGGAGCUGAGUCAGCGGAAAUUAGGGACUCAGAUUAGGAUUAACUCGGCUGAUUAAACCAGGGUCGUUACAGCCUACCCCCCUUAAAAAGAAUCUCGUCCCGAGAUUUGGGUGUAAGGGUAACCAAUGGGGGUGUGCAGUCCUUACCUCCUUGGCUGGAAAGAAAACCUCGGAAAUAUUUGUUCAGAUACUCUUCUGUUUCCCAGGUUGCUUCUUCUUUUGUGUGGUGGUUCCAUAGUAUCUUGUACAUUUUUACUUUUUGCCGUCGGGUAUGUCUUUUCUUUUGGUCGAGGACCUUGGCUGGAUACUCAGUGUAACUUAGGUUGGACUCAAUUUUAAGCUGCUCCUGCUCCAAGACCUCAGUUGGGACUUGGACAAACUUCUUCAGUUGGGAUACAUGGAAAACAUCAUGUAUGGCCGAAAGCUGUUCUGGGAGUUGGAUCCGGUAAGCAACGGGUCCACAAAUUUCCACAAUCUCAUCAGGGCCAAUGUAACAGGGAGCCAAUUUUCCUUUUACUCCAAACCGUUGCACUCCUUUGGUCGGGGAGACUCGAAGAUAUACGUGAUCACCAAUAUCAAACUACAGGGGUCUCCUUCUCCUAUCGGAGUAGCUUUUCAGUCGGGAUUGGGUGGCCUUGAGAUUUGCUUGAAUUAUCUUCACUUGCUCUUUGGCUUCUACUACUAGAUCGGGACCAUAGGUUUGUCUUUCUCCAUCUUGUGACCAAUUCAAAGGUGUCCGACAUUUCCGACCAUAUAGGGCUUCAAAUGGUGCCAUCUUCAAACUAGUCUGGUAGCUGUUGUUGUAGGAAAACUCUGCUAAGGGUAAGCACUGAUCCCAAUUCUUAUCAUAAUGGAUGACACAAGCUCUCAACAUGUCUUCAAGGAUCUGAUUUACCCUUUCGGUUUGACCAUCGGUUUGAGGGUGAUAAGUAGAGCUACGAAUGAGCUUGGUGCCUAGUGAUGCUUGUAGCUGUUCCCAAAAACGCGCUACAAACUGAACACCCCGAUCAGAUAUGAUCGUCCUAGGCACACCGUGCAGAGAAACAAUGCGGUCAAGAUACAACUCCGCAUAUUUCCUGGUCAUGUAGGUGGUGUGAACCGGAAGAAAGUGGGCGGACUUGGUAAGGCGAUCUACAAUCACCCAGAUGGAGUCAUGUCGCUGCGAUGUAAGGGGCAAUCCAACAAUGAAGUCCAUACUGAUGUCUUCCCAUUUCCAAGAGGGAAUAGGUAGGGGCUGCAGGGUACCUGCUACCUUUAAAUGGCUGGCUUUGACACGUUGACAGGUGUCACAUUCUGAAACAUAUCGUGCAAUCUCUGGCUUCAUUCCACUCCACCAGAAGAUUUGACGGAGAUCAUGAUACAUCUUAUUGCUGCCAGGAUGGAUUGAGAACUUGGAGAGAUAAGCUUCAUCUAGGAUUUGCUUUCUCAGAUUGGGGUCAGAUGGUACAACAAGUCGAUUUCCAUAAUACACUCUCCCAUUCUCAUUCUGUCGGAAUUGCUUAUACCCUUCAUCCUUCAAUGAAAUCUUCCUUUUGAUCCGCCUUAUUUCCUCAUCCUCUAACUGUGCUAACCCAAUUUGGUCCUCUAACACAGACUCAAGGGAUAUAUGGUCGAGGGUUCCAUGGGAAACAAUUUCCAAACUGAGCUUUCCCAUCUCUUGGCACAGAGUCUCCGUGAAGUUGGUUGCCAUCAAGCAAUUGCAAUGAGUCCUGCGGCUAAGAGCAUCGGCCACCACGUUGGCCUUGCCGGGGUGAUAAUGCACUUUCAAAUCAUAAUCCUUUAUCAACUCCAACCAUCUUCUCUGGCGCAUGUUGAGGUCGGCCUGAGUGAAGAUAUACUUGAGGCUCUUGUGAUCGGUGUAGAUGUUACAGCGGGUGCCCAUCAAAUAGUGCCUCCAUAUCUUUAAGGCAUGAAUCACUGCUGCCAACUCAAGAUCAUGGGUCGGAUAGUUCAGCUCAUGAGGUCGUAACGCCCGUGAGGGAUAGGCAAUGACUCGGUUGUCUUGCAUAAGAACACACCCAAGUCCAGUGCCAGAGGCGUCAUAGUAUACGUCAAACGGCCUAGAAGGGUCGGGUUGAGCCAAAACCGGGGCUGAGGUUAGCAAGUGUUUCAAGGUGUUGAAGGCUUCUUCACACUUGUCGUUCCACACAAAUUUGGCUUCUUUCUUAGGCAGCUCAGUCAUCAGUUUAGCUAUCUUGGAGAAAUCCGGAAUGAAGCGCCGAUAGUAGCCUGCUAAUCCAAGAAAACUUCGGAUCUGGUGAACUGAAGUGGGUGGCUUUCAGUCCAUGAAUUCCUGUACCUUGCUGGGGUCAACUGCUAUGCCAUCCCGAGAGAUGGUGUGUCCCAAGAACUUGACAUUCUCUAACCAAAACUCACACUUGGAGAAUUUGGCAUAGAGCUGAUAAUCUCUCAACCGUUGAAGAACCACACGAAGAUGAUCGGCAUGUUCUUCUUCACUCUUGGAGUACACCAGAAUAUCAUCAGUGAACACCACCACGAACUUGUCCAGUUCGGGCAUGAACACCGAAUUCAUGAGAUACAUGAAAUAGGUGGGUGCAUUGGUGAGUCCAAAAGACAUAACUAGGUACUCGUAGAGUCCAUAUCUUGUGGAGAAAGCAGUUUUGGGAAUAUCACAGGGUCUGAUCUUGAUUUGGUGAUAACCGGAACGAAGAUCGAUCUUGGAGAACACUCUGGCUCCAGCUAAUUUAUCAAACAAGACAUCGAUGCGGGGAAGUGGAUACUUGUUCUUGACAGUCAACGCAUUGAGAGGUCGGUAGUCCACACACAUGCGUAGACUUUCAUCCUUCUUCUUCACAAACAAGGCUGGGCAACCCCAGGGUGAAGUACUAGGUCGGAUGAAGCCUUUCUCCAACAGAUCAUGAAACUGGGUUUUUAACUCGGCCAGCUCAGCGAGUGGCAUCCAAUAGGGUCUCUUGGAUAUCGGAGCGGUGUCAGGCUGCAGUUCAAUGGCGAACUCGAUAUCUCUGUCUGGCGGCAUGCCAGGUAAGUCAUCUGGAAACACAUCCGGGUACUCGCAGACAACAGGAAGGUUUUCUAUCCGGGCUUCUGAUAUAGGGUACGCGCAAGGAAUUGCGUACUCAGGGUGGGUCAAGGAUAGGGUAGAGCUGCCAUGAAAGGGUGAGUUGAUGUGGAGAGCUCGGGCAGCUGCAUCUAGGACCACUUGGUGUCGGGUCAUCCAAUUCAUCCCAAGGAUGAUAUCUAUUCCUUCUAGGUCAAGGAUGAUAAGAUUCUCCCUAAAAAGAGUUUGGUCUAGCUGGAUAGGUACAAGGGUAACUAUCUUGUCUGAGGCUAUCUUUCUUCCCAGAGUGGAGAUCACAUAUGAUCCUUUAGUGUGAUCGACACUCAGCUCACAUCUCUCUCUAGUCUUACUCCCGAUGAAGCUAUGGGAAGCUCCUGAAUCAAACAAAACCACAACAGUUUGAUUAAGGACAAGGAAGGUACCCAUCAUCACUGGCGCACCUUCGGGGAGCUCAGUCAAGCUGGUGUAGUUGAGCCGUCCUUGGCGAACUUGCACCUUAGGCCUUCUUCCUUUGUUCACCGUGGGGUUCUGGCCAGGCUGUUGAUUCUUGUUCCUAGGACAGUCCUUGGCAAAAUGCCCUUCAUUUCCGCAGGUGAAACAACGAUUGCUAUUCACAGGGCGCGCGGUGGUAAGGUCGGCCGGGGCGCCUGCGGUUGAAAACCAGGAAAACGAGGGGCCACUAGUGGUGGAGGGCGAGCAAUCCAUCAUCCCGAUUGUUGGGGCCUGUGGGGCAUCUGAGGGGGAACCAUCUUGAAUCUUCGAGCUGGCGGGCUCGGUAAUGCCACUGAGGCCUUUCUCUUCUGGUCAGCUUUAAGAGCCUGCAUGCAGUCCUCUUGAGAGAUGGCCAAAUUCACCAAUUCAUUGUAGGUAUCCACCUUGAUGGGGUUCAACCUCUCCUUGAGUUCCAGGCUCAAGCCUCUGCGGAACCUGUCCCUUUUCUUCUCGUCGGUAUCUGCAUGAUAGCCGGCAUAACGGCACAGGUCAUUGAAGGCUUGUGCAUAGUGUAAGAUGUCACGGCUUCCUUGGGUAAGGGCCAAGAACUCGUUGAGUUUGCAUUCUAGAAGACCUUCUGGAAUGUGAUGCCCUCUGAAAGCGGUCUUGAACUCGUUCCAGCUGACAGCAUGGUCGGCCAGCAACAUAGCAUGGUAGUGAUCCCACCAAAGCCGGGUGGAACCACGCAGCUGUUGAGCCGCGAACCGGGCUUUGUUCUGGUUGGGGCACGGGGCGGUGAGGAGUUCGAACUUGGAUUCAAUAGUACAAACCCAGGCAUCUGCAUCGAGCGGGUCUUCCAUCUUGUGGAAGGUCGGGGGCUGCGUGCUCAAGAAGUCCUCAUAACGAGCAACUUGAGGUUGUUGAUGAGCUCUCCCUCCAUGGGGCUGCUGUUGUUGUCCUUGUACAAUGUGCCUUAGCAGCUCAGUUUGAGCCGCUAGGAGGGCUUCCAGCGAGGGUGGGGGCGGAGGCGGAGGAAGAUCCUGCCUCUGCUCGCUACCGCUGGGCACAGAGCCAGAUCGGGUGCGGUGCGCCAUCUGCAAGAGCCAACGUUCCAUUAAUUCCAUAACCUCAGAAGUAUUCCAAUCAUGCGGGAACGUAUACUUUAAAUCCUCAAAAUGCGACUCUUGCCGAUAGUGCAACACAACAGCAUCUCUUAUUAAGGAGAUACACACUUCCUCCUGCCAUCUUAGUUAGCCACUAUCUUAGUUCUGCACACAACUUCGGGCGAACCAAACCGUAUCCCAUGGGCUCCACUAUAUCCGACCUUAGGCCAAGGGGUCGGGCUAAGCGAAACGGUGCAACCAGGGGUCGGGCAAGGCGGAGACCGGCUCGAGGAGUCGAGCGCAUCCGACCUUGCAACUCGGGGUCGGCCAAGCUUUGGACAGACCCACAGAAAAUGGGUGUGUGGUCACAACACAAAACUCACACAACUUGGCAUCCAAAGCGUGUCGCAAAAAGGGUCAAAAGUCAAGUCAAGAUCUGAUUUCACUAAGAUCAUUUCAUUGUUGUUCCCCAAAACAUAGGAGGAAUACUCAACUCAAGACUAACCUAUCACAUCACUAUCCAAAACUUAGGUUGCCGAGGAGUACAACAAAAGAUUAGAUUCCCACAGCUCUCAACCUAUGAGGGAAUGCUAUGAGUCGGAGAAGGGGCGUCGUCCUCUUCCAUGUCCAUACUGGACGCUCCUAUUACCUCCGCAGGGUCUUCUUGUUCGUCCAGUUGCAUCUCAAGGGCAUGCAUGGCAUCGAGCUUGGCGUGGUGCUCGUCCAAAUGAGCAUUAGCAACUGCGAGCUCCAUCUCAACUUCCAUCUUCUCUUCGGCAAGCUCGAUCAUGCCAUCCACCAGGUAUGUCACUUCUCCCUCGAGUUCGUAGAUCCUGGCUUGCAUGUCAUGGAUCUAUAUGCCUCUCUAGAUGAGCUGAUAUGAUCAUCCCACCAAGUCUCUCUUGGCGGCGUUGAAAUGCCCUUGGGUGUCUAUGGCUAUCCGAGCCAAGACAGCCAUCGCUCGGCCUUGAACCUCAAUCAGCUGAUACAAGGCUGACAUGCAUCUGGUGGUGGUAGAGAUGGUCACCAGUGAAUGGGAGGUUGCCAACACCUCCAUGUUGUUGACGCGAUCAAGCCACGUGGGGUCUAACCGAUCCCUGGUGGGAAACAAGCUGAUUGGGUCUAAGGUGACCUCAAGCGGGUGUAACCGACAUAACUGGGUGAGGAUCUGCAGAGCAGCCGACUCCCAGGUGUCCUCCAGAGCGUGUCCGCAAGUCAAGACUUCGAGCGGGGGCCACUCGGGCUGCACAGGGGGUGGAGGUACAACCAGCUGCACGUUGCAUCUCGGCACUCUGUGCUCCUGGUACAUUCGUCCCACGUACAGAGGUGGGGACUGGUACCCGAACCACCUCAAGGUAUCUCACAGAAUAGCAGGAAAACCCUCAAAGUGUAGGCACGUAGAGUGGGAAACGCCGUCAGCGCCGUACAACACGUGUCCGGGGGCAGCCAUCUGAACCAAGAACCAAAACAACGUGAGAUAGAGACUCUAAGAAGAAGAACAGGUCGGGCAGAAAAGGUACUCGGAUUUUCGACCAGAGCGCAAGCUGGAAAGGAAGCUAGAAAUCCUUAAAGCGAAGAAGAACUUUUCCAAGGCAAGGUUGUUCUAGGGAGGUGAUUUCACAGAUUUUUUUUUCAUGCCGCAUGCACUGCCUACCUCGUUCUCUCAACCAAAACAACUGCCAAAACCCUUGGUCUUACACGGUCAGUGCCAGUGGCAAGGCAACCAGUACGUCUCUCCCUAUAAUAGCUAGUCGGUUUCUAGUAGCGUCUCCUAAGCGAACACGGUUAGGAUACCUGCAGAAAACACAGCCACCUGAACCUUUCAUGCCAGCACCCACGAAAGCAUCCCCAAGCAUUACCGUUCACUAUAGAAAUGACACCCAUGCGUUUAAAGCUGCAUGGACAGCACAACAACCGUGGAAACAGGCCCCCUUUGAAUGGAACCGUAUAACCCUUCGCAUGCUCGUGAUGCGGAAUCAGCGCACGUAUAAUAGACGUGGGCGAACAACCGUGAUGAUAGGCUCGUUGGAAUCGAACCAUACCACCCUUUGUAUGAGUUAACAUACGGAACCUCUGCACACGUGUGAUAGACGUGGGCGAAACAACCGCGAUGAUAGGGUCCCUUGAAUAGAACUCCCUAUCAACCCUCGCAUACUCGUGAUGCGGAACUCGGCACACGUAUGAUACACGUGGCGAAGUGCUGGGGGUUAGCAAGAUAACCAAUAAGUAAUAGCCACCUGAAGCAACCCAAAAUCCCCUAGGUCCUCUCGUGCUAAAGUCAUCCUUAACAAUCAUACGAGAUUUUUCAACAUUUUUCUUGCAAAUUUUAUUCAGAAAGAACGUGUUUUAGGACCCAUCGUGUUCUCUGUCCUGCUAAACCAGCUCUGAUACCAGCUGUGGUGGAACCACCUCGGAUUAACUUAACUAAAGCACGGUUAAGCCGCUUGACAUGCGACACUCAUGCCUUAAUCAAGUUAACUCGAUGUGCCGUCGGAUUUCAUCCGAUUUAACCACUUAACAGGACUGAGUUAGCAUGACCCACACGAAGGUGAGUGGUUCCAGAGAAUACAACAGAUUCACCAUUAGAUUAACAAGUGGUUACACACUUGGUUAUAAAUCAGAGUUCUACAAGUUCUGAAAAAAACAACAGACGAUAAAACAAGCGGAAGCUACUCGUCGGGGUCGGACGUCUCUGGUGAGGCCAGCCAGGACAUCAGUGAUCCCAUUCCCCACCGUCCGAGGAAGGAUCCCACUCGACCGUCCAACCCGGAGGGAGUUGGGGCGGCCAAGAGCCAACAACAAGCUCAGAAGCUGCAACUUCACCUGAAAAGAGAAGCCACAAACAAGGCUGAGCUUCUAAGCCCAACAAGACUUAACCGCCCGGUGGGAAAAACUACUCCACCACUUCUAGACAUGCAAGGCUCUUUGGCUGAGGGAUUUGUUUGCCAAAAGCGACUAUGUUAGGUCCUUGCUUUCAAGUUUUAGCUCAAAUUCUAAGUUCAUUAACCAGUCUACAUUUGCAUCUUACUCUAAGCAAACAUAGAUCCAACUUUAUGUAUAUAAGCUACUCAUCAAGACCAUGUCAUCAUCAGACUCUUUCAUUACUCAGUGUAGCAUAGCAAUCAAGCAGUCUCAAACUGUGAGAGGCAGAUGAAUCGAUUCGAGUUCUUUAACCAUGCAUGGUGAACCUAACCUCACGACAUCCGCGCACCACCGAGGGUCGCUUCCUGUGUCGGCCUUCCCCAUCAAUUCCCUAACCCGUGUCAGGCCCACUCCCUUUGGUGCAAGGUUCCACAGACCCGGCCUCUGCCGUUCUGUGACCACACUUACCACCACGUGCGGCUGCAGGGGAACUUCGUUCCAAGGACAGUGGGACGACCGCUCACGUCUAGGUUCAAUCAGGUACUAGGCUUCCCCAUCCCAUACUGAGUAUGAGGUUAGUACUUUCAAACACUUGAUCACGAACACCACCACUGUCGGGUCUUAACAGAUUCCAUAGACAGACGGGGCGAUCAGCCGACCACCAAAAGAGUUAACCAAAACCCUGCCCCGUCCAUCGUCCUUAUAGUUGUAACAGAAGCGGAAAAACAACCAACUCCUAUAGCUCGCGAGUGACAGGGAAUCACUCGGCUUUUACCGAUUCCUAUUUAAGCAUAGCAACUACUUGGCCCAACAAACUAGUGUUCAGAUCACAAGAACUACGGCAUGCAUCUAUGGUUGCAAACAACUCCUAUACGUAAAUGCACAAACACGAGAAGGAAGGCAUGUGCAAGUUUAGAAAUUUAGGGUUCAUGCUCCGGGGCUUGCCUUCAAGCGGAGGGGAGGGAAACUGUUCUUCAGCUGGGGCGGCUUCGGCUUCUGGGAUUUGCAGCUCAGCUACAGCUCCGUCUUCGGGCGUCGGGUGUAGCUCGUAGACGCCGUCAGCAAGAUGUAACCCUACACGAAUGCAAUGCAGGAGUUAGUGUUUAGACGGCUAUUUCAACAACACUUGCCGUUUAAGCUCGAACACUUGUAGCAAGGCUACAGAAAAGGUGGGGAAGUUUGCUUUAGUUGGUGGAGAGCAAGAUAAAAGGGUCGGAUGGGAAUAGACUUGUGGUCUGACCCUUAAGCUUUAAGGGAUAACUGUGUUCAGGGUCCUCAGACUUGACACAGAGAAAUCCCGAUCUUUUACACAGAUACCCUCGGGUCAAGGAAACAGAUACAGUCGAGUCCUCGGGCGAGGCGGAAAAGGGUCGGCGGAACAGACAGGGUCGGGCGAGACGGAAAGAGAGGUCGGGCGAACCGGAAAGGGGUCGGCAGCUUACCUUCGGUUUAUAGGUGAAGCUUGGGGUCGGGAAGGAGCAGACUUGGGCGGAAGGACUUAAGCACUAAGGCUUGGGUGGCGGCGAUGUCCGGCGGUGCUCUAGCGGCGGCGGAGCUUCUUGUGGGCAACAAGGAAGCUCUAGCACAGCGCGGAGGGGCAGACGGCUGGGUGGACUGGGGAGAAGCGGACUUGAGCGGAGAGGGGAACUUCUCAAGAGUUUUUAGUGGGAUUGCUCAAGUGUGCUCCGAGUAGGGGCGGUGAAAUAGCGAAGGCGAAGGAACUUCGGUGGAACUCUGGCAUUCCCUUUUUAUAGCUGCGCGGGAGAGAGAGUGUUGGAGCAGCACGAAGACCAGAAGAAAAGGAUGGAGUGCGCUGCCAUGGCGGCGAUUGAGCGGCGUAGGCGCAGUUUUGCCGGGGUUGAGAUUUGGCGGAGGCGGGCGUCGUCGAGCGGCGGAUUUGAUUGGUGUGACAGGGAGAAAGGUGCUGCAAGCGAGGUUGCAACAGGCGAAGUGAUAGGGCGAACAGUGUCGUGGUCGAGCACGAAACAGCGGCAUUGCCGGAGCACGGCACUGGUGGGGCGAGAAUAAGGAGCUGUUGCUGCCGGAGUCGGGGUUGGCGAGGGAGGAAUCAUCGCGUAGCGAGUUCAUGGGCGGCACGACUGUGGAGAGGUGGCGGAAAAGUCGGAAGGCAUCGGGUCUUGCAGCCGAUGAUCCGACGAGAUGAUGGGCGCGAGCCGUGAGGCGGUCUGACGCAGCAGCGGCAAAGCUCUGCCAUGGCGGCGAUGGGGCACCAUGGCGCGGCCGGCGAGGGCGCGAGCGAGACGAGGCGUUGCAGAAAGGGUUGUAGAGGGGCUUCCGCUGCGAUUGGGGAGGAGGGCGUGGGAAUCCAUUCUGUCGCGGCCGACGACUAGGCGAAGCGGCGGGCGUCGGAGGGAUUAAGCCACGCGGCGGGGAAGCUCUGAAGCGGCACAUGCUGCGCGAGUGCGUUUGCCUCGGAAGAUCCGGGGAAAAGAUUUGCGGGUCCACCGGUCAGUCUCGGUUGUUCCACAUCUCCAAGAUUGAAAGGAACACCGCCGUUUGAGAUUUAGAAGGAACCGGUGUUUCUGGUUGGGUUUCCAGGGGUGGGGACCAGAAACUGGAGGUUGAGCACUUAAGCUCAAGGGAGCUGAGUCAGCGGAAAUUAGGGACUCGAAUUAGGAUUAAGUCAGCUGAUUAAACCUGGGUCGUUACACUGACGCUCCUCGGGCGUCACCGGCUCGGGGAGUCGUCGGAGUAGGGCCGCCGCAGCGGUGAUGUUCUGGUUGGCGCGGGUGAAGAGCUGAGGGCGCUCUUCGUCUGCACAGAUGCGCUGCUGGACGUCGCGCGCACGUUGUCGUGCCCCGCCUUCGUGGCGGGGGCACUCGACCUCUUGGCGGGGCGCCGCGCGCGCCUCCGGUUGUCGAGGUCGCACCGGGGCCUUGGCGAUCGCUCCGGUUGUAGCCGCGGCGCGCGGUGGGGGAGUCCUCUGCCUCCCCUCGGCGCCAUCAUCAUUGGACGCCUUGGAGUGCACGUCGAUCAUGAGGCACUCACGCGAGGGGGUGGUGGCUCCCACUGUUGGAGCCAGCGUUGGAAAUUGUCCUCACCACACCCACUAGCUCGUUGCUCGUAGGCGACGCGGUCAUGGACCACGCCAAGAGACGACCGUAGGUCGUCCCGGCAUUGCGCAGCCCGAAGAGACGCCCCUCUGAGGGAAGUCCUCUGGCGCGCGCCUGGCCGCUCGCCGUUAUCCCGGAGGCGGAGUCGGGAAUGGUGGGAUGAGCGGGCAAGACGAGGAGAGGGAUAAGCUCGAUCCCCUCCCCGAUGGCGAGGAAGUCCAGACUCCCGAAGCGGAUCAGAGAGCUCGGGGCGAAGCUGGCAUCGUGGCUGGCCAUAUCAAGUCGGUGUUGUAUGCGCAAAGGUCCCCUACCUGGCACGCCAAGCGCCAAGUGUCGUUGUCAAGAUUAGCGGGUCAAGACUUAGACUAGUAAAUUUCUUUUAUGCGCGUGAGGCUUGAGAUGGUGGCGUGAGAGACACGGGGUUUAUACUGGUUCGGGUAAAGGAAAUACCCUACGUCCAGUGUUAGGAGCUGCUCAUGUUGCCCACGCGGGGUUCUGUAGUAGGGGUUACAGAAGUGCGAGAGAGGGAACUGGUCCCAGGUCUCUUGGGUGUGCACUGAUGCUCUAGAAGGGUGUGUGCGUGUGUUCUGUUGGCUUGGAAGCAUUGUGGUGCCUUUUGUUGUCCUUCCAGCCCCCCUGUCUCAGGCCCCCGAUUCCCCUUUUAUAGCGUAAGGAGACCACCGGGGUUACAGGCGAGACCGAGUAUGGGGAGAACUAAAGAGAUAAACAUAGCUAGGUAAAAAUACAACACCAAAAGGGGGGAAACAAGUUCCCAGGUCACCGGCGUCCUCACCGGCCUUCGACUUCCGCCGGCGCAUUUGCCGGAGGAGGGUGGCCGCCAUCGCGUCCUGUCGAUGGCUUCCUCGGCGACUGUAGCCGCCGGGCGUGAUGAUGGCAUUUCGUCGUGACCCUCGUGUCCGUUGGGGGAGGCAGCGGAUCCCGCCAUCCUGCUAACGGCCCGCGGAAGGCGGCCAUCGCAUCCCUGCCGCCGGGCGCGCGGGGCACGAGAACGGGCGAGGCUCCCCCCUGCUUCGGGCGACGCAGGCCAUGAGUGCCCUGUGGUGAAUGGGUGGAGGCCGCAGCUACUGUAGCUUGUACAGUGCGGCCGCGCAUGGGUACUUGCAACAGGUUGCGUGAGGGGCGCGGGCAUCCUUCUUCCUGACAGACCUGCGACGCAUUUAUGGCGAGAUCGACAGGGGGACCCACGAGAUAUGCGCCCGAGGCGGAUACUCGUCUGGCGGGCCCGGGUCAGCCCGACCCCUUACACUUGGGGUCGGGCGAGGCGGAGCGUGAUUCUUGCCCCCCGUGUUGGGCCGGAGGCAGGCUUGUUACCUUAAGUGGGCCUGGGCAUUUACGUUUUGUUGUUUCCAUGGGCUUGGGGAAAUCGUUAAUAUUUCCCCCCAACACUAAUGUUAAUGUUAGCAUUAGUAUUGGGAUGUAACACCACCCGGUACUAAAGGUGCCCCUUUUUUCCCCUUUAGUACUGAGUGGCGUUAUGACCUGGUACUAAAAGGUCUAGAACUUUUUAGUACCGGGUCAUAACACCACUUGGUACUAAAGGGACACUUUUAGUAUCGGGUGGUGUUAUGACCCGGUAUGAAAGGCCCUCCACGCGUUACUUUAAAAGGAUAGAAUAUCUACCUUCAUCACAUGUGCUGUGUAGGUGGGAUGGUAAGGAAGCCUAUGAAGCUUGAGGUCGUGGGUUUGAAUCCCACAGACCGCACAUGACGCGAGACUUUAUUUUUUGACGCAAAACAAGUGUUACCAACCGGUACUAAAGGGAUCCCUUUAGUAUUGACGCAAUACUAAAGGCCACCCUUAGUACCGACACAGCAAUACCUGUUGUGCAACCGGUACUAAGGAGGGUUUGGAACCCAUACAGAAAGCGGAAUCCCCAGUAGUGAGUGAAGAAGCUAUCUCGGUGGGGGAGUGAAGGCACGUAGGCCUAUGAUCACGUAUGUUUGUUUGGGGUGGUUCCGAGUGAACGUGGAAGGUUUGUUUUUAUGAAGGCCGGGGUGUUUUGUUCCUUAAAAAUGGUUUUUAAAAGUGAAUUUUCACCCUUAAAAUAGGAGCGGAUGGAGCGAUUUUCAGGGACGGUUUAUAAGGAGCAUCGCUCCUAGAAAUUAAACCACCAAACUAGGAAUAAUCCUUUAACCAUCUGAUCCCCCUCUCUUAUCCUCUCCUCCACCCACACAUCCUCUCUUCUCUGUCACUUAUCCUCCCAUGCACUGAUCCUCAUGCAUUCCUCCUCUUUCCCCAUGUUUUCCUCCACUCCCACGUAAGAGCACACAAGGACGAGCGAUCACAGGCUGGAGGUUGGUGGGCGGGUGGGCUGCUCCGGCGUGGUGGCAGGUGCGGGCGUGCGGCGGCGCGCCUAGCUCAGGUGCCGGAGGUGUGGAAAGUACUUUUUUCUGCACUAAAAAUUCACAAUUUUUUUCUGCACUAAAAAUUCACAUAACCUUCAAAAGUAGUCUAGUUUGGUGAAUUUAGUUUUAAGGUUUAAGUGAUGCAUAUGUGUUUUCGUGCAAAAUGGGUUCAUCUGCAUCUGUUUUAUCACCACAAAAGUUUCAUGAAUUUUAUAGGUGAUUUGAAGGUCGUUUUGAUUAAAAGAAAAGAGGUUAGAUCAAAUCCACGGGUUACUGUGCGAGUUAACUGACAAACAGACAAAAGUGUCAAAUAAGAAGUUUAACUUAAUGUUUAAUAAGGAAGUUGAAAUUUUCAAUGUCAAAUUAUAAAGCUCCAUAUAUUUUAACGGUAUCAAAUAGUGAAUUUUCACUUCCACAAGAAGACUGAGAAAACCUAUAUGGGAUCAAGGCGAAGCCUUGAGAAUUGGGUUCCAAACAAACCGAGGCAGGUGGAACCGUUUUUUUUCCCACAAGGUGGAACUGGUUAAGUACUGCUAGGAGCAUAGCUAUUAGUCUAUUAGCAAGGACCGCACACAAUAGGCUUCGGCGAAAAACAUCAUUAAGGUGCUAGGACAGGAGGGAACCAAGAACCAAUUGUAAUCUCUUACCACAUUAGUGUUAUAAAGACUAUUGUGCUUGUGCCCCGAAAUAUUUUUAGCAUACAGUGGUUGCGAGGAUAUAAUAAUAGCGUAAAUUGUAAACUGAUGUUUGGUCCCCCAUGUGUAAACCAAAUUUUGAGGAGUAUAAAGAUAGAUCGGUUGAUCUUAAUUAUUUCAUUGAUGAUGCGUUUAUAUCUUGGAAUAUCAUAGUCACUUGCUGAUCAGAGUGUGCUGCAGUUGGCCGUCUGGAAGGAGAGCUGGCCCUUGCCGAUGUCGAAGAGGAGGUGCAUGUUCUGCUGCUGGAAGUUGCCGAUAAUGCUUAUAUCGAACGCUUCCAUGAUAGCCAUGCAGGCCGUCGACUUGUCUAUUGGCGCCCAGUAGUUCUCCGGAGGCAGGGCCAUGUCCGCGCCGCCGCUGAAGUGGAACACGAGCGUCGGCACAAAGCUGUCCAAGUCGCCCCGUGCCACACACAGCGCCAUCCCACCGCCAUCUCCCCCCGGAGGUGGCACGAGGCUGCCGUUCAGCUGCCGAGCAAGCUCGUCGGUUAGCGGCUUGUACGCGUCUUCGACGAGCGAGGUGAAGGGGCUGCCGGAGUCGAUGAUGACCCCGCCCGCCCAGAACCCCUGGUCAAGGCGCCGGAGAUCGAACACCGAGCUCUGGAUGGGCAGCUUGGUCUUGCCGACUGUGAUCCCCACCAGAGGGAGGUAGUAGAACAGGCUGUAGGGGUAGUCCUUGGGGUUCUCCGCGAACGGCAUGGACGUCACGGGGCCGCCGCCGCCGCUCAGGCUCGCCGCGGCGCCGACGAACAGGAGGCUCGACGCGCCGUUGUUGUGGAAGUAGGGCGUGAGGCAGUAGGAGAACUUGGUGGCGCCCGUCUGGGAGACAAGCGACAGGCGUCCGCGGCCGAGCCCGAUAAGGCCCGACGCGCCGCGGAGCGCCCCCUGCGUGAGCCGCGUGAAGCUCACGCACCCGAAGGCGAGCGUCGCCACGCCGGACUGGAACGCAAAGGCGUCGGUGCUGAGGAAGCCGAUGACGCUGCCGGCGCCGUAUAAGACCCGGAACGUGCAGCUGCCGUCCAGGGCGCAGAAGUGCACGCUGUUGGCCGCGCAAGCCCUGUCCCUGCACGGCACGGGCGCGAAGCUGCCGGAGGCCGAUGCGUUGAAGUAGGGCAGGUCCUGCCGCUCGCAUGACUUCCGGAGGCAUGCCGUGGACUGCGUCCAGAUGAGGUCGCUGCCGGUGUCGAUGAGUGCCUCCACGCGCUGCGGCGGGUCGCCGAUCAGGUACUCCGCGAUGUACUGCCGGGUGGCCCAGUGCACGGGCGCACUCACGCCGCCGCCGCCGCUUGCACGCAUGGAAGCCAGGCGCUGCUGGGUGACAGCGACGGCACGCUGCACGCGCUCCUCCGUGGUGUAGCUCCCCUUGGCGUCGACGUGGGUGAGCUUCAUGCGGAUUCCUGUGGCGCUAGCGGUGCCGCCGCUGCAUGUUAGGACAGCGCUGAGGCACAGGAGCCCGAGUAAUACCAAUGUCGUUGGCGCCAUUUUCGAUUUCAACUUUGUUCUUGCCGAGACUUAUUGUAGUUGUAGCCGUUUAAUACCAAUGUGCAUGUAUGUGCAUCAGUACAUGUGUAUACACACCAGUAGAGAAUUGGCUUUCCAUGCGCCCCCUUUUGUCCCGGUUUAAAGUUGGCCCGGGACAAAAGGUUCACCAACCGGGACUAAAACUCGGUCACUGGUGGGGGCCUCACCAACCAGGACCUUUUAUCCCGGUUGCAAAGGCUAGUGGGAAAAAAAGACUCUGAGAGGCCUUUUAUCCCGGUUNNNNNNNNNNNNNNNNNNNNNNNNNNNNNNNNNNNNNNNNNNNNNNNNNNNNNNNNNNNNNNNNNNNNNNNNNNNNNNNNNNNNNNNNNNNNNNNNNNNNGCAUAUCUCGCCCCCGUAUUGGGCCGGAGGCAGGCUUGUUACCUUAGGUGGGGCCUGGGCCUUUACGUUUUGUUAUUUCCAUGGGCUUGGGAAAAUCGUUAAUAUUUCCCCCCAACACUAAUGUUAAUGUUAGCAUUAGUAUUGGGAUGUAACACCACCCGGUACUAAAGGUGCCCCUUUUUUCCCCUUUAGUACUGAGUGGCGUUAUGACCUGGUACUAAAAGGUCUAGAACUUUUUAGUACCGGGUCAUAACACCACUUGGUACUAAAGGGACACUUUUAGUAUCUGGUGGUAUUAUGACCCAGUAUGAAAGGCCCUCCACACGUUACUUUAAAAGGAUAGAAUAUCUACCUCCAUCACAUGUGCUGUGUAGGUGGGAUGGUAAGGAAGCCUACGAAGCUUGAGGUCGUGGGUUUGAAUCCCACAGACCGCACGUGAUGCGAGACUUUAUUUUUUGAUGCAAAACAAGUGUUACCAACCGGUACUAAAGGGAUCCCUUUAGUAUUGACGCAAUACUAAAGGCCACCCUUAGUACCGACACAGCAAUACCUAUUGUGCAACCGGUACUAAGGGGGGUUUGGAACCCAUACUGAAAGCAGAAUCCCCAGUAGUGAGUGAAGAAGCUAUCUCGGUGGGGCUCGGGAUUUUUUUUUUUGCAGCGCCGGCCGUGGUGACCCGUUUUGUCCCGGUUGAUUUAUCCCGGAUGGAUUUUUAGGAUAUUUGCACCUUACCAACCGGGACUAAAGCCCAAUUUUCUACUAGUGACAGGAAGACAAUUCUGAUCUCCAGCUUGUGGGUGAGCAAUGGGUGGCCAUGCAAAAACGGCUGACUACACGUUGACUCUAGUUACUAUCAAAAUAAUUAUAUACUGCCAGAGCUUGAUGACGACAGGACAAUGCUGCCAAGGCUCAAGUGUACGAGGAAUAAUACGUAAUAAUCUGGGUCUUUCUCGAUUGAUUCUAAUUUCUAUUUUCUUCUCGCGAAGACUUUAUCCGUUGGACGGUGAUAGUUAGAAUGGAUCAAGAUUCCAUAUGGGCUAAUAAUUUUAAGAAACAUAGAAUUAUAAAAUAACAAGUAUAAAUUCAUAGCUACUAGAAAAAUAAUCUCUCAUCUCACACCUUAGUACCGACCACAUUUCAACUUGGUACUAAUGCUAACAUUAGUACCGGGUCCAAAUUUAGUAGCCCUGAAGGUCUUUUAGUACUGGAUCAUAACACUACCGGUACUAAUCGUGUGCUAUGACCCGGUACUAAAGCCACAAGGACUUUUAGUAUUGGGUCAUAACACCACUCGGUACUAAAAAAGUUACUUUAAAAGAAAAACAUCUCUUAGUCCAUCACAUGUGCUGUGGCGGUGAGAUGGUAAAUAUUUAACAUUAUUUAACCAUAAUUUAAAUCAUUUAAAAGGGUCAAAGUAUUCAUAAUAACAUUAGGAAACAUGAAAAUAUUCAUAAUAACAUUACAAAACAUGACACGCCAUAAGAUGUAGAGAGUAAAAAUGUAAAAUGAAAUCUAUAAAACAUAAUUAAGCAUAGAUAUUACAAUAACUUAGAUAGUAAAAUUUAAUAGUAGGAUCAUGGGCAUGCAUGAUCCCAUAGGAUCCUACAUCAAGGGUCAUGAUAGAACGGAACUAAGAUCAACAAUGGGAUCACAUGAGCAUGUUUCGGCUCGGCGCUUCAUAUAUUGUGUAAUAUUCGAUAUUUUCUUGAAUCUUUUUUAUCUUUAUUUUCACAACGAUGUUUACACUUUCGCAUUUAUGGGCAGUAAAUCUAUUUAUGUAUAAGCUAACCACACAUAGUAUGAAAUUUAUAUUUCACUAUCUGGUUGAAAAGGGAAAACAAUUGUAGCUACAAAAUUGAAUUUUUAAUGAAUACUCAUCUUCAGCACUAAAGCUUGAGUAACAAACUUUGUAGUUAUAGAAGUAAUCAUGAGCAUGAAGUAGUUAGACGUUGAAAAACUAUCAACCAGCCAUUUCCUAUUCGCUAAUCCUACAUUUAAAACUGGUCUAUGAAAUUAGUUGUCAACAUAAGAAUAAGAGAAAAAGGAAUUUAAGGACUUGCAUAACUUAUUUUUCAUCACAUAGACUUACUACUUAAUAGACAAUUUUUACAAAGUUAUUUUGUCAAAGAAAAUGAUCAGCUCCCUAACUCCCAACAACCUAGUGAAUCGUGGCUGCACCUACAUGAUUCAUAUUGAAGUUUUAGGAUACCUGUUGCACAUGUUGCAUUUGCAUGAAAGAGAACGGCACUUGAUAAGAUUUGUGGGAAUUAGAUGUAGUUGAUCAGUUACUAUCACUUUCGUAAUCAUUAUUAUCAUGCUAAUACUCCUAAGACAAAAUGUUCUACCUUUCCAACAGAAGAACGCGAGAUAAUUCUCUUAUUUUAUGAGCAACUUAGAAAUGUAAUUACCAAUAACUCAUUCAUGUAUUUAAGAAUCAUUAUGCAGUAUCCUUGAUAUGCAAGAUUUUUCUUGCUAAAGGAAUAUAAUAUUAACCAUUUCCUUUUAUUUCAUUGAUGGUUUAAAUGAUUUUAAUGAAAUGCAAUGGAGUUUCUGUUCCGUUAAAAUCUGCUGCAAAAUACCACAAAAAUCAAAUCCUGGAGAGAAAAAAAAAAUGAUUCCAUGUAUAGGGUAGCCGAAGGGGUUUCGUUACAUAUUUUCUGCUAAAUUGAUACUAAUGCUGGUCCGACCUCAAAAAACUUUUCAACAUUUUGACAUCUCUGAACUCUGAACUUUACACCUUGUUGAAGCCGUUACAAACAGCGGUGGACGCAACGCAGAGCACACGUCAAAGACUUUUCCCAGAUACCAAAUGAUAAGAAAAGCAUUGGUUCUUUUUCUGCAACGUCGGCCAGUCGGUGACCCGGUGCGGCAGCUCACGUCAGAUGUGCCGGCCUGACGCCUGCCUGAUCAUGUUGUUCGGUUCAGAAUUCCUUCAUCUUUAUCAAACCCCCUCCCUAAUCUCUUUCUUCUUGAGCAAUAAGCAGUGCACGUGGUGCGGAACGGGUUCUCACGUGGGGGAGGAUCCGGGUCUUUGCUUGAUCUGACGGGAAAAAGAAAUUGGUUUGCAAGUGAUGGUUGGCCCUUCACAUUCUCUCGAGCUUCCUGUGAUGUUCUUGUUCUCACUCCCGUCAGUUGGCUUGUUUUUUUCGAUACACAGUUUGCCGAAGCAUAUUGAAAAAAUUACCCCGUCUGCUUUUUUUUUUUGAGACUGAAUCAUUCCUCAAACCUGGGCCGGAGCCCAGAAGCAAUGUACGCUUCAGACCAUCAGAGUGGGCCCCGCUGCUAGAUUUCGGCAGUGACUGAAGUGGCCCACGAAACCAAUGAUGUAAGGCCCAAGAAGUUUUCUGUUGAAGGGAAUCAUACUCACUAGUGGCUAGUCACGGUGCUGCUACCUGCACGUGUGCAAACUGGUAAGUUUGACGGACUCAAUGUCUUCGCAGCAACAGCGGUCAAGCUAUGAAGUUAAGAUAAGCCGUGACAGUGGCGGAUAAGAGGAUGUGUAUGCGACGAAGCUGCAAAAACUGUUCUUAAACCCCCCGUGAGAGCAACUCCCAUAGAUUGAUUUCUUCCUUUCCCUUUCCUUUCCCUUUUAUCUCCAUAUAAGAGAAUUACCUUUGAAAGUUCCAAAGUACUAGGUAGAUUUGCUGCAGCAAAUCUCAUUUCCCCUUUUCCCUUUCCAACUUCUCUUACACAUGGAACCCACAUGUCAUUGACAUUAUAAAUUUUUUUCUUUUUUUUCUUCUUCUUACUUACCUUCUCCUUUCUUCCCUCUUGCGCCCUUCCUUCUCGCUUGCCGCAAGUGGCGAGCGCAAGAUGGCGGCCUGGGCAGAGCCGGCGUGUGGCGCGCCGUGGCGACCAGGGCAGGGUGUGCGGGCCGGCCCGCAAGGGUGCGCGAGCACUGGGCACCCAAAGCGGCCCUCCGAUUAGCCGCUAGCGCGCGGGUGAAGUCUAGGGCACCGGGUAGGAGGUAGUGGGCGGCGCGCCGUGCGGUGCCCGCAGGCGAGCGCCAACAGCGGUGCCAAAGCAGGCCCACCAACGAGCUCACAGGCAGGCAAGCGAGUGGCACGCGGGGCGUGCAUGGCGACAACAUCGGGCGGCCAGGGAUGCUUCGUGGCCUUGAGAUCGUGUGGCAAAGAGAAGAGGAAGGAAAGUGAGGAGGAGCAAUCCUCUUCGAAAAGGGAAGAGGGAGGAAGAUAAAGAGGAUUGAGAAAAAAGAAAGGGGAAUAUAAGGGGAUAUGUUGGAGCACGUUUCUUUUACCUCUCAAUCCCCUAUGGCUGAAAAAUAAAACGGAACUAGCGCCCGGACGUCCGUUCCGGGUGCAAAAAUCGGACGCACUCUCCACCGUCGAAUUCAAUACGUGUCAACCGUCAGAUGAAACACAGGGAGAUCGGGACAAGUCCGCACCAACCACAGAAAAAACGUACCCUGGCGUCAACUCCUUCAUGCGGGUCGGGAUAGGAGCGAAGCUCCCAGCUUCGCGCCGCCGUCCAGAUCCACCGGCGACGAGUGAAGAUGGCGCAUAUCCUUCAAAAAAUAGAACUCCCCCCUCCAAAUCAACCACAUGGCGGCCACCCGCCCCCCAUUGUUGCUUGGAACCCCUCAGAUCUACAGAUAAUUGACCUCAACACGCUACCAGGUAUGCCGCCCCCCAUUGUUGCUCGGAAUCCCUAAAUGUUGCAUUGAAUUCUUCGAGCAAGCGUGAUAAUUCACUUCAACACCCACCCCCAGGUCUUUCGAGCAGCAUCCAUGGGGGAUUGGCAUCCCAAUCGAGUCACCAGAAAUGGCAGGUAUGAUUUCGUUUGAAACACUAGAUGUGACAGAAAUCUUAUACAGUUUUGCAACAUCUAAUGAUAACAUGUGGCACAUUGAAAAACAGUUAUUGUAACAUCUCAAAAUGCUCAUGGGUUAACUGAAUGUUACAUAUAAGUGUUGCAACAUCUAAUGAUAGCAUGUGGCACAUUGAAAAACAGUUAUUGUAACAUCUCAAAAUGCUCAUGGGUUAACUGAAUGUUACAUAUAAGUGUUGCAACAUCUAAUGAUAGCAUGUGCCACAUUGAAAAUCAGUUAUUGAAACAUCAAAAAUUGUAUGUGCUAACUGAAUGUUGCAUCUUACUUCGAUGUACAGUUUUUGCAACAUCUGAACAUUGAUUUCGCUAGUAACACUAACUGCAACAUUUAUUUGCAGGUGAUGGAGCAUUGGUUCCUGUUGCGAGCAUAUCAACACACUCAAAUGAAUAUGUUUCAGUACAAGUUGGUGCAAAUGAAGAGGUCUACCAUGAGGAUGAAGACGUCGUAUGCUCACAGCCUAUUGUGCCGAAAGUUGGGAUGGAAUUUGACACGAUACAAGAAGCAAGGUGGGUUUACAAUGAGUAUGCCAUGAAGUUGGGUUUCAGCAUAAGAGUGCCUUCUUCAAGAAAUAGCAACGUCACAAAGGAGCUGAUCAGAAAGGAGUGGGAGUGUUCUCAUGCUAGGAAGCCAGCUCUUGAUGGAGAAGAUGAUGGAAAGGAAAACACAUCAGCGAGCACAUCAACAAAUGACACUGCAACACAGUGGGAUCGAAAAAAAGAGCAGCAACAGCUGUGCUUACCACGGCAACAAGGAAGCGCAACACUAUCAAAAAGUUGGACUGCAAAGUUCAUAUGAUGGUUGGCUUGAGAAAUUCGAGGUGGAGAGUGAUUGUAAUGCAACCUGACCAUACUCAUCCCAUGGUGUGAAGGCGAUUGGGGUUAGGAAACACUUGAGGUCCCACCGAAGCAUCUCGUGAGCUGAUUAUGAGCUGCUGAAAACACUACACCAUAGAAAUAUUAGCACAACACAGAUCAUGGGGGUGCUUGCUGAUUUCCAUGGGGGGCUUGGCAACCUUACUUUCAGCAGCAAGGAUGUUUCAAACAUGAGGACACACUUGAGAGGAGGUCUCACCUACAGGGAUAUGGAUGCAACAUUAGAGUAUUUUCAAAAGCAACAAGCUGAAAGUCCUUCCUUCUAUUAUGCAACAAUGAUAGAUGAUAAUAAUGUUGUUAGAGGAUUGUUUUGGGUAGAUGGGAGGACUAGAGAGCUGUACAAGAGUUUUGGAGAUUGCAUUUUCUUUGACACAACAUAUUGCACCAACAGAUAUGACAUGCCAUUUGCACCAAUUGUUGGGAUAAAUAACCAUUUGCAUAGCAUACUGCUUGGAUGUGCAAUGUUGCCAGAUGAAACAAUGGAAACAUUUGUUUGGGUGCUAGAAAGGUUGAAGGGAGCGAUGGGUGGGCGUGAACCAACCAACAUAAUGACAGAUCAGGAUAAAGCAAUGAAAGCAGCAAUAGCAUUAGUGUUCCCUAACGCAACACACAGAUGUUGCAAAUGGCAUGUCCUGAGCAAGGCUAAUGAUAAGCUUGCUUGGCUUAUUAGUGAGGAAGAAGACUUUGCAAAGGAGUUUGACUACUGUGUGAACAAGACUGAAACACCAGAAGAAUUCGAGAUGUUGUGGGCAAGCAUAGAGGACAAAUACCACUUGCAGGAAAAUGAAUUGUUUCAAAGUAUGUCUAGUACAAGGAGGAUGUGGGCACUUGCGUACUUCAGAAAGUACUUCUUCCCCUUCACAAGCACAACAGGAAGAUCGGAAAGCAUGAAUUCAUUGUUAAGAAAGUUGUUCACCCUCAGGACUCAAUGUUGCAAUUUAUAACACAAUAUGAUUACAUCAUGGACACCAGGGCAGAAAGAGAAAAUAAGGAGCGUUGCAAGGGAGAGAUUUCAGAUCCACCACUAUGGGGAAGGUAUGCUUUUGAGAAGCAAGCUGCUGCAUUCUACACCGGUGAAGUCUUUGGUAAAUUUCAAGAGUUGUUGCGUGAUUCUACAAGAUACAAGGUAGGGGCUGUUGAAAGUGAUGACCAGGGUUGGUCCAUUCAAAUUGUGCACCCAAAUUCAACUAGAGUCCACAUGUUCACCAUUGAUAAAUAUGCAACAUCAUAUACAUGCUCUUGCAACAUGUUUGACCGUGAUGGCCUCUUGUGUCCUCAAAUACUAAAAGUAUUCACAAACAGGGAUGUCGAAAAAAUUCCAGAGAAGUAUCUACUUAGAAGAUGGUCAAAGGAAGUGACUAUAAUGAUACUGGAACGCCUCUUGGGUACAGAACCAGCAUUUGGUGUCCCAACCACAAACAAGCUAAGGUACAAUGCAUUAUGCAGAAAAAUGACGUCACUAGCAGCUGAAGCUUGUUUGGGUCCUGAAAAGUACAUUGUAGCUUCAGCUGGGAUAGAUACAUUGGUACAAGCAGUCAGGACAGCAAGGGGGUCACAAGAAAUGCAACAAGAUGAAGCGUCCAAUGUUGCAACAGGUCAACAGUCCAAAACUCUUGCUGUCAUGGUAAAGAAUCCAACAAGAACAAAAAGUAAAGGGAGACCAAAGGAGAAGGUGGAAAGGUUCAAAUAAGUAGUGGCACAAGCUAAGGAAAAAGCAAUGAAAAAGAAGGCAAAAGGAAAGAAGACAGCCCAAAAAAUCCCACCAUGCUCAUAUUGCUUUGAAGAUGGUCAUAGUGUACAGACUUGCGCGUACAUGGCCAAGGCGGAGGCACUUGCAAAGGAUCUCAAAGAAACAGAGGUGAAGCUCUGAAUUUUUAAUUAUUCUUUUAUUAGAAUGAGCUGAAACACGUAUUAGAAAGUACUGCAACAUUUCAUUUUAUGAACUGCAACAUUAUGUCUCAUUUAUACUAAAUUUUUUUUUGUGAUGCUGUUGUUAUGCCCAUGUAUGAGAUUGAGCCUUGUGGUAUUGAUAUUAGACCAUGAGCUGGAGAUGAAUUAAACUGCAUGUUGUGUGGCAUAAAAAAAAAGAUGUGAUGUAUCAUUGCGACAGUUGAUGUUGCAAGUUCAGUAGUUCGGUGUUUCAAAUGUUAUGAACGCUUGUUGCAAAAUAGAAAUGGCGCGACAACAUUAUUGCAACAUGGUUCAGUAGAGUUUGCAACAUUAAAAUUAUAGUACAGCAACAUACUACUUUAAUGAUGUUUCAUCAGUUAUCCAUGAAUGUUGCAAACAAGAAACUAAAAGCCAACAUUUCUGCAACAUAGUAAAGCAGAAUUCGCAACAUAUAAAGUGCACUACGGCAACAUAUAAAAAAACUAAGCUGUGGUAAAAUAAUUGGUAUCCCACAAUCCUGAAUACUCCAUACAUCCACAUUUCUAAGAUGAUUGUUAGCUAUAUACAGAGACCUAAACUCCUAUAUUGCACAAUGAAACAUGAUGUCACUACUUCUGGUUGCAAUACUUUUCAACAAACUCGCUUGUCAGGAUAUCAUUUCUUGGAGAAAGUAGGAGAAUGCCUGCAGCCAAUUUCCUAUAGUUUGCAAUCAUGUGCUAAAAUAGGGAAAAAGAAAACAGAAUUAGGUAACAAAAAAAUUGCAGAAGUAACAUCAUGUAUUGGGGUAAAAGAAUUAGGUAGCCACAUUGCAAUAAGACAUACUGGCUCAAAUGUGGUGUCCAUCUUCUUCCCAUUCCAAGACUCCAUAUAUAGAAUUGUGUAUAACCCACAAUCAUGCCUAAAAAACAAAAAGAAUUGGGUUAUCAAAAGAAACAUGGUGAGAAAAGAUGAAAAAACUGCAUGAAUAAUUCUUUAUGUAAGCACAUGAAUGAUGAAAAACUUACAAAGAUUUUUGAUGCGGGUAGUCCGUGGGAUAUUUCCAAUCAAACAGAGAGAUGUCUUUGUUUAGCACCCCAGCUUGUAUACAUGCUUUUGAAAAAUUGGUGACCUAAAAAUAGAACCAAAUGGUACGUUAUAUACUAUUGAAACAUUUCAAAUCAGCAGCUGCCACAAUGAUAAUUAACUAUUGAAAUAUUGCAAAAUUAAAAGGUUAAUUGUCUGUUACAAUCUACAACCUCUAUAGUUCUGCAACAUCACAAAUCAUCAGGUGCAACAUUGAUUUUCAAUUAUUGACACACCAUAAGAUGAAAAAGCAUCAAGUAACAGAGGCUAUUAAUAACAAAAAAAAAGAGGUGCAAGUUUGAGAGUACUGACCACAUUCUUGGCAGAAACAAAACAUUUCGUAUCAUGAGAUCCCCCAAGAGAAUUGAACCAGCAAAUUUCCUUUAGAAACAUGUUGACACUAACAACUACCCAAUGCCCUUCUUCAACAAUAGGGAAAAAAAACUAAAAAAAAGUAGAUAAGAAAAAAAAAGAAUGGGAAAUGAAAGGCAACUUAAUUGUGCAACACAGUACCAGAUCCAUUUUUGAGAGAUCCCAAGACUUGUUCAACUUUGUCAAAGCCGUGUUGCAGCUGUCUUGUAUGAAAUUAUCAGGUUCAAUUUUUAGCUUGUCCUUGAAAAAAAGUUAGAAACUAUAAAAAUGAAUGCAGGGGCACAUAUGAUGGUAAUAAAAAAUUGCAAAACAGAAUUCAAAUCUUACAGUAAGAAUAGUAGAUAAAGCAAAUUUCUUAACGAUGUUAUUGUCCUUCUCACGCAAUUCAACUUCUUCAAUGUUGAAUUCAUAGGACCAUAAAGCCAUCACGUGGUUAUUAAUUUCCCCCCUUUGCUUGAAGGAUCCAUAGAAUUCAUCAUAAGUAACAUGGAAGCCGUCAAUUCGAACAAAUGGUGGGGCUGGGAUAAAAAAAACUAAAUUAGAAUUUGAAACAUCUAACUAGACCUACUGAAACAUGUGAAACAUAUAGAAGGAAUAUUGGGGGAAAAAUUGAACUGCUGUAACAUGAGUACUACAUAUUUGAAACAUCUAACUAGACCUACUGAAACAUGUGAAACAUACAUAAGGAACAUUGGGAAAAAAAUUGAACUGCUGUAACAUGAGUACUACAUAUUUGAAACAUCUAACUGGACCUACUGAAACAUGUGAAACAUACAUAAGGAACAUUGAGAAAAAAAUUGAACUGCUGUAACAUGAGUACUACAUACUUGAAACAUCUAACUGGACCUACUGAAACAUGUGAAACAUACAUAAGGAACAUUGAGAAAGACAUAAAGAGUUGCUCACGGUUGUUCUUGUUCAUCAUUAUUCGCAUUUGGAUUGAUUGGCACUUUCUUCAUUAUCCUCUUGCUGAGAUACUUGUUAUAUGCAGUAACAAUUUCAUCAUCUAACUUAAUUCUCUUCAAUUUCUUUCCUUGGUUCAGAUGGAUGGCAGCCCUCUUCCUCCUAUUUUUCUUGUCAAAUGUACUUGACCCAGGCUUGUUAACAAUAGUCUCAUCAAUGGUGAGAUCAGCUGCAAACACAAGAAUAACAAAAUACUCAAAUACGUGUAAGAAAAGAGUAUUGAAAAUGGAGACAAAAAAAGGUAAAAAAAAAGUCACCCAAAGUAGAUGCUGCUGCCGCUGGGGUCAAACAAUCUGUUUCAAUUCCUUGGCUGGACAAGAGAUCAAAUGAAGGGAUGUCAUCAAGAUAACUUGAAUCGUUGCUUCUCUUGUCAAUAGGUGAACCAGCAGCACUGGUGGGGGCUCCUAAAGUGCUAGUUGAUGCAUCUGUUGUGGCAGCAGCAUUGGAAGUUUGCCCAUUUGAACCACCACACAUGGAAGGAGCUGCUGCAUCAACAUUAGAGGUGGAAACCCCUGCUUCAACACCAUCAUUCCUCGCCAUGUUAGCUAGAUCUGCCAUCUUGCCCAACAUUUCAAUGUGAUGCCUCCUCCAAAUAGCCAUGACCUUAUCUUUAAUUUGUGCACUGAUGGUUGUAGAGAUAGCAUCGGCAAGUUGGAGAACAUCUUGCUCCACAAGUUUAGAGUAAUGAGAAGCAACAUUCUGAUACUCAAGAGGGAUCUAUUAUAUAGAAUUAUAAAAUAAAUAAAAGAGUAUUAGCAAGAAGUGUAUUGGGACAUUGCAACAUGAUGGGAUGAAACUAAAAAUAUGAAAAACACACAUGCAACACCAUAAGAAUGUGUACUGAAACAUUGGUGAAAACAAGCUGAAACAUAUUAUAUUUUGUGAAACAGAUGUAUUUUUCUACAACACCUAUUUGUUGAUUCUGAAAGGUUAAAGAACUACUACAACAACACAAAUUUAAAUGAAACCAAACUAUGGGUCCAGAAUUCAUGUUAAUCAUAUUGAAGGAGACAUAAGUUUAUUGCAACACUUAUAUUGUAUUGUUGCAACAUUAAAGAUAUACUACAACAACAUUAAAAGUGUUUGCGCAUAGAAUGAAUUGCAACACAGAGUAUAAUAAGAUGACACAAUCAGAAACUGAAAAUGUAACAUAUUUUUUCACCUGAUGAAGAAGAUUGUUACUGGAUGGUAGUUGAUGCAGCCAUUCAUCUAAAGAGCUGACAGCAGGGAUUUCCUCAGUGGCAGCUGGGUCAGGGACUUCCUCAGUGGCAGCAGGAGCAGAAAUUCCAACAGCAGGAGCAGGGUGUUCUUGUACAAUUGGGGCAGCACCAUAAGGAGUACGGGAGAAGUCGCAAAACUGAUCAUGAAAAGAAGCAUGAAAAUUUUUAAGAAGGCAAAAAGCAAUGAAAAAGAAGGAAAAAAGAAUGAAGAAAAGAUUAUGAAAAGAACAUACAAGGAGUUUUCCAAAUGUAUUGCCCAAUGCCAGCCGGUUUUUAUCAACUGCCAAGACAAAAUCAAAGUCUAUGUUUGAAACAUUGCAAAUACUAGGCAGGUUGUAAUUCAAUUGAUGGCCUCCUCGAUCAGUUUGCAAAUCAAGAUGGUCCAUGUAAGCAAUAUGAAAUUUGAUAAGAUGGUCCUUGUAAGAGAGAAUAUAAGAAUAUGAUCAUAGAAUUAUUAAAUGGGCAGGAAAAAAGAACUUAAAAUGCUGAAAGAAAGGCAUUAAAUAACCAUACCGCUAGAAUAAUUAGACAAGAUCCCAUCUGGUGGUCUUUGUCAAGCCUAUCAGGAGUAAAUUUAUGGUACUUCUUCACUUCAUUCAUCAGCUCAUCCAACACAUGCCCCGCCCAACCAAAGGUGCUGAUUUCAGAAAUAUCAACUAGACUAUGAAGAUGUUUGAGGCUGACAUAGUUGCCUGUUCAUGGAGUGUAGAUAGUCCCUAGAGCCAACAGAGAAAAAGCCCUCACAAAGGAAUCCCUGUCCUUGCUAGAUUGCACAAUCUCUUUACACUUUGCAAUUUUAGCUCUAUCACCAUCCUUGUAGACUUCCCGAAGUUUCUUGACAUCUUCCGAGUCACCAGAUAACCUCAAAGGAAUGAUGCCAUUUUGAAGCCCAAGAAUUUUGCAAACAAGGUCACGGUUGAAUACAAUGACCUUGUUCCUGUAUCUAAACUCCCGGAGCAAAGGGUCCACAUGUUUAAGCAUCCAUUUAACAAGCUUCACUGGCAAUGAAAACUCAGCCAACGUCAACAGAGCACCAAAGCCAGCUUCAUUGAUCCACUGCUUUUGAUGAUCCUCAAGAUUAGGAAGUAGGUCGCGAAUUCUAUGAACUGAGAAUCUAGUCUUGAAGUGUUCCUCCUCUUUUCUUAACUGCACCUUAACUGCUAACAAUAAAUAAAACAAAGUAUCAGCCGUAGAAUGAAAAAUAAGAUGAAAAAAAGACAGCAAGUAAAUGAUAAAAAUGUAUAAUUGAAUGGUACAUGAAAAUUUAAUGUUUCAGAAUUUAAAAAUUCUUUGAAACAUCCCUAUUCAGCAAGUGCCACAUUGAUAUUAAAUUAGUGAAAAAAUUCAAAAUGAAUAUGUUAACUGAUUGAUACAACAUAUAACAUGUACAAAUAUGCAACAUUUCAAAAAACCAGGUGCAACAUUGAUAAAUAAUUAAUGAAACAUCUCAGAAUUAAAAAAGGUGAACUCAAUGUUAUACUCUAAACUUUUGCAACAUCUCAAAAAGCAGGUGCAACAUUGAUAACUAAUUAAUGAAACACAUCAGAAUUAAAAAGGUGAACUGAAUGUUAUAUCCUAAACAUCCUGUAAACUAUUGCAACAUCAAAGUAAAGCAGGUGCAACAUUGAUAAAUAAUUAAUGAAACAACUGAAAAUUAAAAAGAUGAACUGAAUGUUAACCUCUAAGCAUCAUCCAUACUAUUGCAACAUAUCAAAAAAUCUGUAGCAACAUUGAUAAGUAAUUGAUGAACAUCUCAAAAUAAAAUGGUAACAUGAAUGUUAUCAUCUAAAACUUUUGCAACAUCUCAACUGAAAAAAUAGCGUUGACAUGUAACCCUAACACAAGAUAUGCUAGUUCAAAAAUCCUAGAAACACUAGACGGAUGAACCCUAAAACACUAAAUGAAAUCAAAUCCGAACCAAAAUCCACACAAAAACAACGGAACGGAAUUAAAACACUCACUCAUGCGGUUGUUAUCGUUGUCCUGAAGAGCAUUGGGGGAAGGAUUUGCUUCACGCAGAUCUGGCGGAGCAGCAGCGGGUCCAAACCAAGGGAAGACGAGAGCUGCCGGCGUGAGCGCGUGCGGGAGGAAACGCCAACAUCGAUGCUUGGCUCGCCGCAAUUUACCUCCGGGGGCGGACUUCGAAGCGGGCGCGGCGACCGCAUUGCCGGCACGGAGGGCCUGGACGGACUUCGAACAGGGCGCGGCGACCGCGUUCCCGGCGAGGCGGAUGAAGACCUGGUGAUCCUUCCCACCGAAGGCGAAGAAGGGAGCGCCGGCGAGAUGGAAGAGGACUUGGGUGUCCCUCCGACCGGACGCGGCGACCGCAUCGCCGGAGCAACAACGGUAAAGGAAUGGAAUAGGGAAGGAGGAAAUGCGGCGGUUGCCGGUUGGAAAAGGGGAGCCGUCGGAUGUAGCGAACGGUGGAUGACGCGUCCGAAAAGGUGGAUGGGCGUCCGGACGCGCUGAUGAUAGCAUUUCCGAAAAUAAAAAUAGGAAAGGAGAUUUGUUGAUGUUGCUCUAAAAGUUCAGUCAGUCGAGCAACCAAAGUUCCAAAUAAACAAACUCAAAGUUCAUAGUUCUCAGUUUCUCACACCACCACCCGGCAGAACCAAGCAGAUAAAAAGGCCUGGCUAUCAGGGCUAGCUGCGUGCUCCGGCCCGUCGGCCCCUCCUGAUCAGUACCCCUACUGAACCUUCUUUGACAUGUGAAAUGCACGCAUGUCCUUCGUUCAUAAGCUGCAGAAAGAGCUACUCUGUAGCGAGUGAUUGAAUCUGCAUCGAGCAAAGACAAGCCAUGCAAAGCUGCCUUUGGUUAUCUGCCGUCGAGAGAGUGAUCCCGAGACGUGUCUGCAGGGAAGAGAAUGAAGGACGAUCAUGUACGUGUGGAGUCAAAGGCUUGGCUGGGCGGGUCGACCAUGCCAUGCAUGUCCAUCGCCACCGCAGCGCUCUGCCGCUCCUCAACGGUGCACACUGCACAGGCUCGCACGAAGUACAGGCAUCUCCUCAAAACAGAGUAUAGCACGAGUAUAAAAAGUUAUGGAACGGCAUCGAUUGAUGCUUGUGUACGAGUAUUUGUUGGAGAUGGUAAUGGUGGCCGGCUAGCACGUGAUGCUUCAAGUUAUUGCAGUGGUGUGGGGGAGCCGCCCUUGCUGCUGGUGGGCCCGCCUGAUCUCCUGGUUUAACCGGGAUGGAAAGAGGAGUCGCGCUCGCGCCCAUGCCCACGCAUGCAGCGUGGAAAAGUCAAAGAAUCAAAAGCCUCUAGCUCCUCCGAGCCAGGCCGCUCCUCAGCUCGCUCUAGCCUCUAGCUCCUCCGUGCCAGGGCGCUCUUCAACGCUUGCACAGGUUUGCGGAGGCGGUCCAUGCCGGCCGGAGUCGACUAGGCACUUCGAAUGAUGGAUCACAGAAAAGGUACAUUUGAUUUACCGAUUUUGAAGUAUUGUAACAAUGACCUGCAAAUUGCAUUGGUGGCCACAUCCGUUUCAGAUCCAUGGCUAUGCGACUGCUAGCUAGGCUAGCUGCAAGGAGGCACCCAGCAGGCUGUGUCAAAAAGGCUAUUCAUGCACACCAUCCAUUCUGAGUGUCUGUCAGUCUAGUAGUUAUGCAUGUAUACCGAUUAUUCAGCUGUCAUUCAUGGCUCGUGAGAUCCAACGACAUGUAAAAUGCAUGCACGUCGUCCUUCAUCUACUUCAAGAAGCAGUCGAGCUCGAUUCGGGGACUUGACGCUCCUCGCUCAAUAUAAUGUUGCGCACAGGCUCGGACGAAAUCGACCGUCCAGGUACGUAGGUAUCGCAAGCAAUGGGUCCAAAAGGAUCAGCCAUACACACACGCGCGCGUGAUCGAUAGUACACACAAGGAAGCUGGAUUAUUUGGGCUACUGCAGUCGUGUUGUAUAGCGCCACGAACGCCACGUCAUGUCACUUGUCACUACGGGAAUAUACUCGGAAGAGGGUGUACAAGAAAUUGUUGGAGAUGCGUCCAUUGUAUUGAUGCUUGUGUACGAGUCCGUGUUUGUUUGAGAUGAUGAGCGAUGACAGUACGAUCACGGUGGGUUAGCACCUGAUGCUUUCAGGGUGUGGAGGAGCCCUUGCCGCCGGUGUGGCCUGAUUUAAUUUGUAGUGUAGCUGAACCGGGUUGGAAAGACAUGAACUCCGUGAUGGCUGAUGAGUGGCUUGGUUGGUUGUAGUCGUGGCGGAGGCGGUGCAUGCCCCAUGCAUGCAGCGUGCAAGCCGCGCGGAGUAGUUACUAAGCGGUCAGGUCCCUCGUCGGUGCAACGCUAGGGCUACGUAUUUGGAGUACAUACUAGUACGUUGGUUUGGACUUUGCCGUAGUCCGUAGUAGAUAGCAGGUGAUCGGUGAUGAUCAUGCACGUACGACUUUAUUUUGGCCAGGCGUCGUCGCUUCGUCCGAUCGCCGUGUUGACAUGCACACCCGACACCGGCGGCCGGCAACGUGAUCCGGGACUUGCCUCUGCACUUUUCUGCUGCAGUGCAACUUGUUUAAACCUUAUGUUUUCAUUGAACUGUUUAAAUGCCAAAAAGGAGGAUGAGUGACUGUCUAGCGUUUAACGUGUAGAAAAACACUGAUUUUGAGAGAGGUAGCAUUCAUUGUUUUUUCUUUUCAUCAGUUUGUCAAUAGGAUAGUUGGAAAAAAUAAUCUGACUGUAGAUUAACUAGUAUUUCUAAAACAUAUUAUUUCAUUUUAUUUCCUGAUGUGGGUGGGCCUAGGAGCCUUGAUACCUAGUCAUCUUUCUCCAGCUCUAUUACUGAUCUAGUUGUCUCCAUCUUACUUACUGCUAUUAGCAUUUGCAGUUUGCUCUUGUUCCAGUAAACCCUGCUCCACCCACUGGCAACGCCACCAUAGAUGCUGAUCUUGCUCGAGUGUCCAUGAUGUAUGGUGGGAUCGAAAGGGUUCGGAGCCUUCUACAUGCUCGUGCUGACGUAAUGAUGACUUCGGGUGUCUUCCUUUCUGAGACGAAGCGGUACUGGAAACUGCAUGACCGGCUGCUGGCGGCAGCGAUGGCCCUUUGUGAGAAGGUUCUGAUGGACUAUGGGGUUGAGGCCCCAAGCACCCCCCGAGUACUUCUUCAACAACUUUUGAUGGAGUAAAAGUUUUGGAAACUCUGAAUGACCUUUUGAAAUCCUUGAACUCGUGUUAGGUAGUUGAAACCUGAAUUCUUUCUAGGGUGGAAGAUUUGGAGGAUCUUGUUGGUUGUUAAUCUUGUUUGUUGGCAGAAGUUUUGGAGGCGCUGGAACUCGGAGGACUUGUUAGUUUGGAUAAGUCCUUUAUCUGUGCGAUGGUACUGGUGUAGUGGUGUUAUGUGAACUUGCUGGUGCUUAAAGCCAUUUUGUCUGUUGGAAUGCAGGUCUAUUCUCGCUGCAUCUUUCUUGUGAAAAAUUAGAGAAAUUUAUGUUAUGCCCAUCUCUUUGUUUUUGCUCUUCUCAGUAGCCGGAUGUCAAGCUAACUAAUGCGUGCUACAAAGCAGGCAACCUGCGCAGGCAAGCGAACAUGAGGCAGAGGAUAGCCAAGCAAAAAAUCAUACCCAAGUUAUCUGCCGACCAGCAAUUACCGCGUUUGUGAACACGACUGCAAAGCUGACUGGCAGCAUAGGAGGAAAAUAGAAACCAUCACGGGACACAACAGUACGAUCAUUCACAGGAGUGCUAGCUACUACACAAUGCAAUUUUCAAGAUAAAAAAGGUAAAGUCAAAAUCAUUUAGCUUAUUCUCUCUUAGCCCUGUUAAUUGGGUUGGGUUUAUUGGUUUUAAUGGUUCGGUUUAUAUAAUAAGUUCAUUUGAAUUGGUUUAUAAUGAGUUGGCCUGCUAGAUGGUUUGGUUUGGUUUGGGUUUUACAAAUAAAUAGUUUGGAAGGUGUUUGGGGUGUGUGGUAUUAUUUUUGGAUCUAAAAGACUCUCAACUCGUGGGUUGAGACCCAUUAAGAAUCCAAAAGCCUGGAGCCUCAUCUAUCAAGAGUCGGACCUUAAAAAUAAAACCUCGCGUUCACACCUUAAAAUUUUGGAUAAAUUGAUCGAAACUUGUUACAGAUGAAUUAGUUUAACAGUCCGCUACUGUAUGCAAAGUAGUACGGCUGGACUUACAUGUGGGGCCCGCGUCAAGAGUCGGACCCUAAAACUAAAACCUUGUAUUCACACCUUAAAAUUUUGGAUGAAUUGACCGAAACUUGUUGCAGAUGAAUUAGCUUGACAGUCCGCUACUUUGUGCAAAGUAGUAUGGCUAGACUUACAUAUGGGUCCCACGUUGAGAGUCACAUACAAACUCAAAAAAAAGUUAACUAAUGGGUUUUUAUUGGGUACCUAAUGGGUUCUUAUUGGGUUGUAACCAUAUUUGACAAGUAAUUUGUAUAACUUAUGCAAUAGUAAGUUUGGGGUGGUGUGGUGUGUGAUAGUGGAGGUUUGGUUUAGGGUGGGUUAUAUUUAUUUUCUUAUGAGAAUAGAUUGGUGUGGUUACAACAUGGGUUACAACCCAAUUAACAGGGCUAUUCUCUCUAUUGAUCGCUAUCUAAUAUGAAUCGGCAUGGGUUUAACUUCAUAAGCGAUAUCAUGUGCCCAGGUGCAUGGUGCACUGGAUUUUUACUCCAUUGUUAUUUUUAUUUUCCUUGUCUUCUUUAUUUCUUUCUGUCCUGCAUGCAUCCAGGAGUGAGGGAAACGAAAUUCAUGUGUUUCCAAGGCCUCCAACACAUUUUUUUGGUGUUCCUAACUAUACUAUAUUUACAGUUAACACUCGUUGGAGUUAUAUCAGGUACAAUAAUCUUAUGUAGUUUUCACCUAGUCAUGUUGUGAUCAGGAAAAAUUGAGUGUUGGAUGCCUACAUAACCCAAAUUUAACUCAACUACAAAGGAAAUAAACUCUUAGCCGUCAAUUGCAAAUCUAGUGAAUAAAAAAAAUCGGGCGUUAAAGCCCAUGGAACACCCGGGUGUGAUGUAGAUGUCCAUUAAGAUUCUGUUGGGUCUGUAAGAAUGAUUUGUACUUUCAUCUCAACAAAUUCUCUUAUAUUUCCUAAUAUUCCUAUUUGUGUUGUACUAUUUUGUAGAAUGUAGAGAAUGGCUACGACGAGGUUUUUGAUAGAAAAGAGGGAAUGUAGUGGGGAUUUCCUGGAAUAAAAUGAGGCAGCAGAAAUUAUUGAAUACACUACGUUGCAAAAGCCAAUCAAUCUAGUACUGCAACAUGGGGCUUCAGUCCUGAAACCUCUGCUUUUCAGCAACCAAUCAAGAAUCAUAAAAUUCAAUCAGGCCAGUAUUUUUAGAGGAAAAAUACUCAAACUUCGUUUAAAGAAAAGAGGAAUUACUCAAGUUCAACAUCAAAUCGACACGAACGGGUACAGGAAGGCAACGAACGAUUAUCAUUACGACUAUCCUAUUACACAGGGAUGCAGCAAAGUAUAGCAGUGGCAGAUGCAGCACAGUGACUAGUAGCCAGACAGCUAAUUGAGCUUCUUGGUUUUCCCCGCAGCCUGCUUGGUGACUCCAUGCCGGGACCUCCUCCGGCCAAGCGUCGUUGGCAUCGCAGUGGUGACCUAUGUUGGGGACCGCCCCACAACGCCCCUAAACGAAGCUGGCACGGACCUCUUCCCAAUAUCAACGCUGACUUCGUCAUUAUACUCUUCUAUGAAGCUGACAAUUAACUGAAGUUAACUGGUCCGAAGAUGCCCGUUCUGUGAUUUUGCAGGCAAAGAUUCCCGAAGUUGGAGCCCUCACGGGGCUCCCGACAACUUGACUUCGGGGAGGUCCCACGACCAAAGCCCAAGGUUAGCUGCUUUCGACCAAUGAAGGUGGAGAGCGCGCGGAGGCGUACUUGGUGCGGACAAAGCUAACGAGUAGGGAAAGAAGGAAUCAGGAUAGUCCUGGGAUCAUAUUAUUGUGGGUCACUUUUGUAAUAAAGAUCUUGGAAAGGGUUAGAAAUGUAAUCUCUCUUUGAAAACGACAUCUUGAGUAGGGGUUAAUUUACAGUCCUGUACGGGAUAUGCCUGGGAUGUAAUUGUUGGGUAUGGGUAUAACGGGUAUACGGAAAUGUAACUUUAUGGCCCUAUAAAGGGAGGUGAACCGUCCCCCCUAAAACGGAUACUAUUCAUUGAUAGGACAGCCACAGUUACAUUCGCUUGAGAUAUCUUUACCUUCGUAUGCUACCUCAUCUUACCUACUGUUUGGUUAAGACCCAACAUUUGGCGUCCACCGUGGUCUAACUCGACAAGUAACCUAUGAUGCCACCACAACGGAAAAAGAGACUUACAGCACAGAGAGAAGUCAGCACAGUGGAGGCCGGUCUGCUUACAUCUCCCGAGGCCACAGAUUAGGUUCUUUCGGAUAAGGAGGAACGCCUUGCAAGAGUCGAGAAAACCUUAAGGGCAAAAGCAAUGAAUAAGAGACCCGUACCCGAGGUCAACCACCAAAGCCAACAACCCACAGCAAACAAAGCUACCAACUGCACUGACGGUCAACAGAGUCAGCAGCCCGCAAUGCCCAAAGCUACUGGCCCCUCUGACCUAGACAAUGAGCUAGACUCAGUCCUUCGGGAGAUAGAAGAGGUCAAAAGAAAAAAGGAACAGUUAGCACGACAGGUCCAACAACAGAGGGAAGCCUCGAGCAGACUAUCAAAAUUGAACGAAGCUAGACGGCAGCUAGAAGCAUUACAGAAAGAAAUUGCGGAGCUUGAAAGCCCACAUGAGAAUGCAAACCAAACCACAACUUAUUUUCACCAAAGUCCCACCGUUGAUCAGGCACAGUUCCAACCCAGUCUCAAAUUCGGCCAAGGCACCCAACAUCACUCACCAGGGGUGUCUCUCGUGGUCGACACCACAUCACCGCUCUCAAUUGGGCUCCAAACCGCACCGUGGCCAGCAACAUACAAGCCAACCGCCCUGCCCAAAUUCAAUGAACGGACUGAUCCACGACAAUUCUUAAUGAGUUACGAAGCCGCCGUAGCUUCAGCCAGGGGAGAUGACGUCAUCCUCACCAAGUCCUUCAUAAUUGCUUGCGAAGGCACAACACUCAACUGGUACUCACUACUCCCUCCGCGCACAGUGAUUAGCUGGCAUGACCUCAAGGCGAAGGUCACACAAAACUUUCAUAGUUUUCAUUACCACCACACGGCCCAAGCAGAUCUUUUCCAAUGCAAACAAAAAGACAAGGAGCCACUCGCAGAAUAUGUAAGAAGAUAUGUCUAGCUUCGUUCCCAAGCGCUGCACAUUGAGAAAUCCGUAGAAAUAUCCGCGUGCAUCGCGGGCCUCACCCCUGGCCCCACAGCGUCGAAGCUAUCAAGGAAAGAGCCUAAAAUGAUGAGUGCUCUUUUCAGCAAACUCGAUGAAUACAUCAAGUCCGACAAGGACCACCGCAGAAGAGUGGCGGAGCAUAACAAGGAAAGGCAAACAAACCAGAACCGAAGCAGGCAACCUUCACCUUACAACAAGCCUCAAAACCCUAGCCAGAACCGUGUCAUGAACAUUGAGGGAAACCAAAACCAAAGCCAGAGCCAAAGCCAAAACUACAAUACCCAAAGAGGGGGCCACUUUGGUAGAGGACGAGGUCGAGGAAGACAGCAAAAAUCAUUCUACUGCGUCAACCAUGGCCAUCAGAACCAUCAUAAUACAGAGUGGUGCCCCAAAAAGAAAGAAGAAGAGAGAAAGGCUACAGAAGAAGCCGUGAAAGCAGCCGCACAUGCACCCAAAACAAUCCACCACACAACUUUUUACCCGCACCCAAGCUUUUACUCCAACCAGCCUAGCUUCGCCAAUUCCUAGCAACCAAUGACCUGGCCUCUUCCGCCGCACAUACAACCGUACCACCAAACAAUCCCGCAACAUACCAACCCAAAUGUGCCUCAGAAGCCUCAAGAAACACUACCUCCUCCCCCAAGCAUACCAGCCAUAAUGCCCAAACCAGAGCCAAGCACGCAAAACAACAACCAAAAUUCAUUACCUACCUUUGACAUGAUAAUGCCAAUCACUGGAGGCACCUCUUUAGAGUUCGAGAACAAGAGGCAGAGGCGAAACUAUUUCAGAGAAGUCAAUGUAAUCAUACCCGAUGAACCCCCAACGAAGCCAGAAUGGGCACACAUGCCCAUAAGCUUCACAGGGGAAGACUUCAAGCUCAAGACAACCUCGCACAAUGAUGCGAUGGUCAUCAAAGCGCUGAUAGCAUGAUGGACAGUUGGAAAAGUCCUAGUUGACACGGGCAGCUCCGCGGACAUCCUCUUCGCAAACACCUUUAGAGAAAUGAACAUUGACAUGAACAUGCUCGACCCAGCCGACAUCCCACUUCUCGGCUUCGGUGGAAAGCCAGUGAAGGCCUUGGGAAAAAUUGCUCUCCCGGUCUCGUUUGGGGAUCGUGACAAUGCGAGAACAGAACACAUCACCUUCGACGUGGUGGAGAUGCACUACCCCUAUAAUGCAAUACUUGGCCGCGGUUUCAUCACCAAGAUGGAUGCAACAAUUAGGCAACUAUACCUAUGCAUGAAAAUACUCGCUCACAAGGGGGUCAUAACAGUGUACGGUGACUAGCAAAUGGCAAGAAGGACACCUAGCCCCAUCAAGCGAAGCCGAAAUGUCAGCAAAGCAAAAGACCCACGAUGAGCCCAAGAGGGACAAAGAAAAAAUAAAGAUCAGUGCUUACGGCGAAACAAAGCGGUUACUCCUAGAUGGGUACAUCGCAGACAGGUUCAUAACAAUUGGAGCCAACCUCGACCCCGAAGAAGAACGCAACCUCAUCGAGGGCCUCAACAAGAACAAAGACAUCUUCGCUUGGUCCGCAGGCGAUCUCAAAGGAGUGGACAGGGAAAUCAUCGAGCAUAGCCUCGACAUCAGGCAAGGAGCUAAGCCAAAGAAGCAAAAGCUAAGAAAAAUGUUCGACGAAAAGGUCCAAGCCGUAAAGGCCGAAGUUGACAGGCUCCUCGAGGCUAACGUAAUCAGGCCAAUCCAGUACCCUAAGUGGCUAGCUAACACAGUGCCUGUAAAAAAGAAAAAUGGCAAAUGGAGAAUGUGUAUAGACUUCACAGAUCUCAACAAGGCCUGCCCAAAAGAUGAUUACCCUCUCAAGAGGAUUGACAAAGUAGUGGAUGGCGCUGCAAACAGUGAAAUGCUCUCACUACUUGACCUCUUCUCGGGGUACCACCAGAUUAGAAUCAAGAAGGAGGACGAAGGCAAAACAAGCUUCGUGACACCUUUUGGAAUGUUCUGCUUCGUGCACAUGCCAGAGGGGCUAAAUAAUGCAGGCCAAACAUUCUCAAGGAUGACGGCAACAAUCCUGGACAACCAGCUUCGGCGUAACAUCCUGGCUUACGUAGACGAUAUGAUCGUCAAAAGCGUCAAGCGAAGCGAACACAUUCUGAAUCUCACAGAAACAUUUGCUAACCUGAGGUCAGCCAAUCUAAAGCUAAACCUAGAAAAGUGUGUAUUUGGCGUUCAAAGACAAAAGAUCCUAGGCUGCCUGGUAACAACAAAAGGUAUUGAAGCCAAUCUUGAUAAAAUCAAGGCACUGACUAACAUGUCGGAACCAACUUCGCUCAAACAAGUCCAACGACUCACGGGUUGGGUUGCUACGCUAAACCGUUUCAUUCCAAGAGCGGCAGAGCGAAGCCUCCCCUUCUUCAAAACACUCCGAAGCUCCGAAACACUUGAAUGGGGACCUGAGCAAAGCACAGCAUUCCAAGACCUCAAAGAGUAACUGCAAUCUAUCACGAAGCUAUGCCCGCCAAAGCCCAAAUCACCACUUCUAUUGUACAUCUCAGCCUCAGCAACAACCGUAAGCGCUGCGUUGAUUCAAGAAAAAGAAAUCGAAGGCAAAAUGAGGCAAAUACCAGUUUACUUCGCAUCCGAAGCCCUGAGCAGCUCAAAGCUACACUACUUUGAACUCGAGAAAAUCGCAUAUGCAGUCGUUAUGGCAGCACAGAAACUGCGACACUACUUCGAGGGGCACAAAAUAAUUGUUGUAACUAGCCAACCGCUUCAUGAUCUUUUCUCAAACAGGGAAGCUUCUAGCCGAAUCGCCAAAUGGGCAUCUGAACUCUCAGAGUUCGUUGUCGACUUCGAAAUGUGCACGGCUAUAAAAUCCCAAGUACUGGCUGAUUUCGUGGUCGAUUGGACCUCGCCAAAGCAAGAGCCAAAACAACUUGAAACACCAUGGGUCAUCCACUGCGAUGGGGCUUGGUGCCGCAAAGGGGUAGGGGUCACAGCAGUGGUCACAUCACCAACAGGUGUCAGAAUCUAGUAUGCAGCGAGGCUAGAUUUCCCACCAACCGUGAAGUCAACCAACAACACCACAGAGUACGAGGGAUUGCUGCUGGCCUUAAGGAAAAUGAAAGCCAUAGGGCAACAAACAUUCAUCGUCAGAACGGACUCAAAGGUAAUCCGUGAUCACAUCGAUAAACACAGCGAGGCCAAAGAACCAGAGCUCGUUAAAUACCUUGAGGCAGUUCGAGCCAUGGAGAAGCACUUUCGGGGGUUUGAUGUCAAAAAUAUACCAAGAGCACUAAAUGACGACAUUGACAAGCUUGCAAAAGUAGCAGCAGAGGGUGAGCUAAUCCCACCCGACACAUUCUACGAAGUCAUAACCUCACCUUCGAUCAAGGAAAAAGCUCCAGCCCCCGUCAACACCAUCCAACGUUAUGACUGGCGUGCGUGCAUAAUGGCUUUCCUUAGAUGUCAUUUCGAACCUCAGAACAAGGCCGAACGCACACGCCUAAAGCAAAGGGCAAGGGGCUAUGCAAUUAUCGAGGGACAGCUCUACAAAACAGGCAUUUCAACACCAUGGCUUCGCUGUGUCGAUUAUGAAACAGGCAGCGAACUGCUCAAAGAAAUACAUGGCGGUUUUUGCGGAACCCACAUUGGCUCAAGGGCUCUAGCAGGAAAAGCAAUCCGACAGGGAUUCUACUGGCCAUCAGUCCACACAGACGCACACUUGUUCGUAGGAAGCUAUGAGGCCUGCCAGAAGACAGCAAGGUAGACACAUGCACCCUCGCUCCCGAUCCAACUCAUCCCACCUUCGUGACCUCUCCAGAGAUGGGGCAUGGACCUAGUUGGUCCACCGCCAACAGCACAAGGAAAUUGCAGAUUUGCAGUAGUUGCAAUAGACUACUUCACCAAAUGGGCCGAAGCCAAACCACUGGCCGUCAUCACAUCGACUUCGGUACAAAAGUUCUUCUGGCAAAACAUUGUCUGCCGGUUUGGAGUCCCAAGGGAACUAACUGUUGACAAUGGCAAAAAGUUUGGCUGCGUCUCAUUCACAGAUUUCUACGCUAGCAUCGGCAUAAAGAUAAAAUUCUCAUCCGUAUAUGACCCGCAAUCAAACGGAGCUAUGGAAAGGGCGAACAGUACCAUAUUCACUGCAGUCAAAAAAUGUUUGUUCGAUCAAAAAAAGGGCAAAUGGGUCGAUGAACUCCCAAGAGUAAUAUGGUCCCAUAACACGACAUAAUCCAGGGCAACAGGCUUUACUCCGUUCAAGCUCUUAUUUGGAGCCGAAGCUGUAACACCUGAAGAAAUAAAAAACAAAAGCCUAAGAGUCCUUAAGCCCGGGGAUGUGGACGAAAUUGCCCGAAUAGAGAAAGACAUGAUCAAGCUCAACAUCAAUGAGGCCAUCGAAAACCUAGACAAGUAUCAGGAAGAAACCCGAAGAUGGAGGGACCAACACAUUCGAGAAAGACAGAUCAAUGUCGGUGACCUCAUUAUCAAGAGGAAAAAGAAUUGGGAAAAUCCAGGCAAGCUACAAGAGAUUUGGGAAGGCCCCUACAUUGUCACAAAAAGUGGCAAACCUGGCUCUUUCCACCUCGUAGACCAGCAGGGAAAUACUCUCCCACACACUUGGAACAUUGAUAGCUUACAAAAAUACUACCCAUGAUUGUACAUGCUACCUUCGGCUUGCGGAACUAUAAGCAACGCCGAAGGUAACAGAAUAGUUUUUCUUUCUUUUCUUUUCUUUACUUCCAAAUCUACCUCGUUUGUAAGGUCAUGAAAUCCGGACUGCACUCUUUUCCCUGCUAGGGGAUCCAUAAUGGAGGCAAGGUUUUUAACGAGGCAGAUCCAUGUACCCCCUUUUUUCACAAAGAAAGAAAGGAAACUUCCCCUAAAAAUCCAAAUUGCGUGACCUCGCACUAGUAUGCGGAGGGGAUUUUGCGUGUAAAAGGCAAUAAAAAGUUGCAUGACCUCGUGCUAGUAUGCGGAGGAGAUUUCAUGUGUAAAAGGCAACAACAAGUUGCAUGACCUUGCGCUAGUAUGCGGAGGAGAUUUCGCGUGUAAAAGGCAACAAUAAGUUGCGUGACCUCGCGCCACAGUGCGGAGGAGAUUUCGCGUGUAAAAGGCAACAACAAGUUGUGCGACCUCGCGCUAGUAUGCGGAGGAGAUUUCGCAUGUAAAAGGCAACAACAAGUUGCAUGACCUCGUGCUAGUAUGCGGAGGAGAUUUCGCGUGUAAAAGGCAACAACAAGUUGCAUGACCUCGCGCCACAGUGCGGAGGAGAUUUCGCAUGUAAAAGGCAACAACAAGUUGUGUGACCUCACGCCAGAGUGCGGAGGAGAUUUUGCGUGUAAAAGGCAACACCAAGUUGUGCGAACUCGUGCCAGAGCGCGGAGGAGUCUACAGUGCCAUUACAGAUCAAAGAUACUGAAACCUCCAACUGCGAGUCUGUGUUAUCUGACCUCUCUCUUGCAACAUCGCAAAGGGGGGUGACGUUUUUCGAAAAAACAUAAAAAAUUUCUGCGACUUUGCAAGAGAAGGAUCUGCGAGUCUAUGUUAUCUGACCUCUCUCUUGCAACAUCGCAAGGGGGGUGACGUUUUUCGAAAAAACUUGAAAAAUUUCUGCGACUUCGCAAGAGAAGGAUCCGCGAGUCUCUGUUAUCUGACCUCUCUCUUGCAACAUCGCAAGGGGGGUGACGUUUUUCAAAAAAACAUGAAAUUUUUUUGCAACUUUGCAAGAGAAGAGUUUGUAAGGUUUGUGUCGCUUGACCUCGUAAAGGCCCGAAUAACAUUCUCGAUCUCGCUCGGCAAAAGGUCAAAAAUGGCAGUGAACACAAUCAAAGAUGAUUCCUUCACGACCAUCGACCAAGCUGGGCAGAUGCAUUUCCAAAAGCAAUACACCAAACCGACCUCGCACGAAUACAGCAACAAAUACAACAAUAAAUACGACUAUGGUUGAAGCAACUUCAGGUCGCUGUAUCAACCGGCUCUCGCAUUUUCUAAGUUAGUGGGUUGCCUGACACGGCAACCCGACUUUGACUUAUCUAACCUCGCAACAGGUCCACUUCGCUAGAAACCUACACGUUUGGACGGGAUAAAGAACACAACAGUUACAAAAUUCGAAUACAUAACAAAAACUGGCACAUAAGUACUUUACAGGGCAUAGUUUCACAAACAAAUAAAGUAUCUGACUUCAUCAACUUUAUACACCAAAACCAACAAGUCAAAGCCUGCCCUUAGCAUGCACCAACCUACUCCGCAUCAUCCUUCUCGUCGUUACCAACACCAGACUGCAAGCGCAGCUGCGCUAACCGCUCACACGCAAGCCUCUUCACAUAACCCUACCCGAAGGUUGACCACAUGCGCUCAAACAAGUUCUUCUUUGCAUUCUCCACAUCAUUAGACUUGAUAGUGCAGCCAAUCUCCGAGGCAGUUGGCACAACAUAGUUAUCUUCGGAAAUAUUCCUAAUAUGCUCGCAUCCUUGUUGUUCCAGCAAGUGAAGGGCGCUUUCAAGACAGAACACUGCGGAGUAGUCGUUCAAGCCCUCAAGGACCUCGGGGAGACUCUUAACCUCGUCCAAAAGCCACUCGAACAUACGUUCGCAUCCCUCAUCCAACGGGCAAUCAUCAGGUUUAGCGCCAAACACACCAAGGGAGGCUUUGUAAGCUUCAUGAACUUUCUCGAACCUCUCCCUUAGUGUGGUCUCAAUUUGGCUCAACAGUUUUGCCUUCAUUUCCAACUGAGGCUCCAUCUGGCUCACCUUAGAUUUCAAACCCGCGAUAACCUCGCUGUCACGCUGGGCACCCUUGCGUAAGCCUUCAAUAAUUUGGUCCUUCUCCUUCACCUGGCCCUCCAGCUCCACCACAUCAGCCACCAGACGAUCAAUCUCGUCGCCCCUGGCCUCGUAGUUCUCGCCGAGCCUGCGAGAGUCCUCCUUCAGCUCAGCAUUCUCAACAUUGACCUUCUUCAUCUCCAAGGACAUGGCAGCGAUAGUCGCCUCAAGUGAAGCUACUUUCUCUGAGGCUGCUUUUUCACUCUUAGCCAGCCGAUCCCUCGUACUCAUCGAAGAAUAAGAGACCUACAGGUUUCAAACAAAAAAAUAAUAAACCAAGUCACCAAAAACAUAACAAGGUAAAGGACAACACUCGCCAGACAUAUCACCAAAUUAUCCAGUAAUCCUACCUUCUUUACGAGGUUGGCCUCGAAGUUAAAGAGCUCUUCCGAGCUCAUUGACUUCACAGCUUGCUGAAAAUCUGCGCGUCAAAGGAUACAGUCGUAAGCGUAAUACAAAAAAAUAAAGCUAAGAACAGUAAAACAACCUACAAGCAGCUCUCACCCUCAUAUUUUCGCGCCUCAACGGCGACCAAAACAACUUCCCUAGCCUCGCCCUUAGACGUCACCACAGUCUUUCCGCCACUUAAACCCACAGCCCCUCCUUUGCCUUCGACCUCCCCCGAAGUUGCCGCGCCCGCCUUUUCACCCCUUUUUGAACCUCCAAUAUCUGCAUAGCGCUCGCAAUCUUCACCCUCAGCCCCCCAAACCAAACACAGGUUGUGCGGAUUAUAAACCCUACCUUCAGCGCAUGUAGCUAGAAUCUCCAUGCGCCCGCUCAAGCCCAGAACUUCGUUCAGUCCCUAAAGACCCGCCGGCAAAUUCUCACCUAUAUCAUAAUAUUUAACUUUCAGCCUCACAUGAUCCUCACAACUAACCUCACCAAGCCCCCCAUAGUUGCUUCUAAGUCCUUCAAAAAUCCCGCUGAGGCCUUGCCUCAGUCAAAGAACCGCAGCUUUGGUAGAAACACCUCUACAUGCUUAACAGAUCUCACAGCUUCGGCGCACACACCCUUUGGAUCAGACGAGAACGCAUCCACAAGCUUCGCCUUUUCGGCGGCAACCCUCCUCUCAUGGUUCUCAGCUUCAAUCAAGAGAGACCGCGCGCUCUUAGCCUUCGAGCUUGUAGGGGGUGCCGUGAUCUUGGUACCAGCCACUGAAGGCGCGUCAACCUUGGCACCAGAAUAGUAACACGAGCAAAAUGAGGUUUAUUAGCCCCCUUUUGAUCCGCGCGGCGGGCCCGGUGGACGAAGGUGCAAGAGCAAGGACCUCCUUUGGAGGGUGCACGGAGACAGGAACGACAUACGCCGGUUUGCUCAAGUCGACAGACGAAGCUGUCGACCCCGAUGGCAACGCGGCAGACGAAGCCCUCGCUGGAACUUCUUUCCUCUUUUGCGCCUCCAAGUUCAGGGUUUUUUUGCUUCGCUUUAGCGGCCACUUGCGACUCAACAGUGAGCUUCGCUGCAAGCAUGAAGUCAAAUUUCACCUUUUUCCUCUGCUCAAGACCAACACCCCGACGGCGCCUUUUGCCACAACUUCAGGACGAUGCGGAACCACAAUAUCAUACAUAUCAAAAAUCCAGUUGACACGACGCCCGUGUCUCACGACGGAUUCCAAAGAGUCAAAAUCUCGUAAGCUAUGUCCUCCACUGUCCGAACAAACGAGUCUGAGUCUGCACCCCUCUCAGCACCAGUUUCAAAGCAGGGGUACUGCACCGGCUUCUCGCUCCAAGACACCUCCUUCUCAACAAGCUUAAAUGGCCUCGCAAAUUCAGCGGACAGAGGCCACACUCUAGCAGCAACAUACUCCUCUAUGAGGUCACGUCCAGAUAUCAAGGGCCCAGCAGCCCUGUAAGCAGCCUCGCACUUUGUCAUAGCUGCUGUAUGAAUAAAUGACGGAGUCGUGAGCACAUCCAUCGGCCCAAAUGGCGCAUAAAAUGGGAAUCCAGUACCAACCCCAGCCAUCUCAAUUUCAACAUAAAACCAAUGCGUCAACCAGGCAUCAUCCCACUUGUUUCUCUGCGCGAAGGUAAGCUCUACCCUUGGCAGGUUCCUUUUAUCAUUCUUCCUGCGUGGCACGAAGGUGCAGCACCCAAAAUGAUUCUCACAAACACCUUUUCCAUCCUCGGAGUAAGUCCUCUUCUUCUGGAUAUGAAGUUCGUGCAACCUCGCAAAACCCUCCACAUCAAUACUACCACCAAACGUGCAUUGCACCAAGUAAGACUUAGACAAAUUCACGAUGGCGUUGGGGGUCAACUGGUGCAACCUAACACGAUAGCGAUCCAAAAUAACCGGCAGCUGCCUAUCGCAGGGAAACCGAAGCCCCGCAGUAAACAGGUCCUUGGAAACAACACCUUCACCAACCUCGGGCGCAGGUACCAUCUCAUUCCCAGGUGCUCUGCCCACCCCCUUAGGAAAGAAAUUAUUCUCCUCAAAAGACGCAAUGUCUUGCGGAGUCACUUGGGAGCGCCCGAAGUAAAGAGUGGGAAUGCACUGAACUUUCCCCCUAGCGGCUGUCUCUGACCUCGCUUCAACCUCAGCAUCCUCCUCCUUGGCCUCCUCCUUAGCUUCACCAGCCUCUGCCUCCUCACCCGAAGAUACAGCAUGAACUUCGGUCUCUGCUACAUCUUUUGCAGCAUGGCCUUGCCCACCUUUACCUUCGUCUUCAUCAGAAGACCACUCAGGCGAGCUGCUGCCAUCCUUUGUAUAAAUCCGUUUCUUUGACCUCUUCCCAUCAACCUCUCCGCUACUCGCAGACACCGACUGCGAAGUAGGACUACCCCCACCACCAGAGGCAGCCUGAAUGGCCAGCUCUUUUGAAGACAUGAUCUGUGCACUCUACCUGAUGCGGGCCACCUGUCGCACCAAAAACAGAACAGCAUAACAUUGAGAACGAAGCCAGAACGUUAAAAAGAAAUCAAGUAAAACAACCACAAUCAAGCAAGCAGGAGCUACCCUCACCACGAAAAGCGAAGAUGUCGUCCAGCCAAGAAGAUGCAACGAAGAUGCGUAGCUAAGGCGCAAGCAACAAAAAGCUAUAGCUCGAAAACGACAACGUAAAAUAUGACCCGGCCCCCCUGCAAACCUUAUAUAGGCACGUUAAAAAGGCCAAAAGACGCCUUUACGGUGCUUCGAAUCACCAACCGCCGCAUGGCAAAUGACGUUAGUACCCCCAUCUAACGGUAAAUCACCUCGGCCCACGCCGCCGUCCAGGGUGACGUUUUGAGGGCAUUUUUUGACUUUUCGCGGGAUCGGUCGAUGGCGUCUCUGACCUCGCCCACGAAGGGGCUGCUGUUGGGGACCGCACCACAAUGCACCCUGAACAAAGCUAGCGCGGACCUCUACCCAACAUCAACGCUGACUUUGUCAUUAUACUCUUCCACGAAGCUAACAAUUAACCAAAGUUAACUAGUCUGAAGAUGCCCAUUCUGUGAUUUUGCAGGCGAAGAUUCCUGAAGUUGGAGCCCCCACAGGGCUCCCAACGACUUGACUUCGGGGAGGUCCCACGACCAAAGCCCGAGGUUAGCUGAUUUCGACCAAUGAAGGUGGAGAGCGCGCGGAGGCGUACUUGGUGCGGACGAAGCUAACGAGUAGGGAAAGAAGGAAUCAGGAUAGUCAUGGGAUCACAUUAUUGUGGGUCUCUUUUGUAAUAAAGAUCUUGGAAAGGGUUAGAAAUGUAAUCUCUCUUUGAAAGCGACAUCUUGAGUAGGGGUUAAGUUACUGUCCUGUACGGGAUAUGCCUCGGAUGUAGUUGUUGGGUAUGGGUAUAACGGGUAUACGGAAAUGUAACUUUAUGGCCCUAUAAAGGGAGGUGAACCGUCCCCCCUAAAAUGGAUACUAUUCAUUGAUAGGACAGCCACAGUUACAUUCUCUUGAGAUAUCUUUACCUUCGUAUGCUACCUCAUCUUACCUACUAUUUGGUUAAGACCCAACAACCUACUCGACCGCGUACCAUUUGGUGUAUGUUGGGUCUCAACCAAACAGUAGGUAAGAUGAAGUAGUAUACGAAGACAAUGAUGUCUCANNNNNNNNNNNNNNNNNNNNNNNNNNNNNNNNNNNNNNNNNNNNNNNNNNNNNNNNNNNNNNNNNNNNNNNNNNNNNNNNNNNNNNNNNNNNNNNNNNNNCAGUCGGUGUCUGCGAGUAGCAGAGAGGUUGAAGGGAAGAGGUCAAAGAAACGGAUUUAUACAAAGGAUGGUUUAGUCUCUGCAGACAAAGGCUCUUCCGGCAGUAGCUCGCCUGAGUGGUCUUCUGAUGAAGACGAAGGUAAAGGUGAGCAGGGCCAUGCCGCAAAAGAUGUAGAAGAGACCGAAGUUCAUACUAUAUCUUCAGGUGAGGAGGCAGAGGAGGAGGAGGAAGGGGGGAAAGAGGCUAGCGAAGCUGAGCAGGAGGCCAAGGAGGAGGAUGCCGAGGUUGAAGCGAGGUCAGAGAUGGCCGCUGGGGGGGAAAGUUCAAUGCAUUCCCACUCUUUACUUCGGGCGCUCCCAAGUGACUCCGCGAGACAUUGCGUCUUUUGAGGAGAAUAAUUUCUUUCCUAAGGGGUUGGGCAGAGCACCUGGGAAUGAGGUGGUACCUGUGCCCGAGGUUGGUGAAGCUGUUGUUUUCAGGGACCUGUUUACUAUGGGGCUUUGGUUUCCCUAUGAUAGGCAGCUGCCAGUUAUUUUUGAUCGCUAUCGUGUUAGGUUGCACCAGCUGACCCCCAACGCCAUCGUGAAUUUGUCUAAAUUUUACUGGGUGCAACGCACGUUCGGUGGCAGCAUUGAUGUGGAGGGUUUUGCAAGGUUGCACGAACUUCAUAUCCAGAAGAAGAGGACUUACUCCGAGGAUGGAAAAGGUGUUUGCGAAAAUCAUUUCAGGUGCUGCACUUUCGUGCCAUGCAGGAAGAAUGAUAAAAGGAACCUGCCAAGGGUAGAGCUUACCUUCGCGCAGAGGAACAAGUGGGAUGAUGCCUGGUUGACGCAUUGGUUUUAUGUUAAACUGAGAUGGCUGGGGUUGGGACUGGAUUCCCAUUUUAUGCGCUGUUUGGCCCGAUGGAUGUGCUCUCGACUCUAUCAUUUAUUCAUACGGCAGCUGUGACAAAGUGCGAGGCUGCUUACAGGGCUGCUGGGCCCUUGAUAUCUAGACGUGACCUCGUAGAGGAGUAUGUUGCGGCUAGAGUGUGGCCUCUGUCUGCUAAAUUUGCGAAGUCAUUUAAGCUUGUUGAGAAGGAGGUGUCUUGGAGCGAGAAGCCUGUGCAGUACCCCUGCUUUGAAACUGUUGUUGAGAGGGAUGCAGACUCGGACUCGUUUGUCCGGACAGUGGAGGACAUAGCUUACGAGAUUUUGGGUCCCGUGACCCAGCCGGAAAGGCGUUCUUUUGAAUCUGUCGUGAGACACGGGCGUCAUGUCAACCGGAUUUUUGAUUUGCAUGAUAUUGUGGUUCCGCCUCGUCCUGAAGUUGUGGGCUAAAGGCGCCGUCGGGGUGCUGGUCUUGAGCAGAGGAAGAAGGCAAAAUUUGACUUCGUGCUCGCAGCGAAGCUCGUUGUUGAGUCGCAAGUGGCCGCUAAAGCGAAGCAAAAAAACCCUGAACUUGGAGGUGCAAAAGAGGAAAGAAGUUACCGCGGGGGCUUCGUCUGCCGCGUUGCCAUCGGGGUCGACAGCUUUGUCUAUCGACUUGAGCAAACUGGCAUAUGUUAUUCCUGUCUCCGUGCGCCCUCCAAAGGAGGCCCCUACUCUUGCACCUUCGUCCACCGGGCCCGCCGCACGGACCAAAAAGGGGGCUAAUAAACCUCGUUUUGCUCGUGUUACUGUUCCGGGUGCCAAGGUUGACGCGCCUUCAGCGGCUGGUACCAAGAUCAUGACGCCCUCUACAAGCUCGAAGGCUAAGAACGCGCGGCCUCUCUUGAUUGAAGCUGGGAAACAUGAUAGGAGGGUUGCCGCCGAAAAGGCGAAGCUUGUGGAUGCGUUCUCGUCUGAUCCAAAGGGUGCGUGUGCCAAAGCUGUGAGAUCUGGUAAGCAUGUAGAGGUGUUUCUACCGAAGUUGCGUCUCUUUGAUUGUGGCAAGGCCUCAGCGGGAUUUUUGAAGGACUUGGAAGCAACUAUGGGGGGCGUUGGUGAGGUUAGUUGUGAGGAUCAUGUCAGGAUGAAAGUUAAAUGUUAUGAUGUAGGUGAGAGUUUGCCGGCGAGUCUUCAGGGACUGAACAAAGGUCUGGGCUUGAGCGGGCAUACGGAGAUUCUAGCUACAUGCACCGAAGGUAGGGUUUAUAAUCCACACAACCUGUCUUUGGUCUGGGGGGCUGAGAGUGAAGAUUGCGAGCGCUAUGCAGAUAUUGGCAGUUCAAAAAGGGAUGAGAAGGCGGGCGCGGUGACUUCAGUGGAGGUCGAAGGCAAAGGAGGGGCUGUGGGUUUAAGUGGCGGAAAGACUGUGGUGGCAUCUAAGGGCGAGGCUAGGGAUGUUGUUCCGGUCGCCGUUGAGGUGCGAAAAUAUGAGGGUGAGAGCCACUUGUAGGUGGUUUUGCUGUUCUUAGCUUUUAUUGUUGUUGUAUUAUGCUUACAACUGUAUUCUUUGAUGCACAGAUUUUCAGCAAGCUGUGAAGUCAAUGAGCUCAGAAGAGCUCUUUAACUUGGAGGCCAACCUCGUAAAGAAGGUAUGAUUACUGGAUAAUUUGGUGAUAUGUCUGGCGAGUGCUGUCCUUUACCUUGUUAUGUUUUUGGUGGCUUGGCUUAUUAUUCUUUGUUUAAAACCUGUAGGUGUCUUAUUCUUCAAUGAUCAUGAGGGAUCGGCUUGCUAAGAGUGAGAAGGCAGCCUUGGAACUUUCGAAAAAGGUAGCUUCACUAGAGGCGACUAUCGCUGCCAUGUCCUUGGAGAUGAAGAAGGUCAAGGUUGAGAAUGCGGAGCUGAAAGAGGACUCUCGCAGACUUGGCGAGAACUACGAGGCCAGGGGCGACGAGAUUGAUCGUCUGGUGGCGGAUAUGGUGGAGCUGGAGGGCUAGGUGAAGGAGAAGGACCGAAUUAUUGAAGGCUUACGCGAGGGUGCCUAGUGCGACAGCGAGGUUAUCGGGGGUUUGAAAUCUAAGGUCAGCCAGAUGGAGCCUGAGUUAGAAAUGAAGGCAAAACUGUUGGGCCAAAUUGAGACCACAUUAAGGGAGAGGUUCGAGAAAAUUCAUGAAGCUUACAAAGCCUCCCUUGGUGUGUUUGGCGCUAAACCUGAUGAUUGCCCGUUGGAUGAGGGAUGCGAACGUAUGUUCGAGUGGCUUUUGUACGAGGUUAAAAGUCUCCCCGAGGUCCUUGAGGGCUUGAAUGACUACUCCACAGUGUUCUGUUUGGAAAGCGCCCUUCACUUCUGGAACAACAAGGAUGCGAGCAUAUUAGGAAUAUUUCCGAAGAUAACUACGUUGUGCCAGCUGCCUCGGAGAUUGGCUGCGCUAUCAAGUCUAAUGAUAUGGAGAAUGCGAAGAAGAACUUGUUUGAGCACAUGUGGUCAACCUCCGUGCAGGACUAUGUGAAGAGGCUUGCGCGUGAGCGGUUAGCACAGCUGCGCUUGCAGUCUGGUGUUGGCAACGACGAGAAGGAUGCUGCGGAGUAGGUUGGUGCGUGCUAAGGGGAGGCUUUGACUUGUUGGUUUUGGUGUAUAAAGUUGACGAAGUCAGAUACUUUAUUUGUUUGUGAAACUAUGCCCUGUAAAGUACUUAUGUGCCAGUUUUUGUUAUGUAUUCGACUUUUGUAACUGUUGUGUUCUUUAUCCCAUUUAAACGUGCUGGUUUCUGGCAUAGUGAACCCGUUGUGAGGUUAGAUAAGUCAAAGUCAGGUUGCUGUGUUAGGCGACCCACUGACUUAGAAAAUGCGAGAACCGGUUGAUACAGCGACCCGAAGUUGCUUCAACCAUAGCCGUAUUUGUUGCUGUAUUUUGCAUGGGUUGACCUCAUGCGAGGUCGUUCUAGUGUGUUGGUUGCCGUUUGCCAAGCGAGAUCGAAAAUGUUACUCGGGCCUUUACGAGGUCGGGUGACACGAACCUUGCAAACUCUUCUCUUGCAAAGUUGCAAAAAAAUUUCAUGCUUUUUCGAAAAACGUCACCCCCCCCUUGCGAUGUUGCAAGAGAGAGGUCAGAUAACAUAGACUCGCAGAUCCUUCUCUGGCGAAUUCGCAGAAAUUUUUCACGUUCUUUCGAAAAACGUCACCCCCCCUUGCGAUGUUGCAAGAGAGAGAUCAGAUAACACAGACUCGCAGAUCCUUCUCUUGCGAAGUCGCAGAAAUUUUUCACGUUCCUUCAAAAAACAUCACCCCCCCUUGCGAUGUUGCAAGAGAGAGGUCAGAUAACACAGGCUCGCAGCUGGAGGUUUCGGUGUCUUUGAUCUGUAAUGGCGUUGUAUUUACACGUUAGGACUCCUCCACGCUCUGGCGCGAGGUUGCGCAACUUGGUGUUGCCUUUUGCACACUGAGUCUCCUCGCGCCCUGGCGCGAGGUCAUGCAACUUGUUGUUGCCUUUUCAUGCGAAAUCUCCUCUGCACACUGGCGUGAGGUCACGCAACUUAUUGUUGCCUUUUACACAUGAAAUCUCCUCCGCAUACAGGCGCGAGGUCACGCAACUUGUUGUUGCCUUUUUCAUGCGAAAUCUCCUCCGCACAGUGGCGCGAGGUCAUGCAACUUGUUGCCUUUUUCAUUCGAAAUCUCCUCCGCACAUUGGUGCGAGGUCACGCAACUUGUUGUUGCCUUUUCACGCAAAAUCUCCUCCACAUACAGGCGCGAGGUCACGCAACUUGGAUUUUUAGGGAAAAUUUCCUUUCUUUCUUUGUGAAAAAAGGUGUACAUGGAUUUUGCCUCGUUAAAAUCCUUGCCUCCAUUAUGGAGCCCCUAGCAAGGAAAAAAGUGCAGUCCAAACUCUAUGACCUUACAGACGAGAUAAAUUUAAAAGCAAAGAAAUAAAAAACUACUCUGUUACCUUCGGUGUUGCUUAUAGUUCCGCAAGCCGAAGGUAACUUGUACAGUUAUGGGUAAUAUUUUCGUAAGCUAUCAAUAUUCCAAGUGUGUGGGAGAUUAUUUCCCUGCUGGUCUGCGAGGUGGAAUGAGCCGGGCCUACCACUUUUUGUGAUGAUGUAGGGGCCUUCCCAAGUUUCUUGUAGCUUGCCUAGGUUGUCCCAAUUCUUUUUCCUUUUGAUGACGAGGUCGCCGACAUUGAUCUAUCUCUCUCGAAUGUGCUGGUCCCUCCACCUUCGGGUUUCUUCCUGAUACUUGUCCAAGUUUUCGAUGGCUUCGUUGAUGUCGAGCUCAAUCAUGCUUUUUCAGCUCUGGCAAUUUCAUCCACAUCCUCGGCCUUGAGGACUCUUAGGCUUUUGUUUUUUAUUUCUUCAAGGGUUACAGCUUCGGCUCCGAAUAGGAGCUUAAACGGGGUAAAGCCUGUCGCCCUGGAUUCUGUCGUGUUAUGGGACCAUAUGACUCUUGGGAGUUAAUCGCCCCAUUUGCCCUUUUUUUGAUCGAACAAACAUUUUUUGACUGCAGUAAAUAUGGUGCUGUCUGCCCUUUCGACAGCUCUGUUUGAUUGCGGGUGGUACACAGACGAGAAUUUUAUCUUCGUGCCGAGGCUGGCGCAGAAAUCUGUGAAUGAGAUGCAGUCAAACUGUUUGCCGUUGUCGACGGUUAGUUCCCUUGAAACUCCAAACCGGCAGACAAUAUUUUGCCAGAAGAAUUUUUGUACCGAGGUCGACGUAAUGACAGUCGGUGGUUUGGCUUCGGCCCAUUUGGUGAAGUAGUCUAUUGCAACUACUGCAAAUCUGCAGUUUCCUUGUGCUGUUGGCAAUGGACCGACUAGGUCCAUGCCCCAUCUCUGGAGAGGCCACGAAGGUGGGAUGAGCUGGAUCGGGAGCGAGGGUGCAUGCGUUUGCCUUGCUGCCUUCUGGCAGGCCACGCAGCUUCGUACAAGCAAGUGUGCGUCCAUGUGGACUCAAGGCUAGUAGAAUCCCUGACGGAUUGCUUUUCCUGCUAGAGCCCUUGAGCCAAUGUGGGUUCCGCAGAAACCACCGUGUAUUUCUUUGAGCAGUUCGCUGCCUGUUUCAUAAUCGACACAGCAUAGCCAUGGUGUUGAAAUGCUUGUCUUGUAGAGUUGCCCCUCGAUAAUUGCGUAGCCCCUAGCCUUUUGCCCCAUGCGUGUAAGUUUGGCUUCGUUUUGAGGCUCAAAAUGACCUCUAAGGAAAGCCAUUAUGCUCGCACGCCAAUCAUAACGUUGAAUGGCGUUGACGGAGGUUGGAGCUUCUUCCUUAAUCAAAGGUGAGGUGAUGAUUUCAUAAAAUGUGUUGGGUAGGAUUGGCUCGCCCUCUGCUGCUGCUUUUGCAAGCCUGUCAGCGUCGUCGUUUAGUGCCCUUGGGAUAUUUUUUACAUCAAACCCCCGAAAGUGCCUCUCCAUGGCACGUACUGCCUCAAGGUACUUAAUAAGCUCUAGCUCUUUGGCCGCGCUAUCCUUUUCAAUGUGGUCACGGAUAACCUUUGAGUCCGUUCUGACGAUGAAUGUUUGUUGCCCUAUGGCCUUCAUUUUCCUUAAGGCCAGCAGCAGCCCCUCGUACUCUAUGGUGUUAUUGGUUGACUUUGCAGUUGGUGGGAAGUCUAGCCUUGCUGCGUACUUGAUUCUUACACCUGUUGGUGAUGUGACAACUGCUGCCACCCCUGCUCCUUUGCGACACCAAGCCCCAUUGCAGUGGAUGACCCAUGGUGUUUCAAGUUGUUUUAGCUCUUGUUUUGGCGAGGUCCAAUCGACCAUGAAGUCAGCCAGUACUUAGGAUUUUAUGGCCGUGUGCCUUUUGAAGUCGACAACGAACUCUGAGAGUUCAGAUGCCCUUUUGGCGAUACAGCUGGAAGCUUCCCUGUUUGAGAAAAGAUCAUGAAGAGGCUGGCUGGUUACAACGACUAUUUUGUGCCCCUUGAAGUAGUGUCGCAGUUUCUGCGCUGCCAUAACGACUACAUAUGCGAUUUUCUCGAGCUCAGAGUAGUGUAGCUUUGAUCCGCUCAGAGCUUCGGAUGCGAAGUAAACUGGUAUUUGCCUCAUUUUGCCUUCGAUUUCUUUUUCUUGAAUCAACGCAGCGCUUACAGCUGUUGCUGAGGCUGAGACGUACAGUAGCAGUGGUGAUUUGGGCUCUGGUGGGCAUAGCUUCUUCAUAGAUUGCAGGUACUCUUUGAGGUCUUGGAAUGCUUUGCUUUGCUCAGGUCCCCAUUCAAGUGUUUUGGAGCUUCGGAGUGUUUUGAAGAAAGGGAGGCUUCGCUCCGCUGCUCUUGGAAUGAAACGGUUUAGCGCAGCAACCCUACCCGUGAGUCGUUGGACUUGUUUGAGCAAAGUUGGUUCCGACAUGUUAGCCAGCGCCUUGAUUUUAUCUGGAUUGGCUUCAAUGCCUUUUGCCGUUACCAGGCAGCCUAGGACCUUUCCUCUUUGAACGCCGAAUACACACUUUUCUGGAUUUAGCUUUAGAUUGGCUGACCUCAGGUUAGCAAAUGUUUUUGUGAGAUCCAGAAUGUGGUCGCUUCGCUUGACGCUUUUGACGAUGAUAUCGUCUACGUAAGCCAGGAUGUUACACCGAAGCUGGUUGUCCAGGACUGUUGCCGUCAUCCUUGAGAAUGUUUGGUCUGCAUUCUUUAGCCCCUCUGGCAUGCGCACGAAGCAAAACGUUCCAAAAGGUGUCACGAAGCUUGUUUUGCCUUCGUCCUCCUUCUUGAUUCUGAUUUGGUGGUACCCCGAGAAGAGGUCAACUAGCGAGAGCAUUUCACUGUUUGUAGCGUCAUCCACCACCUUGUCAAUCCUCUCGAGAGGGUAAUCAUCUUUUUGGGCAGGCCUUGUUGAGAUCUGUGAAGUCUAUACAUAUUCUCCAUUUGCCAUUUUUCUUUUUUACUAGCACCGUGUUAGCUAGCCACUCAGGGUACUGGAGUGGCCUGAUUACGUUAGCCUUGAGGAGCUUGUCAACUUCGGCCUUUACGGCUUGGACCUUUUCGUCGGACAUUUUUCUUAGCUUUUGCUUCUUUGGCUUAGCUCCUUGCCUGAUGUCGAGGCUGUGCUCGAUGAUUUCCCUGUCCACUCCUUUGAGAUCACCUGCGGACCAAGCGAAGAUGUCUUUGUUCUUGUUGAGGCCCUCGAUGAGGUUGCGUUCUUCUUCGGGGUCGAGGUUGGCUCCAAUUGUUACGAACCUGUCUGCAAUGUACUCGUCUAGGAGUACCCGCUUUGUUUCGCCGUCAGCACUGAUCUUUAUUUUUUCUUUGUCCCUCUUGGGCUCGUCGCGGGUCUUUUGCUUUACUGAGCUUUCGGCUUCGCUCGAUGGGGCUAGGUGGUGGAUAUUCUUUUGGCCCAGAGCUACCCCUCUUUCUAUGUUUCUUGCCAUUUGCUGGUCACCAUACACUGUUAUGACCCCCUUGUGUGCGGGUAUUUUCAUGCAUAGGUAUAGUUGCCUAAUUGUUGCGUCCAUCUUGGUGAUGAAACCGCGGCCAAGUAUUGCAUUAUAGGGAUAGUGCAUCUCCACCACGUCGAAGGUGAUGUGCUCUGUUCCCGCAUUGUCGCGAUCCCCAAACGAGACUGGGAGAGCAAUUUUUCCCAAGGCUUUCACUGGCUUUCCACUGAAGCCGAGAAGUGGGAUGUCGGCUGGGUCGAGCGUGUUCAUGUCAGUGUUCAUUUCUCUGAAGGCGUUUGCGAAGAGGAUGUCCGCGGAGCUGCCCGUGUCAACUAGGACUUUUCCAACUGUCCAGUCUGCUAUUAGCGCUUUGAUGACCAUCGCAUCGUUGUGCGAGGUUGUCUUGAGCUUGAAGUCUUCCCCCGUGAAGCUUAUGGGCAUGUGUGCCCAUUCUGGCUUCGUUGGGGGUCCUUCGGGUAUGAUUACAUUGACUUCUCUGAAAUAGUUUCGCCUCUGCCUCUUGUUCUCGAACUCUAAAGAGGAGCCUCCGGUGAUUGGCAUUAUCAUGCCGAAGGUAGGUAAGGAGUUUUGGUUGUUGUUUUGCGUGUUAGGCUCUGGUUUGGGCAUUAUGGCUGGUAUGCUUGGGGGAGGAGGUAGUGUUUCUUGAGGCUUCUGAGGAGGAUUUGGGUUGGCAUGUUGUGGGAUUGUUUGGUGGUACGGUUGUAUGUGGGGCGGAAGAGGCCAGGUCAUUGGUUGCUGGAAAUUGGUGAAGCUAGGCUGUUUGGAGUAAAAGCUUGGGUGCGGGUAAAAAGCUGUGUGGUGGAUUGUUUUGGGUGCUUGCGUGGCUGCUUCCGCGGCUUCUUCUGUAGCCUUUCUCUCUUCUUCUUCUUUCUUUUUGGGGCACCACUCUGUAUUAUGAUGGUUCCGAUGGCCAUGGUUGACACAGUAGAAUGAUUUUUGCUAUCUUCCUCGAUCUCGUCCUCUACUAGAGUGGCCCCCUCUUUGGGUAUUGUUGUUUUUGUUUUAGCUCUGGCUUUGGUUUUGGUUUCCCUCGAUGUUCAUGACACGGUUCGGGCUAGAGUUUUGAGGCUUAUUGUAAGGCGAAGGUUGCCAGCUUCGGUUCUGGUUUGUUUGCCUUUCCUUGUUACGUUCCGCCACUCUUCUGCGGUGGUCCUCGUCGGACCUGAUGUAUUCAUCGAGUUUGCUAAAAAGAGCACUCAUUGUUUUGGGCUCUUUCCUUAAUAGCUUCGACGCUGUUGGGCCAGGGGUGAGGCCCGCGAUGCACGCGGAUAUUGCUACAGAUUCCUCAAUGUGCGGCGCUUGGGAACGAAGCUGGACAUAUCUUCUUACAUAUUCUGCGAGUGGCUCCUUGUCUUUUUGUUUGCAUUGGAAAAGAUCUGCUUGGGCCGUUUGGGGGUAAUGGAAGCCCUGAAAGUUUUGUGUGACCUUUGCCUUGAGGUCAUGCUAGCUAAUCACCGUGUGUGGAGGGAGUAGUGAGUACCAGUUUAGUGCCGCACCUUCGCAAGCAAUUAUGAAGGACUUGGCGAAGACGACAUCAUCUCCCCCGGCCGAAGCUACGGCGGCUUCGUAACUCAUUAAGAAUUGUCGUGGAUCUGUCCGUCCGUUGAAUUUGGGCAGGGUGGUUGGCUUGUAUGUUGCUGGCCAAGGUGCAGUUUGGAGCCCGAUUGAGAGCGGUGAUGUGGCGUCGACCACGAGAGACACCCCUGGUGAGUGAUGUUGGGUGCCUUGGCUGAAGUUGAGACUGGGUUGGAAUUGUGCCUGAUCAACGGUGGGACUUGGGUGAAAAUAAGCUAUGGUUUGGUUUGCAUUCUCGUGUGGGCUUUCAAGCUCCGCAAUUUCUUUCUGUAAUGCUUCCAGCUGCCGUCUAGCUUCGUUCAAUUUUAAUAGUCUGCUCGAGGCUUCCCUCUGUUGUUGCACCUGUCGUGCUAACCGCUCCUUUUUUCUUUUGACCUCUUCUAUCUCCCGGAGGACUGAGUCUAGCUCAUUGUCCAGGUCAGAAGGGCCAGUAGCUUUGGGCGUUGCGGGCUGCUGGCUCUGUUGGCCGUCAGUGCGGUUGGUAGCUUCGUUUGCUGUGGGUUGUUGGCUUUGGUGGUUGACCUCGGGUAGUUCCUCCUUAUUCGAAAGAACCUGAUCUGUGGCCUCGGAGUUGUAAGCUGAACGGCCUCCACUGUGCUGACUUCUCUCUAUACUGUAAGUCUUCUUUUCCGUUGUGGUGGCAUCGUAGGUUAUUUGUCGAGUUAGACCAUGGUGGGCGCAAAAUGUUGGGUCUCAACCAAACAGUAGGUAAGAUGAAGUAGUAUACGAAGACAAUGAUGUCUCAAGCAAACAUAACUGUGGCUGUCCUAUCAAUGAAUAGUAUCCAUCUCAAGGGAACGGUUCACCUCCCUUUAUAGGGCCAUAAAGUUACAUUUCCGCAUACCCGUUAUACCCAUACCCAACAACUACAUCCCAGGCAUAUCCCGUACAAGACAGUAACUUGACCCCUACUUAAGAUGUCGCUUUCAAAGUGGGAUUACAUUUCUAACCCUUUCCAAGAUCUUUAUUACAAAAUUGACCCACAGUAAUGUGGUCCUAGGGCUGUCUUGAUUCCUUCCUUCCCUACUCGUUAGCUUCGUCGAGACUAAGUAUGCCUCCGCGUGCUCUCCACCUUCAUUGGUCGAAAUUUGCUAACCUUGGGCUUAGGUCGUAGGACCUCCCCGAAGUCAAGUCGCCGAGAGUUCCGUGGGGGCUUCAACUUUGCCACCCGGAAAACCAAGCAGAUCAAAUGUUCUAUAAGGGCGUCGUGUACUCCGGCCGAACACAGGUAUUCCUGGCCUCCACACUGUUUAUAUUUGCUCUCUCAGGUCUUAGCCCGUCGGCCUCUCCUGAGUCCUGACCAGUACCCCUACUGAACAUUCUUUUAGCUUUUAUCUUAAGCUGUCGAUAUUUAUUGGUGGGGGUGAAGAUGCUAUCAGUUACGCUAUGUAUAUGCCUUGCAGAUGACAAGUGUAUUAUCCAAGCGACCGGCGAAACUGGACAUUCAUGUACUGUUGUCAUUGUUGCUCAUAUGCUAUGGACUUGGCAUGCAACGUCGUCCAUUGUUCAGCAGUACAUGGCAACAGCACCGAUCUGCUCUGGCUGCUUCAUUUCAAGAACGGCGUCACCAACGAUCCAUUUGGAGCCUUGAGCAAUUGGAAUACCAGCACCCACUUCUGCUGGUGGAGUGGCAUCAAGUGCAGCCCGACACGACCAUGGCGCGUGACGAAGCUCAACCUCACCGGCCAAAGCUUGUGUGGUCAGAUGAGUUCUUCUCUUGGAAACAUGAUCUUCGUUGAUCUGUCCAACAAUAGCUUUACUGGUACCGUGCCUCUUCUCAACAAACUCCAAUACCUGAACUCCCUUUUUCUGGGAAGCAACCUUUUACAGGGUGUUAUUCCUACUAGAAUAGGCUUUCUUACCAAGCUACAAGGUCUAAGCUUUCAAAGAAAUUCUCUCUCCGGGGUCAUCCCACCAGGCCUCGGCAACAUCACCGAUUUAUCAGUAAUUGUUCUUUCAGAAAAUCAACUGAACGGGCCAAUUCCCAGUGAGUUUUGGCGAAUGCCAAACAUAGCAUCGUUGUACAUGUUCGAAAAUAAUCUGUCGGGUGGAAUCCCGCGAACUCUCUCUAAUUUGUCUUCUCUUGGACAACUAUCCUUGGAGGGCAAUAUGCUGGGCAACACAUUGCCAUCUAACUUCGGCAACGCCCUCCCUAGUCUCCAAAUUCUGUACUUGGGAAACAACAUGUUUGAAGGAUACAUUAUAUUCCAUCUUCCCUAGGCAAUGCUUCAGGUCUAAUAGAUUGGGAUCUGUCAUCUAAUAAGUUCACUGGUCAAAUCCCAAGCAUAUUCGGUAGUCUUUCAGGGCUGUCUAUUCUAAACCUUGAGGAAAACAUGCUUGAAGCAAGCGACAGUGCUGGCUGGGAAUUCUUUGAUGCCCUGACAAACUGCAGUUCCCUGGAGGUGCUUUCAUUGGCUAAUAAUAAUCUGCAGGGAGUCAUACCAUAUUCGAUUGCUAACCUGAUCUACUAAUGAACGAAAACCACCUAUCAGGAAUAGUUCCUCCAAGUAUUGGGAAAUUUAGUGCUUUAGUUAGGCUCUCAUUGGGAAUCAAUAAUCUUACCGGUACAAUAGAUUGGAUUGGAAAGCUGCAGAAGCUACAAAAAUUAAAUCUCAACAACAACAACUUACAGGGGCAAUCCCACCUUCACUUAUUAGCAACCUUACACAAUUAACAACAAUGUCUUUUGCAGAAAAUAAAUUGACUGGUUUUAUACCACCUGGCUUGGGAAACCUUAAACAUAUGACAAGUUUGAACCUUAGCUACAACAAUUUCCAAGGGAGCAUACCAGUCAAGUUUGGCAAUCUUAAACAACCAAUCUCACUACAUGUUUCAUCAAACAAACUUAGCGGGGUCAUUCCUGAAACUUUGGGCCAAUGCCAACAGCUAACCACCAUUCAAAUGGACCAGAAUAUUCUUACAGGAAACACAUCCCGACCACCUUCAGUAAUCUAAAUAGCUUGAGCACGCUUAAUAUUUCGCAUAACAACUUGUCAGGACCCAUGCCAGCUUGUCUAAAUGAUCUUGAGCUUCUCACUAAACUAGAUCUAUCUUACAACAAUUUCGAAGGAGAAAUACCAAGAAAUGGAGUAUUCGACAAUGCUUCAGUUGUUUCACUCGAUGGCAAUCCCAGACUCUGUGGAGGAGCCACUGAUUUUCAUGUGCCUUCUUGCCAUCUUGAUUCUAGAAGUGUAGGACUCGCAAACAAUCUGGUCGAAAUAUUGAUCCCAAUAUUUGGCUUCAUGUCACUUAUAGUGUUGAUAUACAUUAUAAUCUAUGGGAAUAAGACAUCAAGAAGACCGUACUUACUGUUGCUUUCUUUUGGUAAGCGGUUCCCUAAAGUUUCCUACAAGGAUCCAGCCCAAGCUACAGAAAACUUCUCCAAGUGGAACCUAAUUGGGAUUGGAAGCUAUGGUUCAGUUUACAAAGGAAAAUUAACUCAAGCUAAAAUUAAAGUGGCAAUUAAGGUUUUUGACCUUGAGAUGAGAUGCGCCAAAAAAAGUUUCAUAUCAGAAUGCGAAGUGUUGAGAAGCAUUCGUCAUCGGAACCUUCUUCCUAUCUAAAGAACAACUUCAAAAAGCUGCUAAUCUUUACCCCAAUAUUUUUUUUAAGAAAAAAAAAACUCCAACACUUCACCUAAAACUUGAAAAAAACACCCCCUCGUAUUUUCGCGUCACGAGCGCUUUCUCGGACGCGCGCGCAAGGUACCAGCCGCCACGCAGGGGCCGCCCGGCAGCGCCUGCCGUGCGCCCCGUGCCGUGCGCCGCCCCCCGGCCGCCGCCCCAUGGGACACGGCGUCAGCUGCGCCCGCACCGGCGACGAGCACGACUACUUCCACGCGGCGCAGCUCGGGGACCUCGACGCCCUCGCUGCGCUCUACGACCGCCUCUCCGCGCUCCACAUCGCCGCCACCAAUGGGCGCAUCGAGGUCGCCCCUCUUCUCCACGCCAUGGUGAAUCGGCGCAAGCAGGUGCUGGAUCCCAUCAAACUGAUGCCUUUUCUUGUUUGCAACUUGCAAGGAUCUCUCUGCUAGCUUUGGGAGGGGCUGCGGCGCUGGCGGGGUGAGGGGCGGCGGCGGUGGGGCAAGGGGAAGCAGCGCCGACGGGGCGAGGGGCGGCGGCGGUGGGGCGAGUGGCACCGUGUAGUUCCUGCCGUUCUUGCCGCCGCCGGCCUUGCGGCCGAACCCGACGGCGCCAUCUGCGAGGCGCUGCCGGUUGUCGGCCCAGCUCGGGUCACAGCGUCAGCAGUCGUCCACCGGAUUGCCGGUGCCGCAGUCGCCGUCAAUCAUCCGUCGGUGCUGUGACGUAUUCACGCUUAUGUAAAGAACAAGGAAGAUUAAACUCACUGACGGUAAGACGAUGGUAUAAUUUAGUCUCAGAAAUUAAUACAGUUUAGCUACCUGACUAAAUCUUGCACGACCUGUUGCCCACCUGUGGUUGAGGAGUGGAUUGACAAUGGAGAAGAGAUGGAAAGGGGAAGAAAGGGAUGCAGUAAAGCAGAGAAGAUGAGAAAGGCCAUUCUUGUUGAUGACAAGACGAACUUGACAUGAACAACAAUUUAGCAGUAUAGUAGUUGCUGAUCUCGAUCUAAAUAGANNNNNNNNNNNNNNNNNNNNNNNNNNNNNNNNNNNNNNNNNNNNNNNNNNNNNNNNNNNNNNNNNNNNNNNNNNNNNNNNNNNNNNNNNNNNNNNNNNNNCUAGACCGCCUCGACCUGAAAGCGAAAACGAAGAUGCAGGCCUUCCCUGGGUACAAAAGCAGCUUCGCAAGGGGGCUGCUGAUUUUGACGGAGGAAAAAUCAACGACGUGGAGACCUGGUCAGGUGGUGGAGGGAAAAAAACGCACUGCACCUGGUCAGGUGGUGGAGGGGAAAAAACGCACUGCCCAACGUGAUGAUGACGUGACCUGAUUUGAAAUAUUGGGAGACUAGCUUUUUUAGCAUUCUGCUGUGGCUUGAUAUAUUUUUAGAAAGGAACUUUUUUAGCAUAGCUCCUAAUACCUAGUUUUUGGAAGAUUUUUUUAGCAUACUCUUGGAGUUGCUCUAACCACAUGCUCAAUAUUAGUAAUCCUAACGCAUGAGUGGAUCGGUUACGGUUAGUUAGCUUUGCAUGUUUCUGUUUCUGCAUUGCAUGCACACGAGCACCAACCUGUGGCUGCCGUGCGCGUAGGAGGGGGUGGCGGGAUUAGCUCGCACAUGACCCUAGGAUGACCGGUGAUUCAGCGACAUCAUGGGCACGGGGAUCGACGUGCUCGCUGCGCGGUGCGCGGCUGACCACUGCGUGGACUUGUUCUUUGUAUUCACAGAAUAAAAGAAAAUAUACAGAAAAUGCUGCAAGUCGUUACGCAGCACCAAAACCUCGAGUUUCAAGCGUUCUUGAGUUUGAGUGUUACUUGCCAUCGCGAGCUCGCCGCGCCGGACGUCAGGAACGCCGGUUCGAAGCUAACACUCAACAAUAGACAAUACUGGCAACGAUUUCAAAGCUCUAAUUUAUGUAGUAAUGCAGAAUGGGAAUCUGGACACGUGGUUGCAUCCCAGACCUACUGCAGAUCUGAAACAUUUGGACUUGAUACAGAGAGUAAACAUAGCUGUCAGCAUAGCUGAUGCCUUGGCAUAUUUACACCACGACUGUGGGAAUCCUAUUGUCCAUUGUGAUUUGAAACCAACUAAUAUCCUUCUUGAUGAUGAUAUGAAUGCCCAUUUGGGAGAUUUUGGCAUUGCAAGUCUAGUUCUUGAUUCUAGGUCAGCACCAGUUGGACAUUCUGGGCUUAAUAGGUACGCAGAUUGUCACGUCCUGCAUUUUUAUCUGGCAUUUUCUUGUUUCAGAAAAGAUGAGGCAAUCUUUUAUGCAAAUGAAUAUCUUGACUUCAGACUGCACUAAUCAUUAGAUUUUAUACGUUUUUCUCAGAGUAUGGUCAGUGUGUUCAUGCAUCAACAUGUGGGGGAUGUUUUACAGUUUUGGAAUAGNNNNNNNNNNNNNNNNNNNNNNNNNNNNNNNNNNNNNNNNNNNNNNNNNNNNNNNNNNNNNNNNNNNNNNNNNNNNNNNNNNNNNNNNNNNNNNNNNNNNUAGCUUUGUGGAGAGGAACUUUCCAAAUCAAAUGUUAGAUAAGAUCGAUGCUUAUCUCCAAGAAGAAUGCAAGCGCUCUAUACAAGCAAUGCCAGAAGCAGAAAAGGAGAUCUAUCAAUGCUUACUAUCACUCGUGCAAGUAGCUCUUUCUUGCACGCGUCUAUGCCCAAGAGAACGAAUGAGCAUGAGAGAAGUAGCCAUUAACUUGCAUGCAAUCCGGAGGUCAUAUGUUGCAGCGAUCAAGCAAGAGUAAGUCAUUUUUUGCUGGAGUUAUGUCCAACAUGCCAUGGAGCUUAGUUAAUUAGUUAAUUAGUAUGUCUCUGGAGGCAACAGGCAUAAAGAUUAUAAAUUAGCCUGGCCACGAGCACCAUGCUGAAAUUGACGAACAGCACUGCUUGCAACGUCUUGUACAUAACUGAAACUAAGAUUUGGUUUGUGAACCUUAGUAAUAAAAUGCAACUGGUAGAGAAGGAACUGAUUAUUCGAUGAAACAUUAAGAAUUUGAAGAAGUGUCACAGAUCGCCUUGUUGAUUGUUAGCGUGACUGUAAUACUAGGCGACUCUUUCAGAUAAUUCAUCGUGCGGACUACUCAUAUGAACCAAGUCCCAUCUACGCUUUGAUCAGUGAUCACCAUGUAGGAUACAUUCCAGAUUCCCUAGGCAAUGCUUUAGAAUAGAUUUGGAUCUGUCGUCCAAUAAGUUCACUGGCCAAAUACCAAGCAUAUUCGAGAACAUUCAGGGGUUGUCUCUUCUAAACCUUGAGCUAAACCCUGAACAUCCUUGAAGUAGGCAAUAGUGCUGACUGAGAAUGAUCAAUGAUGCCAUGGCAGACUGUAUUCCCCUACGUCAGUGGUCUCAUAGGUCGUCUCAUGCAGUGCCACGUCAGAUUUUUGAUGAUGUGGAGGAGAAAGAGCGAGGAGAGAGAAAGAGAUUGUUGUUUCGCUAAACAACUUCCUCAUGAGCUAAAUUGUAGGACUACAAGAUCAGGGGCGGAGCCAGGAUUUGAGGUAAGAAGGGGGCAAUGGACAAAGUAAAGUAGAACUGAUAGUCAUGUGAUUAUGGAUUACCUGCGGCGGUGUCAAUUUGGACAGCGGUGGUGGCGUGGCCGCGGCGGAAUCGCGCAGCGUCUCAACUCUCACGUCCAAUCUCCUAGUGGCCAGUCCAGCAGUACCAGCGCCGCACGGACGCGGUGUCCGGCGAACUAGUGAAGGAGAAGACCGAUAGACCGAAGAUGAAUAGUCGAACGGACAGAGUCACGACGCUUGAUGCUUCGUAUUCCAAACAAUAAUGAAGGGAGAAGGCCAGCAACAACUAGAUAGGUUUAAAUGGACUGCUUCUUAUUGGGUCUCAAAAACAAUUAACGUUUGGAAUGAAUGGGCGGAAGCGAUGAGCUGAACAGCUAAUACGUACAUGUAUAUUAGGAUCAGGGUUUAGCUGCCACCCGAGGAUCAGGAGGUCACCCGAGGAUCGCGUGGCUCGGCACCGCUAAUCUUGUAGCUGUAGGUGCUAUAUCAGUUCAUCCAUUAGUUUUAUUGCUGAAUGAAAUGAACCAAAGGACGGCAACCACAACCCUCAUUAAUAAUUAACCUUGGAUAAGCAAAACACACGCAAUUGUUGGUCACAUGUGUUUGCUGAUACAUUGUAGGCUCAUCUGAUGCACGACGUGGAACUAUCGUGUUCCUUCCUGGGGCUCCUACUCAAUCAUUUAGGCCCCCUUUGGUACGGCUCUCCCACCGACUCUUGCAGCAGCUUUUGCACAAGCUGUACCAAAUACCUCAAAUAAAAACGGCUUCAACCCGUGAGUUGCGCAAAAGCCGCUGGCCAAAACAACUGGACGGGAUGAGCCGCAAAAAAUAGCUUCCCCCGACUUCUCCCCAUCCACGUACCUGAUUUUCCAUCCUUCUCCCCGGCUGCUCUCCUCCCCGGCGCACGUGCGCCGACGGCCACCUCCCUGCGCCGCGCCCCGCCGGCUCCUUGCGCCACACCAGCGGCCUCCUGCGCCGCGCCCCGCCGCCUCCCUACGCUGCGUCUCGCCACCUCCCUGCGCUGCGCCCCGCCAGCACCCUGCCCGCCAGGUGCACGCGCUCGCGCGGGGCCACGGCGUGGGGGCAUGACCGCCAGGAGGGAGGAGGGAGGAGAGAGGAGGGGCCGGUUGGGAUCGGAUAAGGAGAGAGGAGGGGUGGUCGGGAUAGGAUGAGGAGAGAGGAGGGGAAAAGAAAAGAGGGGGAGUAAAGAGAAAUAAAAAAGGCAAGAAAAAGAAAAUGAAGAGAAAAAAGAAAAAGAAAAGAGAGAGAAAAAAAAUAUAAGGGUAUUUUGGACAUUUGACAUCUUCUUUACAUUCUAAAAGGCUAGGAGAAGCCGUUUUGCCAAACGUUUUCGUGCAAAAUAAGCUAGAGCCAGAAAAAAACUGUUUUUCCAUAAGAGCCAGAGCCAGAGCUAUUUUUUCACGAGCUAAAGCCGUGCCAAACGGGCCUUAGUUACCGCGUGGUUAUGGCUCAGGUUAGCUUCACUGAACCUGUAUACCAUUGGUACCGCACAUUAUCCACUGAACCUCCCUACGCCACCCGAGGAUAGGGGGGUGCCUGGCUCCUCCCUCCCUACUCAAUAAUCAUUGUACGAGUUAUUGUUGCUAUGCAACUCAUAAUAUUUCAUUUUUUCAUAUGCACAAAUUAAGAAAUUAUAUAGCUCUAUCAAACACAACCCAUUAUAUGGGUUGCCUGUUGAGUUAUCUCAAAAUUAGGUAUCAAUGCAUGAGACCGCCUAUUAGACGAUACCAAUGUACUUAUCCUAAGGGUUUGUUCAGUUAAUCCCCUCCGCGACAGGAUCGAGGGAGGGGAACUAACCCCCACGGCCCACCCGGCCAACCGUACACACACAUAUCCGGAAUUAACAACCAAACAAGGUGUAAAUAUGCUUUCAUUGGCUAUUAAUCAUCUUCAGGGAGUCCUACCGAAUUGAUUGCUGACCUGUCCACAGGCACAGACCUCACAACUAAUGAGUGGAAACCUAGUGCCUUAAUUAGUCUGUCACUAAAUACCGACAAUCUUACCGGUACAAAUGAGGAACGGAUCGGAAAGUUGACGAAUCUAUAAAAUCCAAGUCUUGGUGCCAACAAAAUUGUAGGAAAAAUCACGUCUUCCAUUAGCAAUCUUACUCAUUAUUUGAUACUUUCAUAUUUUGUAGAAAUAAAUUCAUUGUUUUUUUUGAACCGAACAGUAGGGGAGGCCCUAGCUUUUUCUAUUUAUAUGUAAAAAAGAAUAGUAUGUACAUGAGUGGACUCCAAGUCCAAAGACAAAAGAUGGGGGAGGCUACCGGAAAUUACAUAACCAAGAUUUUAACUCCAACUUCAAGGACGGCUUGGCUCUAUAUAGCACAAGCGACAUCUAUAUGCUUCCAUCUUUGAAGUGAUAUAGCAACACCAUCGAAAAUGACCUCGUUUCUAUGCUUCCAGAUGGCCCAGCAUGCUAGAAUGAGUAUCUCCCUGAAAAUUCUCGAGCCAAAAUCCCUUCUAGAUUCAACAAUCCUGUCUAAGCACAUGAGGUUGAGGUUCCAGCGAAGAACAUAGAGCAAUCGCCAACACCACUGGCUAAAAGAGCAAGUGAAGAAGAGGUGAUUUGAGGUCUCCUCAACACUAGCACUGCAAAGAGCACGCACAGCUGUAGUCAUCUAGAAUUCUUUGUUUCCUGCAUAAUAUGUUUUUGGUGUUUAAUCUGUCUCUCAGUAGCAGCUAAAACGUGAACUUGUGUCGACCUCGGCUACAUGAUCUCCACAUCCAUAUGAACAAAACGUGAACCCUACUUUUGAAUCCCAAUCACCUUAAUUAAAAUAUAUACCAAUAUAUGAUUCUAAAUUAUUUAUUUCUUACGCUAUUGGUAUAUGAUAUAAUAAUUAAGGUAUAUAUACAUAUGUGUGUCACCAUUUAUAAAGAUAUAGAAGAAGUGAUGAGAAUAUAGAUUUCUAUGUUAAAUUUGCAACUAAAUUGCCCACCACUAAUACUUAAAAAAUAACUUAAAAAUAAAUUAAAGUGACCCCUUAAAUUUGCAUCUUUAUUACUCACGUAUGUCAUUAUUAAAAAUAACAAGAGGUAACCUACUUUCGAAUCCAAAUCACCUUAAUUAAAAAUAUAUACCAAUAUAUAAUUCUAAAUUAUUUAUUUCUUACACUAUUGGUAUAUGAUAUAAUAAUUAACGUAUAUAUGCAUGAUGUGUGUCACCAUUUAUAAAGAUAUAGAGGAAGUGAUGAGAACUUAUGGUUGGUAGGCGUCGUAGGCGUCGUCAGUAUGCGCUUGAGUUAAAAUUAUAGCUCAAAUUUAUGGUCCAUUAAAUAAAUUCAAGCGCAUACCGACGAUGCAAAGUGAAAAGUUAACGAUUAUAAAUGUGGAUGAAAAUGUUAUGGAGUAAUUACUAACUAAACUCUAUCACAAUCUGAUGAAGAUAAUAAGUAUAUAUCUAUAUAAGUAUUAUGUUAGGAUAUUUAACAAAUGAGAGGUAGCUUAAGGUAAUAGUUUCGUAACAAUGGGAUCUCAUUUUUUCCAUUAGAGAUUCCGCAUUAGUUCUCACGAGACACGCUAGGAAAAAAAAUCCUAUAAAUUCUCACAAAAAUCAGAAACACCAAACAUCAAUCGUGCAAACUCUAAUAAUCAUAGUCAUUGGUCUAUAAUAUUUUAUAAAAGGUUACCUACCAUUAUCAUUAUGAACAUAUUCUAAAAUAAACACUAACCCUAUAUCUAAAUUAUGGAGCUCUGCAAUUAUAAAAAACUAAUCUAAAGUGACCCCAUAAUCUUCGUCCAAUUUACUUAUGCAUAUCAUUAUAAAAUAUAACUUAAAAUAUUAUUGUAAAUUUGUAUCUAAGUUACCCACGUAUGUUCUUAUUAAAAAUAACCUAAAGUAAACACCUCAAUCUUAAUCUAAUUAUCUUCAUAUGCAUCUUCAAAAAAGUCCAAAAGUAAACAUAAUGAGUGUCAUUGUUAAUAUAGAAAUACAAAGUUAAGGUAUAUACGCAUGAUAAGUGUCACCAUGUAGACAAUCUAUACAAAUAUGUGAGGAAGUGAUGAAAAGUAUUGAUUUUUAUGCUAAACAAAAUGUGUGGAGAUGCGAUACAAAAUGAAUAAAAAAGUGUGAAUGUGGAUAAAAAGUGUAUAGAGUAAUUAAUAAUUAAAAACAAUCAUAAGACAAAGAUAAGUAUACAUCUAUAUAAGUAUUAUGUUGAAAUAUUGAAAAAAACUAAGAGAGUAGUAGGUAAACAAUUUUGAUUAUUAACUAGGAGCUCAAUUUUUAAAUAAUUUUCAAAUAUGAUAGUUUUUAAAAAUAUUAACCUGUGCGGGAGCAAAGGUUGAUGGACUAGUACAACUAAUACUGAUCACUAGAUAUUUCUCCAAUUGAAACGGUGUUCAACAUCUGCAAAACCCUGUAAAGCACGGCAUUGUACAGACUAUUCUUGUCCAGAUGGGAUACAAGUUGACUUGACCCACUCGCUACCCUGUCAAAGAUAACCUAUGAACGAAUCAUGCCCACACAUACAUUAUGGAAGUACCAUCAUCACAAAGGUCCAAAUCGGACCUGGAAUCGAAAAUCCAGCACCGUAGACCAUUCCUCGAGCUGAAUUUUAUCAUCACCGUAAAACUGCUUUUAAACCCCUGGGGCCUCAGCCAGUUGAGCAUCCAGCUCAUACUUCCAGUUCAAACACCCACUAGCAAGCAAAAUAGAAGCAGAUUAGAAAGGCUGCCGCACAGCAGAGGUUCCAUACUCUCUCCCACCCUUCUCUUCCUCCUCAUUUGUGUUCGGUGCUACUAUUUAACUAUCCUUUUUGUGCUGUUACUUUUUUUAAGAUGAUUUUAGCUUAGAUGUAUAAUAAUAUUUAUAAACCUAGAAAAGUUAAAAUAAUCUACAAUUUAAAACGGAGGAAGUACUUCUUAGAAUUAGCUCUGCUUACAGCAUGAGCUUACGCUGCGUAGUUCAUCUAGUAGUACUUUAUACGCUACCAAGUUUAUGCUUUAAUUUUGCAGGUGACAAUUAAUAUGCUUCUCAUGCGUCACUCGAUGUUGCUGGCAAAACUUGCCGUGCUUAUCGUAUUGCCUUUUUUGCUGCUGUGUUAUGGAGUUGGCAACGUUUACUGCUCGACAAUUCAUGAGAACAGAGAAGAUCUGCGCUCGCUGCUCGACUUUAAGAAGCGGAUCAGUGAUCCAAAUGGAGCCUUGAUGAACAAUUGGACAACCAGCACCCAUUUCUGCCAGUGGAAUGGUGUUAACUGCACUUCCACGCCACCAUAUCGCGUCAGAGAGCUCAUCCUCACUGGGCUAAACUUGGGUGGUGAAAUAUCCUCCUCUCUUGGAAAUCUGACCUCCCUUAAUUAUCUUGAUCUAUCCAAUAAUAGCUUUCAUGGUCCCAUACCUCUUCUUAACAAACUCCAAAACCUAGAGUACCUUUUUCUAGGAAGCAACCUUUUGCAAGGUGUUAUUCCCGACGCACUUACAAAUUGUUCUAAUUUAGUUACACUAGAUCUCUCUGGAAACAACCUCAACGGUCUCAUUCCUCCUAGAAUAAGCUUUCUUACCAAACUAGCAUAUAUCAUCCUUUACAGUAAUCAUGUCACUGGGGAGAUACCAGCAUCCCUCAGAAACAUCACAAAUUUACAACUAGUCUAUUUUUCAAAAAAUCAGCUCAAUGGUAGAAUUCCCGACGAGGUUAUGCAAAUGCGAAACUUAAUGGAGUUGCACCUAGACCAAAAUAACCUAUCAGGUAGUAUUCCUGAGGUUUGGCAAAUGCCAAACAUAUUGCUGUUAGACCUAAGCAUAAAUAACCUCUCAGGUCGAAUCCCACGAGCUCUAUCUAAUGUAUCUUCUCUUCAGGAAUGGUCCUUGGCAUCAAAUAUGCUAGGCAGCACAUUACCAUCUAACAUUGGAGAUGCUCUACCGAAUCUCAUGAUUCUAUACUUGGGUGAGAACUAUUUCGAGGGUCACAUUCCAGCUUCCCUAGGAAAUCCUCCAGGUCUACGAGAGAUAGAUCUCUCAACGAAUUAUUUCACCGGCCAAAUCCCAAAUUCUUUGGGAAACCUUUCACUGCUGUCUUCUCUGAACCUUGAUCAAAACAUGCUUCAAUCAACAGACAAUGAAGGUUGGGAAUUCAUCCAUGCCCUGGGAAAGUGUAGAUCUCUAAAAAGACUUUCAUUGUCUAUUAAUAGGCUACAGGGAGCCAUACCAAAUUCUAUUGCAAACCUGUCCAGCACUCUUACAUAUCUGCUAAUGUCUGAAAACAGUCUAUCAGGAACAGUUCCCCCACGUAUUGGAAAAUUUAGUUCCUUAAUUCAACUAUCACUAGAUCAAAACAAUCUUACCGGUACAAUUGAAGAAUGGGUCGGAAAUAUGACAAAACUAGAACGUUUGAAUCUCCAAUCAAACAGCUUUGUCGGGAUAAUUCCACCUUCCAUUGGCCAACUUAUACGGUUGAAAUAUUUAUUUCUUGAUGAAAAUCAAUUCACUGGGUUUAUACCACCUAGCUUUGGAAACCUUAAAUCAUUGUUGCAGCUGCACCUUAGCUACAACAAUUUCAAAGGGGGCGUACCAUAGAGUUUUUGGAAAUCUUAUGAAUCUCAUACAUUUGGACCUUAGUAAUAACAAUCUACAAGGUGGGAUACCCUAGGAGAUUGGUAACCAAAAACAACUUGACAUCCUCCUCCUGUCAUCAAAUAAACGAACUGGAGAAUUUCCAGCUACUUUAGGCCAAUAUCCAGUCUUCACUAACCAUCAAAUGGACCUUGCAUGGAAACACUAAAUCAUUCCCAUAACAACUUGUCAGGUCACAACCCUUUGGCUCUAAGUGAUCUACAGUUUCUUAGUGUGCUAGACCUUUCAUAUAAUCAUCUCGAAGAAGUACCAAGAAAGGGAGUAUUUGAAAAUGCUAUAGCUGUUUAUCUUGACAGCAAUUGUGGACUUUGUGGAGGAGCAAAGGAUCUCCAUAUGCCUUUGUGCCAUAUUGAUUCACCAAGAACAGAGAAUCGGUACUAUUUGGUCAAAGCAUUGAUACCACUGUUUUCCUUCAUGUCAACCCUACUGUUGAUUUACUUCAGAAGAAGGGAUCAAGAAGGGCAUAUUUAUGGCUGCCAACCUUUGGGAAAAAAAUUCCCUAAUGUUUCUUACAGGAGUCUAGCUCAGGACACAGGGAACUUCUCUGAGUCUAACUUGAUUGGAUAUGGAGGCUGCAGUUUAGUCUAUAAAGGGAGGUUAGUCCAAGUUAAAAUGGAGGUGGCUAUCAAGAUUCUUGACACUGAAGAGCAAGAUGCGGAGAAAAGCUUUCUAGUAGAGUGUGAACUUCGGAGAAGUAUUCGCCACCGAAAUAUUCUACCUCUCAUAACCACAUGCUCCACAAUUGACAAUAAAGGCAAUACCUUCAAAGCUCUAAUUUAUGAAUUUAUGCCUAAUGGAAACAUGGACACUUGGCUGCAUUAUCAAGGGGACGGCAGAACUCCAGAAUGUUUAGGCUUAUCUCAAAGAAUAAAUACAGCUAUUAACAUAGCCGAUGCAUUGGCCUACUUACACAAUGACACUGGAAGGCCCAUUGUCCAUUGUGAUUUAAAGCCUAGUAAUAUCCUGCUAGAUGUUCAUAUGAAUGCUUACUUGGGUGAUUUUGGCGUCGCAAGGUUACAUAUUGAUUCUAAGUUGAGAUCAGUUGGCGAUUCAAGCUCAGCCUGUUCAACGAGUGCAAAAGGAACUAUAGGGUAUAUGGCUCUAGGUAGAACUUUAUCCUUCUAGGAUUUUUACAAAUUAUAUUAACAUGAACCAUAUUUUGCAAGUUGUUAUGCACUGAUUAUCACUUUUAUGUCUAUGAUUAGAGUAUGCAGGAGCUGGUAAUACAUCAACUUUUGGAGAUGUUUAUAGUUUUGUAAUAGUACUUCUUGAGAUGCUGACAGGCAAAAGACCAACAGAUCACAUGUUCAGGAAUGACUCACCAUUAUUAGCUUUGUGUGGAAAGGUACUUUCCCAAUCAGAUACUAGAUGUUGUCGAUACUCAUUUGCUAGAAGAAUCCAAGGCGUUCAUCGAAGCAACUGCGGCGACAGAAAAUCUUAAGAUCUUCCUGUGCUUGUUGUCUUUGCUACGAGUAGCACUUAUUUGUACACGCCAAAACCCAAGAGAACGAAUUAACAUGAGAGAAGUAGCAGCCAGAUUAAGUGCAAUCAAGAUGUCAUACGUGGGACUGUGGGAGGAAGAGUUAAGGGCUAAACUUCGUUCAAGAGACUCAUAAGUUGGGCUUCUCACAGGAGUUGAAGGAAGAAAGAAAAUGGUAAAAGUUUAAGCUUCUCGAUACAAUAGGGACUCUGCUUGUAGAACCAAAUUUGAAGAUUUUUGAAUGCUUUAGUGAAUUGAUUGAGUUAUACAAAAACAGCUUCAUUGGUCAAAUUCCUAUUUCUCUUGGCAAGCUCAUUAGCUUGCGCACUCUAUCCCUUGGGAGAAACAACCCUAGCUUGAAGCAAACGACAACCAAAGCUGGGAAUUCUUUGAUGCGUUGAAAAAUUGUAGCCUUCUACAAUAUCUCAUUCUAGGCAACAACCGACUAUAGGGAGUUAGAACACCUUCGGUUGGUAGCCUAACCACCAAUCUUAUAGUAUUACAAUUAAAUUGGAACAACCUUUCGGGAAUAGUUUCGCCAAGAAUACGAAACCUUUCCGGUUUAAUUCAACUAGGAUUAAGCUACAACAAUUUUACUGAACAAAUGAAUAAUGGAUUGGAGGAACUCUUAAACAUAUCUAGCUAUAUCCAUUGGAACAACUUUGAUGGGCCAAUUAUUCUCUACGACGUAUUACUCAGUUAGAAAGACUCUUACUACCAGAAAGUGAAUUUGAUGGUUCAAUACCACGUAUAGCUUAGGAGACCCUCAACAACUUUCCUGGUUGGGCCUUAGUAAUAACAAUCUUCAAGGAAACAUACCUCCCCAGCUUGGCAGCCUUAAAAAACUCACUGAUCUUCAUCUUCAAUCAAGCAAACCCACUAGGCCCCAUAGACUGCCAAGUGAGCUUCUGUCCCGUGAUCUUUUUUCCAGAAACUCCUUUAUGUCUGUGUUCUGUUGGUUAUCAGACUGCUUUGCUGAUGUUGCUUCUCCAUACAAAUCAUAUAUUCAUAUCCAAGAGGAAAUAUCAAAAAUGGAGUAUUUGCAUAUGCGACAGCGCUGUUUCACUAGAUAGCUAUUUAGGACUCUGUGGAGGAGUUACUAAUCAUCUGAAUAUGCUCUCAUGUCCAGCGGUUUCCCAGAGAAUACAAAGCCGAUAUUUUUCUAAUAAGAGUACUGAUCCAAGUAUUUGGCUUCAUGUCAAUUAUGUUGUUGAUCUGUACAUUGACGGACAAGAAGGUUCCAAGUAAAAUAUAUUUAUUGUUGCAGCAUUCAUUUGGCAAGUAGUUCCUACAAAGAUCUAGCUCAAGAGACAGCAAACUUUUUUCUGGAUCGAACCUACUUAGGAGAGGAAGCUAUGGCUCUGCGAUUGCUAUCUCUAGUGCAGAUCGCUCUUUCUUGCACUCGUGUAUUCCCAAGAGAAACAAUAUUGAACAUGAGAGAAGUUGCCAGUAAGUUGCAAUCAAUCAGAAUGACAUACGUGGGAUCGACCAAGAGAAAACAAGUCCUGAUUCAUAUUUAGUAGAGUAUUUUACAAUGUGACAGGAAUAUUCUGUAGGCAGUUUAGGUUCUCUUUGAAUGCAAUGGGCACAAAGUUGGUAAUUCAGCCUAUGAUUUCGCAUGUUAAAAAAGAACAAGAUACCCUGCUACUGCUAAGCUGCAGCCUGUUGGUGGUGAAUGAUGAACAGUGUCCAAUACCAUCAUAUUAAGAUUUGGCUUUUGAGCAUUUGGAAAAUUGGAUUUGAUAAAGUAUCAGUAAGUUGACAAAGUAUUCAGAUCGCUUCUAUGGUAGCGUGUGACUGUAACACUGAGUGGUGUUUUAAACCGACGUUACAUGGAUACGUCAGGGAGGUGCCGUAUCCUGUAUUGUAUACGUAUCCAUAUCGGAUACGGCCAGGAUACGUGAUGGAUAAAUAUAGUAAAUGUUGAUACGUGGGCCCACACGUAUCGGGCUGAUUUUGCGAUACGGCCUAGUCCAAAUCCACCUCUUAUCCACACACCUGCUACCUACUCGCUACAGCCCCCACCCCGACAUCCUCACGCAUUGCGCUGCCGGCCCCUCGCUCCCCCGCACGGUGGUCACAUGAGCGCCUCCACCUGCUGGAGGGGGCACCAGGCCGGCGUCCGCCAGAGAAGGACCUCUGCCAGGGGACGCUCCGUAGCUCUGAUUUGCCUGCGAAGAAGCUCUGCAGCUCUGACAACCAAGCUCACGACGGAACUAAUUGCCAAGGCGGCGACAUUCUGUGAGUUUCUUCCUCAUCAGCUUGUUUGGUGGCUCUUCCCUUUCUCGAUCUACAUUUGUUCUUCGGUUCUUGAUAUUUUGCUGCUCAAUUUUCCGAUUCCCUUCCUCAUCCUAAUCUUUCGCCAACAGAUAGCAGCACCAAAUUCGAGCGUGCUAGUUCUACUUUUUCUUUGCCUACCGGCUAACGCUCCUCUUUCAAGCAAUAACGAUAAGAAGAACAAGAGUGGAUCCGACCUGCUUCACCAAUUGACAAAUUUUUAGCAUUGCACCUGGUUAUUGUUGUAAAAUUUGUUAUGCAUUAUUUUUAUAUAUUAAAAAAUUGACUAAAUGUAUCGGCGUAUCGUAUUGUUUGGAAAAAUCACGUAUUUGCGUAUCUGUAUCCGUCCGAUACUUUAUGAUAAAUGGAACGACGCAGCUAAUCGACCGCAAGUCCGCAAUCUAGCUAACAACCGCUCGGAUCCCUAAUCCGAACCUCAAACUACAGUCACUCAAAAAGUUAAGGUCGACGAGAUGCUGUGCAUACCGUUAGUGCGGCCGCUGGUCAGCCGCCUGCUUCGCCGUCCGCCGCUGCCCGCAACUGCGACUGCUCCACGCUCUGUCCCAGACGACGCGCGCCGCCUGCGCUCGCGUAGUGGCCGAUUUCUUCCGCAACGGCGCGGUGCCGCCGCGGUGGGACCGUGGGAACCGCUUCGUCGCUUUGUGACCGGUGAGAUUUUGCCAGUCUGUAGCCGUCGUUGGGCAAGAAGGCCGACGAGGCUUUGUUGGCUGGGCCGUUUUUGUUUUUGGGCCAUGGCACGAUGACCCAGUCCGCUCUUCUUUGGAUCUGUUCAUGUCGUGCACACAACAGGUGGCGAAUCAGUUCCAACCUUUUUGUUAGCCUCUUGCUUGCCUCAAGAUUUCCAGGAAUUAAUUCUGGCCCUGGGAUAUAGUAGAAAAUUGGUGCUUAAUGGUGACGAAAUUUCCAGGAAUUAAGGGAGCUCCUGCUCUCAAUCUCCAAGUUCAAUCACUCGAAACAAACAAGCCAUAGAACAUGCAAGGUUAUUCAGCUUCUGCACAUUACCAUAUACGUACUUAUGAACAAUGUUAUCUGAAUACAACAACGUCAGGAGUGCAACUUCUUGUUAAGUCAAAUAAUAACAUUGAUUACUUCACCACAUGCUAAUGUAGCUUCCAAAACAUCGACAAAAAAAUAGUUAAACAUAGCGCAAUACAAUUGUACUGUAGACACAGCUACAGUCGCAAUACAACAAUGUUUAGUUUGGCUUGCACAGAAUUUUUUUCUUGGACGAACGGGCACACAAAACUGUGCACUAUUUCUAUUAAUAUAGAAGGAGUAACAAACGGGCAGCCAUGGAAGGCUCCCUCUCCCUACAUGCUAAAAAAAUGUACAAGUGUAAAAGACUAAAACUGAACAGAAAAUUUGGAUCUAUACACUUCUAGGAUGGUUUAAAUUCACAAAGUUCUUUCUUCAAAGAAUUUAUCCAGAUGCACAACCUUUAACGGACUAGCACAAUAAAACACGAGGUUGUAUAUUUCCUUAAGACAUGAAAGAACGUGGUGUCAUGAAAGAAUUUGCAUCCUCAAACAGAACAAAUGAUGCAUGGAUGUAACUCAUCCUCAGAUCUAGUGUCGCUCAAAUUGAUUGGGGAGGUGGUGACUACGCUUUCGGGCUGCGGCUAACCCUGCUACCCCAUUGGACGAUGCGCUGGCUCCAGAAUGCAAACCAUUAUUGGUGAUACAGUGGUUUCCGUGUGAGCUUUUUUUUUCGGAGCCCUUAUGAACAUGUAGGUGAGGGAAUCAAAGGACGUAGCACAUAGGGGUCGCUCAUGGUUUUGGCGUCGUGUCCGGCGGCCAAAUACAUUCCGUUGCGUGACCACCCUGCGCGAGACGACACUGCACAAGCGGACGCGGCGGCCUCAUGACUCAUGCGUGCAAUGAUCGUUGCACCUCGUUCCCUUGCCGUCGGGAUGCGUGUGAUGAUCGUGACUACGGUUUCUCGCAUACUUCCUCCGUUUCAAAAUGUAGAUUUUUAAUUUUUUUAAGUACAUAGAUUUUACUAUAUAUCUAGACAUUACCGUAUAUUUAAGUGCACAGUAAAAUUUAUGAAAUUAGAAAAAAUCAAAACGAUCUACAUUUUGGAACGGAGGGAGUGGAGAUAGAUGCUGCUAUGCUGCCGCAUGUGCGACGAAGCUAGCUUAUGUACACAGUUUACCCUGUAGCAUAGAUCUCUGGUCAGUAGAUAGAUGUUUUGUUCACGAUUCCCUUAAUUACUGCAAGUGGUGCACAAAUUACGACUAGCGCCCAUAAACCUUCAACAAGAUGCAAGCUGUAUCCGGCAUACCAGGGUGGAGAAUGGCCCUUAUACAGUCGUACUGCUGUACAACCACUGAUUUCACAAUUCAGGACUCACGUCCUAUACUCCAAGUGCCUGAUUUUUUCCUUACCUUUUACUUUUAUUCCAGUCGCCAGCAAGUUAACGGCAGCGGCUCUCUGGUGGAACUUGCCGGGUGGUGGCAAGCCUGGCUGUGAGGGCAGGACCGCAGGAAGGCAGGGCUAGGGAUGCGGGGCGGGUUUUUUUGGCCGCGAACCUGCUGGGUGAGCCCGUACCGUGAAUCCACGUAACCCGCGUAAUUGCAGCGGUCCAAGCGGGCAUGCCCGCCGUACUCAACGGCGCCGCAAGCGUCAUUCAUACGAGCGUGAAAAUUCUUAUCUUCUCCUAAUAGUACAACAGGCCGUCCCUAGUCACUGCUUUGACUUUUUAUCAACCAGCGGCUGGUAUGUUGCUUAUAUAUGGAGCCACGGCAACUUAUGUAACUAGAUUUUGUGUUUGUUGAAGAUUUUUUUACCUCACGAUCUUGUAAUAAGUGUGCACAUGAAUUAGCUCGAUCUAGUUUGAGUUGGGACUCGGAUCAGUCAUGUGUUUGGCUUAAUCCCCUACCGGAAUUUGUAAAGUUAUUAGCAGUUCAUAAUUUUCCUGAACCACAGACAAAACGAUUUGUAGUGAUGCCCAUUGUUUAGCGACGGGCGAAAUUACCACCUGCACCUACAAAACGUGGGGAGGAGGAUUACUGUAGCAUCCGCACCGCCCCUGGAGAAACAUUUGCAGGGACGGGUCACGAGGACCCGCCCCUAGAAAUGGGCACUAUUUCCAAGGGUGGGUGAUGCCGAUACGUCGCCAAGAAUUUUUUACAACAAAAAGAAAAAUAAUUUGCAGGGAUGGGUGAUGGCGUCAUCCGUCCCUAAAAAUCUUUUCUAGGAGUAGGUGAUGGUGUCACCCGCCCCUUUCCCAGGGCAGGUGACUGCUAAUGCCUCCUAUAUAAGGCAGUCCGCACCGGGGACUUAGCCAAAAAUUCACAGAAGCGCGCGGGACGUCGUUAGGCUGCCGAAUUUUCACUUCCCUCCCCCGAUCUGCCGCCCCCUCCCCCAUGGGCUCCACCACCGCAGUGCCUCCCCUUCCCCCCGGGCCACCGCGCCACGCCUCCUCCCCUCCCUCACGGCGCCUUCCUGUCGCGGCGCCUCCCCUCCCCGCUGCCUCCACCGCUGGGCCAUAGCGCUGAGCCUCCUCCCCUCCUCCCGUGGUGCCUUCCCAUUGCGGUGCCUCCUCUCCCCGCGUCUCCCCUCCUGUGCCGCCUCCACCACCAUGCCUCCCUUUCCACGGGCUACCGCCAUAGCGCCUCCCUCCCCCGCGCGCCUCCCUUCCCCGCGGUGCCUCCGUCCACGACCGUCAGUUUCUUAAUUUUAUUUUAUUUUCUUUUUAUUUUUUUAUUUUGAUUUUAUUUUAACUAUGAGCCGUACUCUCUCCGUCCCAAAUUACAAGUUAUUUUGGCCUUUUUAGAUUCAUAGACUUUGUUAUGCACUAAGAUAUACACUAUAUCUAGAUGCAUAAUAAUAUCUAUGCAUCUAGAAAAGCCAAAACGACCUAUAAUUUGGGAUGGAGGAAGUAGUACUUAGUGUAAAACAACAAUUACAAAUUUCUUCCAUUAUCUUAGACAAUCUUUUAUCCUUAGCAUUUCGUGAAUUAUGAUGUUUUACGGCGCAAUUAUUAUUAAAGUUGAUGUUUGUGGAAUAAUCUAUCUUAUUACAAUUUUAUUUGGAUAGUUUGUGCUAAGUAUGGCAAAUAGACAUUCUUUUCGCCACGGUGGUGGCGGUCGUGGAAGUGGCAGGGAACACUACAUUUUCGAGGAGCCACCGUUGGUUCGUCCUCCGGGAAUUCACUUCCCUAAUCGCGUCAUUGACUUGCCUACCGACGAUCGAAGUAAAGGAGCAAUUUCCAAUAUAGUAAUUCCUAAUUUUAUUACACAUGCAUAUAGUUCCCAAUAUAGUAAUAUUAUUUCCUUCUUGUAAUUGGUUGUUUUAUUACACAUUAAUAAUUUCUUUUUACUUACAUACAAUAUAGCUUAUGGACCCUAUUAGAUGGCUCAAAGAUGUUGUCGAAGCUCUAGAUGGUACCACUCCUUUAGUGUAAUCCGAGGUUGGUGGUGCAAGUAAUUUUAUAAGACUAAAGAUCUCUUUUGAAGUACCUGUUCGAGGAGGAUAGGCCAACUUGAUGCGACGACCAGGAUAGGCUAUUCCGAUGGUAUCAAUUGUCGCAUGAGGUAAAGAAGCAGCUUGACUUUUGAAAAGCCCGUCGUAAAGGCAUGCCUACAACAACUGGAUAAUGGGUACUUUAUGCCAGGCUUCUUAUAUUUUCGAAUAAAGACGCUCGAGGAGAGAGAAAGCAAUGUGACUAUGACUACUGUGAGGUUUUAUCAGCUGAAUCAACAUGACAUGGUAUGUAAUAUAUCUAUUCAUUCUUACAUCUUUAGUUAUGUUACAUCUCUCAACUUUCAUCACAUUAUUUUUAUUUUUAGGAUAUCUUUGGUCAAAUAUUUGCGGCAAUGAGAUUUCAUACGAUUCUAGCUCAAGUCUUAGAUGUGUUGAAUUAUAGUUACAUCGAUGGAAACUUGAUACGCACUAGAGAUUUUAAGCUCCAGGCUCAUCUCACUUUCUACAGGCCAUAUGAUUUUACCUCUCCAUUGUUCGAGAUUUAUGGUAGUGUAUGUGAUCAUCCAUACGAAGCGAUAGAGAGUGCACUAAUUCAUGCUCUAGUUUAUAUUGAUGAAGUUCUAGGCUUUAAGAUUAGAGACUUAAACUAUAUUUCAUAUCUAUGAAGCGAAGCUAAGUAUGAAAUAUGUAGCAUGCAUGGAUGCUCUACCCUUUUCUUAUGAAUUUGAACUUGUUCUGUCUAAGACCAAAGUAUUUAUGCAUGAACUUGCAUUAUGAGACUGGUUAUAUAUAUUCUGUUGCAUAUACAAUGUUCUGUGAGUGUUGGAUCUGAAUGGGUUGAUACAUGGGAGAAUCACAUUUUAAAAAUUUGGCGCAAAAAUAGUACAAAAUUUUGGCGGGAACGACAUUUCCAGCGGCGGGUGAUACCAUCACCCGCCUAGUUUGUAAGGGCGGUUCAUGACAUCACCCGCCCUUGAAAAUGUCUUUACAGGGUGGAUCUAUUACACGCUCUUGCAAACAGCUACUUUUAACUGCGAAAAGCAGGAACGGAUAGCAUGCCCGCCUUUACAAAUGCUAUUUCAACCAUCCUUGGAAACCGUUUUUUAUAGUGAUAAAUAAAAAAAUAUUUUUUAAAAAAAGUACAAUAGGCCGUCCUAACCCUACGAGCGUCAUGCGUACGAGCGUGAAGCGUCCCUGCCCUCCAAACCCAGUAGCAAUCACUGUGGCUCCUGAGUGCUGCCCCAAGCUUGAAGCUUCGUAUCCGAAAGUUCUCCUUUGGCCGCACUUGGCAUUGUCCUGCGACCCUGUCUCCCAGUCUGGCAGACCGCCACUGCCUGGCUCGAGCACGGUACCACCAUUCAAGUGAAGCAUUAGUGGUCUCCGUUUCAGCCAUUCUCGAGACCAUCCGAACAGUUAAAUUAGGUCAGGCAUAAGAGGAUAUCAAACGCCUUCCUGGAUCGCUGGGCUUCGUGCCGAAGCCAGCUAGCUACACACCUUUGGCAUCGUCGGGGGCUCAUCCCUGCACAAGAUAGUCGUGCCGUUCGAUCACCAUCCCACGUUGGCAGCCUGGCAGGACGCCCGUGAGGCGAUGAGUCGUUACGCGAGCUUAGACAGGUUAAGUAACUAUAGUAACCUUCUACUGCUUUAACUAACUGAUAAUCACUUCGAAGGAAGAAUACCAGAUUCUAUUCACUAGUAGAGAAUUGGCUUUCGAUCCGCCCCCUUUUGUCCCGGUUUAAAGUUGGCCCGGGACAAAAGGGGGUGCGCCACGGUAGGUAAAAUUGGAGGGGAGAUUUACUCCCGGUUGGUAAUUGCAACCGGGACUAAAGGCCCCACUUUAGUCCCAGUUGCAACGGCUAGCUGGGGGGCGUCGGUGGCGGGACCCUUUUAUCUCAGUUGGAGGAUCCAACCGGGAUAAAAGGUGAACCCUUUUAUCCCGGUUGGAGGCACCAACCGGGAUAAAAAGUUUAGUCCCGGUUGGUGCCUCCAACCGUUGGAGCCUCCAACCGGGACUAAACUUCCAACCAGGACAAAAGGUGUUCCUUUUUGUCUCGGUUGGAGUUUUUAACCGAGAUAAAAACUCAUCCCCAUUAUAUACGGCCAAGACAGAGGACUUUCUUCCUCCUCCAGCCCGAGCCAGUCCAGCACAUUGACAGAGAGAGCUGAGCUUCACCUACUCUCCAGUGGUGCCGAAGCAAGCAAGGAAGGUGCUGCCCGAAGUUUUUUCCCUCAUUUUCGUGGGAAUUUCACUUGGCCAACACAAGUGUUGCGAAGGUUUGCUACUUCAUCCUCGUGUUAUGCUUUGAUUUAUGCUUUGGAGAUGGAAAGAUUAUUUGCUAGAAUGUGAUGAUGAAGUAGAAAAAUGGAGAGGUAUUUUGAGCUAGAAUGUGAGGGAGAUUGAUGUGUCAUAUAUAGUAUGCAUUAUUGCAAUGGUUUAAAAAUGAUGCUACCUUGUCUAGACGGUUUAUCUUAUCAAAUUCAAUAUAGUUUUUUAAAUCCAUACUUGUUGAACUUGCAUACCAUGUUCAUUUCUGCUACGAUGUUCUCCGCCGAGCAGCAACGUAUGUCAAGAAGGAGGUUCGAUUCUACAAGAAAGAGUGGAUACGGACAUCGUGACCGUGUCCCCUUUUCCGUAGCAUCUAACCUCUUUCAUGACGAAGUGCGGUGCUGCCCAGCUGAGGACAUCCUCGCGAAAUGAUCACGGUCUUCAAGUUCAACAACUUCUGUAGUGGUAAGGAAAGAAUUUUUGUACAUAGAUGACUUCUGCUACUUGUUGAACUUGCAUACCGUGUUCAUCUCUCCGAGGAUGUUUUCCGCCGAGCAGCAACGUAUGUCAAGAAGGAGGUUCGAUUCUACGAGAAAGAGUGGAUACGGACAUCGUGACCGUGUCCCCUUUUCCGUAGCAUCUAACCUCUUUCAUGACGAUGUUGGGAUACGAGGUAGGCUACACUAGCGUAAAUCAAAAUUUCUACCGCGUAUAACCAGGAAGAACUGCCGUAUAAGGAUCACGGGAUUACCACUCGACGCACUACUGGUGCGGAAGAUGUAGAUAUGCGUCGAUGCAGUGAAGACGAUCACGUAGUCGUACGUAGUCGAUCAACGUAGUCGUACGUAGUCGAUCACGUCACGUCCAGCAGCUCCCACGUGCAGCAAGAUCGCCUCCGGUGCCGCGGCUCAUCGUGGCUCGUCGAUGGCUCGUCCAAGUGCUGCAGGCGCAACACCUCCAAGGUAUCCACACGUGCAGGGAGGAAGCGUCGCAAGCUGGACUGCUAGAUCCGCGAGUUGCAACAGGCGAGGGCGUGGGAGGCGCGGCAGAUGUGUUUCGCCAAAAGGUGUAAACCCUAGGGCGCCCCCACCCCUCUAUUUAUAGAGGUUCCUGACGGGCCUCUGGAUCCGAGGCCCAUUAGUACUUCUAAAACUAAUCCAACUCGGAUCUGAUCCGAAUUGGGCUUCCAGCCCCUUAAGUGUGUGACCCUAUGGGUUCGGAUACGUAUAGACAUGGCCCGAGUACUCCUACUCGGCCCAAUAGUCGGUAGCGGCCUCUAGCAAGACGUGCCAACUCCUACACGCACACGAAGAUCAUAUCAGACGAACCAUCACAACAUAAUAUACAUGCUAUUCCCUUUGCCUCACGAUAUUUGGUCUAGCUUCAAGCCGACCGCUCUUUCUCGAUCCUGUGAUUCGGAAUCCCUUUGUAGGUUAACUCUUAACCGUACGUAGCAUGGCCAUGCAUUUUCGGAUCCGAUCACUCGAGGGCCCCAGAGAUAUCACUCUCAAUCAGAGAGGGGCAAAUCCUAUCUUGACUGACCAUGUCUCAUAGCAUGCUUCUUGACAAACCCGAAAGCUACCUUUAUAACUACCCUGUUACGGCGUAGCAUUUGAUAGCCCCUAAGUAGGUCGAUCCACAUCUAGAAUACAUGCGACAGUCUCAGGUCUAAGGACAAAGCGUAUAUGUUGUUUAAAGAGAGAACUACUUCUCGUGUUGGGUCAGUCCUAGCACAUGUCUCCACAUGUGUCCACAUUAUCAGUUCAACAUCUCCAUGUCCAUGACUUGUGAAACAUAGUCAUCAACUAAUACAUGUGCUAGUCUAAUAUUCAUGUGUGUCCUCACAUGAACUCCGACUAGGGACAACUUUAGAAUAACCAUACAAGUAAAGAGUUUCACAUACAAUUCACAUAAUUGCAAAUCAAUUCAAGUAGCCUUUAAUGGAUAUUCAAUGAACACAAUAUACAAAUCAUGGAUACAAAUGGAAUAUCAUCAUCUCUAUGAUUGCCUCUAGGGCAUACCUCCAACAGUCUCCCACUUGCACUAGAGUCAAUCUAGAAGGUACCUAAUACCCAUAGCUCUUACAUGCGCAUCAUGCUUAGCCUGCGGGAGUGGUUUUGUCAAUGGAUCAGAAAUGUUCAGAUCCGUGUGUAUUUUGCAUAUCUUGAUCUCACCCCGGUUAACGAAGUCUCGAAUGAGAUGAAAUCGCCGCAUUACGUGUUUGUUCUUCUGGUGGUUCCUUGGCUCCUUUGCUUGCGCAAUUGCCCUAUUAUUAUCACAGUAGAGAUUCAAUGGGCUGGACGCAUUCGGGAACACACCAAGCUCAAUGAGGAAAUUCCUUAUCCAAACACCUUCCUUCGCGGCUUCCAAAGCCGCGAUGUACUCGGCUUCUGUCGUAGAAUCGGCCACCGUCUCCUGCUUGGAACUCUUCCAACUAACAGCACCACCAUUUAGCGUGAACACAAAUCCUGAUUGUGACUUUGAAUCAUCUCUGUCGGUUUGGAAACUAGCAUCGGUGUAACCUGUUACAACGAGCUCCUCCUGACCUCCAUAGACGAGGAACAUAUCUUUAGUCCUUCUCAAGUACUUAAGAAUGUUUUUCACCGCUGUCCAGUGACUCUCACCUGGAUCAGAUUGGUGUCUGCUUGUCAUACUUAGCGCAUAUGAAACAUCUGGGCGAGUACUUAUCAUUGCAUACAUGAUAGAUCCAAUAGCCGAGGCAUAUGGCACUCUACUCAUGCUAUCCCGCUCAUCAGCAGUCGAAGGACACUGAGUCUUGCUGAGAUGUAUGCCAUGUGACAUAGGCAAGAACCCUUUCUUUGCCUCUUCCAUGCUGAACCGCUUCAACACUUUGUCAAUAUAAGUAUCUUGGCUCAAACCUAUAAGCCUUCUCGAUCUAUCUCUAUAGAUCUUAAUGCCCAGAAUAUAUGCCGCUUCCCCUAAGUCCUUCAUCGAAAAACUAUUUUUCAGUGAAGUCUUUACGGACUCAAGCAUAGGAAUGUUAUUUCCAAUCAGUAAUAUGUCAUCCACAUAUAAGAUUAGAAAUACUACAGAGCUCCCACUAACCUUCUUGUAAACACAAGACUCUUCUUCGUUCUUGGUGAAGUCAAACCCUUUGACCACUUCAUCAAAACGAAUGUUCCAACUCCUAGAUGCUUACUUCAAUCCAUAAAUGGAUCUCUGAAGCUUGCAUACCUUUCCAGCAUUUUUCGGAUCGAUAAAACCCUCGGGCUGUAUCAUAUACACGUCCUCAGCUAGGUUUCCAUUCAGGAAAGCUGUCUUGACAUCCAUCUGCCAUAUCUCAUAAUCGAAAUAUGCAGCUAUAGCUAGAAUAAUCCAAAUGGACUUAAGCAUCACUACGGGCGAGAAGGUCUCGUCGUAGUCAACUCCUUGAACUUGUCAAAAACCUUUUGCGACAAGUCGUGCUUUAUAGAUGUGAACAUUUCCAUCCAUGUCCUUUUUCUUCUUAUAGAUCCACUUGCACUCUAUGGCUUUAACACCAUCAGGUGGGUCAACCAAGUUCCAAACUUGAUUGUCUCCCAUGGACUCUAUUUCGGAUUGCAUGGCACUCUGCCAUUUUUCGGAGUCUGGGUCCAUCAUUGCUUCUGCAUAUGUCGCAGGCUCAUCAUUGUCCAACAAUAAUAUUUCCCGCAUUUCGCGGAGCCUUGCCGACCUUCAUGGUUGUGGCGGUGCUUCUCUUGCCAUGGGUAUCUCAACUUGUUCUGCUACGUCAGCAUCACUCAUUGGUUCUUGCCCGAUUGGCUCAUCUUGAACUUCUUCAAGAUGCACUGUCUUUCCACUCUUUUCUCCUUUGAGAAACUCUUUCUCUAGGAAAACCCUGUUCCGAGCGACAAACACUUUGCCUUCUGAUCGGUUGUAGAAAUAAUAUCCCAAAGUUUCCUUUGGAUAUCCCACGAAAAUGCACUUAUCCGACUUGGGUGUGAUCUUGUCCGACUGAAGUCGCUUGACAAACACUUCACAUCCCCAAAUCUUUAGAAAAGACAAACUAGGAACCUUUCCAGUCCAUAUCUCAUAUGGUGUCUUAACUACGGAUUUAGAUGGUACCCUAUUAAGUGUGAAAGCUGCUGUUUCUAGAGCGUAUCCCCAAAAUGACAAUGGUAGGUCCGAAUGGCUCAUCAUUGAUCGAACCAUGUCUAACAAAGUUCGAUUACGUCGCUCGGACACACCGUUUCUCUGAGGUGUUCCAGGCGGCGUAAGUUGUGGAACAAUUCCGCAACUCUUUAGAUGAUUGCUAAACUCGUGGCUCAAAUACUCGCCUCCACGAUCAGAUUGUAAGGCCUUAAUUUUCUUGCCACGCUGAUUUUCAACUUCAUUCUGAAAUUCCUUGAACUUUUCAAAGGUUUCAGACUUGUGCCUCAUCAAGUAGACAUAGCCAUAUCUACUAAAAUCAUCAGUGAAAGUUAUGAAGUAUUGGAAUCCUCCUCUAGCCGUCAUGCUCAUUGGUCCGCAUACAUCACUAUGUACGAGUUCCAACAAGUCUACUGCUCUCUCAGGAAAUCCUGUGAAAGGCGUCUUGGUCAUCUUGCCUAGCAAGCAAGCCUCACAUGUCUCGUAUGAUUCAAAAUCAAACGAAGUUAGAAGUCCAUCAGAAUGGAGCUUCUUCAUGCGCUUUUCACUUAUAUGACCCAAACGACAAUGCCACAAGUAGGUAGGACUCAAAUCAUUAGGCCGAGGCCUUUUAGCACUUACAUUACAGACAGGUGAACCAUCAAGAUUUAAAACAAAUAAUCCAUUCACAAUGGGUGCAAAAGCCAUAAACAUAUUAUUCUUAGAGAUCACACAACCAUUGUUUUCACUCGCAAAUGAAUAACCAUCCUUCAUCAAACAUGAAGGAGACAAAAUGUUUCGACUUAAACUAGGAACAAAAUAACAAUUAUUCAACUCCAUAAUAAAUCCUGACGGGAGGUGGAGUUGCAUCGUCCCGACGGUCAACGCAGCAACUCUUGCAUUAUUGCCCACGCGGAAAUCAACUUCUCCUCUUUCCACGCUUCUACUUCUUAUCAUUCCCUGCAUUGAAUUGCAAAUAUGAGCAACCGAUCCGGUAUCAAAUACCCAAGAAUUAAUAACUGUAUCAGUGAGAAAUAUGUUGUCUAUAACAUUAACAACAAGCGUACCUGAGGUAGAAGUACUCUUACUUCCGCCGUUCUUCAACGAAGCUAGGUACUGCUUGCAGUUUCUCUUCCAGUGACCAAGUUCAUGACAGUAAAAGCACUCUUUAUCUGGAGCAGGUCCAGCUUUAGCCUUGGGCGCUGGGUUUGGCUUGGACACUCCAGCCUUGCCCUUCUUCUUCCAAGAAUUGCCCUUCUUCUUAAAGGUAGGCUUGUUCUGUACAGCCAUCACAUGGCUGGUACUAGCGCUUUUCUUAAUGUCUACCUAUGCUGUCUUGAGCAUACCACACAGUUCAUUCAGACCCUUCUCCGUCCCAUGCAUAUGGUAGUUCGAGAUGAAGUUCCCAUAGCUAGGCGGAAGAGAUGAAAGAAUGAAGUCAGUGGCCAAAUCUUUGCCCAUUGGGAAGCCCAGCUUCUCCAAUCGCUGAGUGUAACCAACCAUCUUGAUUACAUGUGGUCCUACUGCUGCGCCUUCUGCUAACUUGCACUCCAGAAAGGCUUUGGACACAUUGAACCUUUCGGUCCUAGCCUGUGUCUGGAACAUGUCCUUGAGCGCCAUGAUCAUAUCGUGUGCCUCAUGAUUUGUUUCGAACUGCAUCUGCAGCUCGGGUUCCAUGCAAGCAAGCAUAAGGCAGCUUACCUCAAGAUUAGCAUCAAAUGCCUUCUUGUAAGCAGCCUUAACGGCAGCAGAUGCAUCAUCAGCAGAUACUGGUGGUAGUGGGGUGUCUAGAACAUCUUCCUUUUUCUCAGCCCUGAGAACAAUUCUUAGGUUAUGGAUCCAAUCCGAGUAGUUUGUUCCAUUCAACUUGUCCUUCUCAAGGACCGAACGCAAAGCAAACGAUGCGGUGGUGUUGCUAGGUGCCAUUUAAUCUACAACAAAAGUAAUGCAAAAUACACUAAGACAAACGUAUCCAUGAUAGAGCAAAUUACAUUAAACUAUUUUAACAGAAUCUACUCCCACUAAAAUCAAUAUCGCUCUAUUGAAACUUAGUGAUUCAGGAUCCACAACUAACAAGUCUACUAGUGAGCUUUAGCAUCACCGCUAGCAAACGAGGUAGAUCGGUAAGCAACUUUUGCUAAUCAUAUCACAUAUGACUCCUGUUGUUGGGUGACAUCUCUAUGUCUCGGCACCCAACCUUUAUGCCCCAAGGUCCUUAACCAUUAAGAUAACCUUGUUAAGCAAACCAACCCUUAUGCGUGUAAGUGUCCGACACAAACCCGUCUAGUCAAGGAAAACUAGUGGCACCCUAAUUUCAUAGACCCACCACUAAUUGUACAAGACAUGGGACGGUGCAAGUUUUAGUUGGGAGGGCAUACUAACUUAAACUUUGUGAGGGAUCGUUCUACUUCUAACAUCACAGCAUGCAGAAAGUAAAACAUAAACAGAAUAGCAUUCACACAGUUGUGACACAGUAUGGCCCGUUUCCAUAUGGUGAUCUCCAUCUCCAUGUUCCAUGUGCGCCAUCCUCCUGGUGAAGAUUCCUCCAAGAACUAGAGCAUGCUAUUACGCCUAAUAGCUAGUAAAGAAUCUAGUAAUGAAGAUUACAUAGUUGCUUGGAUCAUCACAGAUUGGUACGCAGACCAUUAAAUACAUUAAGGUGACAACACAUAUGGCUCAUGCCGUGUUGCCGUAUGCGCGACACGCAGGUCACGAAUGAGUUACACACAUGCAUCACAUACACAAGGGGGCCAUACUGAUCACAAGAUACAUACAUACAUCCUGCAAAACAGAGUUAGACGCCCUAACGUUCCAAACUUCGGAUGCCCGAAACUCCAUCUUCCAAGCCGAAUUUGGGAAAUCUAAUUUCACCAAAAACGACAAAGCGUUGAAUUUCAUGUGUAACUUUUUCUGUAGAUCAAUUUUCGUAUAAAAAUCGCCCCGAUCCGAGAUCGUACCGAAAAGUUACGGCUGAUUUACCGAAGCAUACGCAUACGGCAAAAUCCCAACCUCGGCAGUAGAUCCCAUCUACUAUUGCACAUCUAAUGCGCCUGGCGUAUGACCCUGGAUCUCGAUUCGACCAAUCAUAUUGAUCUUCGCUCACUGCAACUGGAUUUACGUGUAUCACUUAACUCCGAUGGCGGAAACCGACCGGUAGGAGUAUGUCGUUACACUACCAUUGUAGCAAGGGCACGAAACCAGGACAUAGAUCAAACAGAAAACUCGCAUAUCUCCAUAUGCACACAUCCCGAAUCCAAAACUAAGCAGCUACGGCUCUUGAUACCACUGUUGGGAUACAAGGUAGGCUACACUAGCGUAAAUCAAAAUUUCUACCACGUAUAACCAGGAAGAACUGCCGUAUAAGGAUCACGGGAUUACCACUCGACGCACUACUGGUGCGGAAGAUGUAGAUAUGCGUCGAUGCAGUGAAGACGAUCACGUAGUCGUACGUAGUGGAUCAACGUAGUCGAUCACGUCACGUCCAGCAGCUCCCACGUGCAGCAAGAUCGCCUCCGGUGCCGCGGCUCGUCGUCGGCUCGUCAUGGCUCGUCGAUGGCUCAUCCAAGUGCUGCAGGCGCAACACCUCCAAGGUAUCCACACGUGCAGGGAGGAAGCGUCGCAAGUCGGACUGCUAGAUCCGCGAGUUGCAACAGGCGAGGGCGUGGGAGGCGCGGCAGAUGUGUUUCGCCAAAAGGUGUAAACCCUAGGGCGCCCCCACCCCUCUAUUUAUAGAGGUUCCUGACGGGCCUCUGGAUCCGAGGCCCAUUAGUACUUCUAAACCUAAUCCAACUCGGAUCUGAUCCGAAUUGGGCUUCCAGCCCCUUAAGUGUGUGACCCUAUGGGUUCGGAUACGUAUAGACAUGGCCCGAGUACUCCUACUCGGCCCAAUAGUCGGUAGCGGCCUCUAGCAAGACGUGCCAACUCCUACACGCACACGAAGAUCAUAUCAGACGAACCAUCACAACAUAAUAUACAUGCUAUUCCCUUUGCCUCACGAUAUUUGGUCUAGCUUCAAGCCGACCGCUCUUUCUCGAUCCUGUGAUUCGGAAUCCCUUUGUAGGUUAACUCUUAACCGUACGUAGCAUGGCCAUGCAUUUUCGGAUCCGAUCACUCGAGGGCCCCAGAGAUAUCACUCUCAAUCAGAGAGGGGCAAAUCCCAUCUUGACUGACCAUGUCUCAUAGCAUGCUUCUUGACAAACCCGAAAGCUACCUUUAUAACUACCCUGUUACGGCGUAGCGUUUGAUAGCCCCUAAGUAGGUCGAUCCACAUCUAGAAUACAUGCGACAGUCUCAGGUCUAAGGACAAAGUGUAUAUGUUGUUUAAAGAGAGAACUACUUCUCGUGUUGGGUCAGUCCUAGCACAUGUCUCCACAUGUGUCCACAUUAUUAGUUCAACAUCUCCAUGUCCAUGACUUGUGAAACAUAGUCAUCAACUAAUACAUGUGCUAGUCUAAUAUUCAUGUGUGUCCUCACAUGAACUCCGACUAGGGACAACUUUAGAAUAACCAUACAAGUAAAGAGUUUCACAUACAAUUCACAUAAUUGCAAAUCAAUUCAAGUAGCCUUUAAUGGAUAUUCAAUGAACACAAUAUAUAAAUCAUGGAUACAAAUGGAAUAUCAUCAUCUCUAUGAUUGCCUCUAGGGCAUACCUCCAACAGACGAAGUGCGGUGCCGCCCAGUUGAGGACAUCCUCGCGAGAUGAUCACGGUCUUCAAGUUGAACAACUUAUGCAGUGUUAAGAUAAUAAUUUUUGUACAUAGAUGGCUUCUGCUACUGGAGGAAGUGGCGAUGGUGGGGGCGAUCGUGGUUCCUAUUAUGGCAAGGUUCCAAUCAUAGUUGGCCCUCACCAUAAGCCAAAGAAAAAGAGCACGCUAGAAAAAGCAAUGCUUCGUUAUUUGCGGCAACGUCAUGAAGAAGCUGUUGCCGCGGGUCAGGAACCUCCUUUUGGUGGUCGUUAUGCUCCACCCUCAGUCCCGGGUGUUUCACGUCCACUUAGUACUACCGUUUCAGGCGGCACAAAUAAACCUAAGGAUGAGGUGUGGUCAGCGGAACCUUCGUCUUCACCGUCCAAGGAUGCUUAAAGUCCUCCUUGAUAAUAACCAAUGGAUGGCUUGUUGUAUUGUAUCAUGUUGUUUGGGACUUUAAUUUAAAUAUGUGUAUUUGGAUCUUCAUGUUGUUGUAUUGUACCAUGUUGUUUGGAUCUUUAAUCGAUUUUCACGCGUAAUCCAUUGUCAAGUGUAAUCCAUUUUCAUGCGUAAUACGAUGCAGAUGGACCGGCAAUGGAUGUAUAAUGCAGACACGCGGAGCAAGGCGUUUAUUGAUGGCUUGCAUUAUUUUCUCGAAGUGGCAAAAGCGAACAAGCCAGAGAAUGGGUUCGUAUGUUGUCCAUGCUUCCAAUGCAAUAACAGGAAGGAGUAUUCAAAGGAUUCCUGGGGGACUAUUCACAGCCACUUGUUUAAAUACGGUUUUAUGCCUAACUAUUUGGUUUGGACCAAGCACGGUGAACUAGGGGUUGUAGUGGAAGAUGGCGAGGAGGAGGAGGAAGAUCACACCAUUCCGGACUGGGUUGCAGGCCAAGCUUUUGCAGGUACUACAAUGGGCGAGGCUGAUGAAGAUGAGUUUGCGAAAAAUGGCCCUACUGAUGACCUUGGUCAGGUGAUACGAGAUGCAUACAGAGAUUGCGAAACUGAGAAGGAAGCAGCAAAGUUGCAGUGCAUGAUAGAUGAUCACCAAAAAUUGUUGUACCCAGGUUGCCAGCAGGGCCAUAAAAAACUAGGUACGACACUAGAAUUUGUGCAAUGGAAGGCAAAAAAUGGUGUGUCUGAUAAGGCAUUUCAGGGGAUGUUGAACAUUGUCAAGAAGAUUCUCCCCGAGAAUAAUGAAUUACCGUCCACAACAUAUGAAGCUAAACAGAUUAUUUGCCCUCUCGGAUUGGAUGUUCAGAAGAUACACGCAUGCCCUAAUGACUGUAUCCUCUAUCGUGGUGAUGAAUAUGAGAAAUUGGAUGCUUGUCCCGUCUGCGAAGCCCUGCGGUAUAAGAUCAGGCGAGAUGAUCCUGGUGAUGUCGAGGGGCAGUCUCUCAAGAAGAGAGUUCCCGCGAAGGUGAUGUGGUAUUUCCCUAUAAUACCACGCUUGAAGCGCUUGUUCAGGAAAAAGACGAAUGCUAAGUUGAUGCGAUGGCACAAAGAAGACCGUAAGGAAGAUGAGAUGCUGAGACACCCCGCAGAUGGGGCACAGUGGAGAUCAAUUGAUAGAACAUUCCCAGACUUUGAAUGUGAAGCAAGGAACAUAAGGUUUGGUUUAAGCACUGAUGGAUUCAAUCCAUUCGGUGAGUUGAGUAGUGGCCAUAGUACUUGGCCUGUGACCCUUUGUAUGUUCAACCUUCCUCCUUGGCUGUGCAUGAAGCGGAAGUUCAUUAUGAUGCUGGCGCUUAUCCAAGGCCCAAAACAACCCGGCAACGACAUUGACGUGUACCUAAGGCCGUUGGUUGAUGACCUUUUACAGCUCUGGAAGGAAGAAGGUGUACGUGUGUGGGAUGAGGAUAGACAAGAGAUCUUUAAUCUAUGAGCACUGUUGUUCGUAACCAUCAACGAUUGGCCUGCAUUGAGUAACCUUUCAGGACAGACAAAUAAGGAAUAUCGGGCAUGCACCCACUGUUUAGACGACACAGACAGCAUGUACUUGAAGCACUGUAAGAAGGUCGUCUAUAUGGGUCAUCGUCGAUUUCUCCCUGCUCACCACCAGCUGAGAAAGAGCAGGAUGCAUUUCAAAGGGGCGCCAAACCAUCGUAAAAAACCUGCACACCGUAAUGGAAAGCGUGUGUUUGAGAUGAUGAAGGAUGUAAAUGUAGUCUUUGGAAAGGGACUUGGUAGCCAACCUGUUCCGAACGACGAUAACGGACAUGCACCCAUGUGGAAGAAAAAGUCAAUAUUUUGGGAGCUACCUUAUUGGGAAAUCCUAGAGGUUCGCAACGCAAUAGACGUGAUGCACCUGAUGAAGAAUCUUUGCGUGAACGUGCUAGGCUUCAUGGGUGUUUAUGGAACCUCAAAAGAUACAUUGGAAGCACGACAGGACCUGAAAGCCAUGGGGCAACGAGAUGACCUACAUCCGGAAAAGAGAGAUAAUGGACAGCACUACUUACGUCCUGCCAGUUACACUCUCAGCAAGGAAGAGAAGGAUAGCAUGUUUGAAUGCUUGAAUAGUAUGAAGGUCCCGUCUGGGUACUCCUCGAAUAUAAAGGGAAUAAUAAAUAUGAAACAAAAGAAGUUUACAAAUCUCAAGGCUCAUGACUGCCACAUGUUGAUGACCCAGUUGCUUCCGGUUGCACUGAGGGGUGUUCUACCAGAAAAUGUCCGGUUGCCGCUCGUAAAGCUAUGCGCGUUUCUCAAUGCGAUUUUGCAGAAGGCAAUCGAUCCAUCCAAGCUAUCAAAGCUACAGAACGAUGUGGUGCAAUGUCUUGUCAGUUUUGAGUUGUUAUUUCCACCAUCCUUCUUCAAUAUUAUGACGCACUUACUGGUUCACCUAGUAAAAGAGAUUGGUAUUCUCGGACCUGUAUACCUGCACAAUAUGUGGCCUUUCGAGAGGUUCAUGGCAGUCCUAAAAAACUAUGUUCUUAAUCGUGCCCGUCCAGAAGGAAGCAUCGCCAAGGGAUAUGGAACAGAGGAGGUGAUCGAGUUUUGUGUUGAUUUUAUUGAUUCAAUUGACUCGAUUGGGGUUCCAGCUUCACGCCACGAGGGGAGGCUCCAAGGAAUGGGCACCCUUGGAAGGAAAUCAAGUUUGAGCAAUGAUACUGAUUUGUUCGACAAGGCACACUACACUGUUCUACAACAGUCAUCCUUUGUGUCUCAGUAUAUCGAGCAGCACAGGCAGAUGGUAGGUUCCAAAAACCCGACCAAAUCCGAUGCUUGGCUUACCCGUCAUCACAUGGAAACUUUUCCCUCCUGGUUGCGCCAACAACUUAUGGGUAACUCUGAGAUUCACCCACAACUUGCCUGGUUAGCCAGGGGACCUGCUACCACAAUCGUCAAAUUCCAAGGCUAUGAGAUAAAUGGUUACACAUUUUACACGAGAGCCCAGGACCAGAAAAGCAUGAACCAGAAUAGUGGUGUCCGCAUAGAUGCCAUGGACAGAAAUAAUAGCAAGGAGUCGUAUUAUGGUUUCAUACAGGAGAUAUGGGAACUCGAAUACGGACCGCUGUACAUCCCUCUAUUUCUUUGCAAUUGGGUGAAGCUAACUACCGUCACCAAAGAUCAGUACGGAAUGACAAUAGUAGAUCUGAGCAAGACUGGAUACAGUGAUGACCCAUUCGUACUUGCCAAUGAUGUGCAUCAGGUGUUCUAUGUGAAGGACAUGUGCAGCAAACCCAAGAGGAAUCCAGAAGAGACAUGGGAGCCAAAGUGCCACAUAGUUCUUCCAGGUAAAAGAAAAAUCGUGGGAGUCGAGGAUAAAACAGACCAAUCAGAUGAUUAUGAUCAGUUUGAUGGCAUGCCUCCAUUCGCCGUUGAAGUUGAUCCAAGCAUCCUGCUAUCCAAAUAAGAGGCUCCGUACUUACGCCGCGAUCAUGAUCAAGGAACUUUCGUGAAGAAGAAAUUUUACAACAUUGUAUUGUAAUGCGUUAAAUGUACAUGAUCUUUGUGUAUUAAUUGAUACAAUUUGUAAUUUACCCUAUGUAUGAUUUCAUGUCUUCUUAAAUUUCUUAGGUGAAGAUUUUAUAGAUAAACAUGAACAAUGUUAACCACAAACAAACAUGGAUUUUUUUGCGCAUUGAAAUUAUUUAAUUGAAUAAUUUCUUGAUCACAACAAUGCAGUAAAAUAAAUAUUUUAGAGGCUAAAUGAACUGGUAUAGAAUUCAUGAUUAAUUCAUACUUAUUGUCAAUUUACUCGUUAAUUAAAUAUAUUUUUGCAUGUACAAAAUCUGUGAAGGUUUUGUUUUUCAUCCUGAAAUGCAGUGAAAAGAUAAAAUAAAAUCCAUUUCCAAAAAAUAGGCGGGAGAAGAAAAGUAGGAAAAAAGACCUUUUGUCUCGGGUGCUAACAGCAACCGGGACAAAAGGCCCCCCUUUUAUCCCGGUUGCAAACUGCAACCGGGAUAAAAGGGUACUUUUCGUCUCCCGCCCCGACGUACCCUUUUAUCCCGGUUGCCAACUGCAAUCGGGAUAAAAGGCCCCCCCUUUUAUCCCGGUUGGUGGUGGCACCUGGGAUAAAAGGGUACGCUCCCAGCCCUACCUGGCGGGGGCACCCUUUUGUACCGGGUCCCGUCACCAACCGGGAUAAAAGGCAACCGGGAUAAAAGGCCUUUUAUCCCGGUUGGUGACGGGACCCGGGACAAAAGGCCCUUUUGUCCCGGGUGGCAUUACGAACCGGGAUAAAGGGGGGGGGGGUUAAAAGGCACUGUACUCCCUUCUACCCCCCGCCAGUUACACUUAGCCAAAUUUUCGCCUAGUCCCGCGCGUUCUCCGCCGUCGCCGCCCGUCCGCCUCCCUCGCCGGCCGCCGCCGUCGUCGUCCCCCAUUGCACCGUCGACGUCCCCCAUUGCGCCGUCGUCGUCCCCCGGCCGGCCUGCCUCGAUCCCCUCCUCGUCCGUCGACGCGCCCGGCCCCCGGCCGCCUCGUCGCCUCCGGCCACCGGCUCCAUCCUCGUCGCCGGCUGCAUCCUCGUCGCCCCUCGUCGCCCCUCGUCGCCGUCUCGUCGCCGUCCCACCUACGCCACCCGGCCGCCGCCGUCCCGCCGCCCCGGCCGCCGCCCCGCGCGCGAGAGGUCCGCCGCCGCGCCGGCCGGCAGCGCCGGGAGGGUUUUUUUUUUAAGUUAGAAAAUUAAGUUAUAUUUUUAUGAUAGAUUUUUAAUUUUGAUUGUUAAGCUAGAAAAUUAAGUUAUAUUUUUAAGUUAGAUUUUUUAGUUAGUUUGUUAAGUUAGAUUUUUAAGUUAGAAAAUAAAGUUAGAAAUUCGUAGGAUGCACCGCCGUCCCCUCCGCCGUCCUGCCGCCGUGACCGCCGCCGUCCCGCCGCCCGUCACAACCUAGUAGACACCGCCCGUGGUUCCGGGGAACCGUCCCCGCCUCCGCCGUACCGCCGCCGUGAUCGCCGCCCGUCACAACCUAGUAGGCACCGCCCGUGGUUCCGGGGAACCGUCCCCGCCUCCGUCGUACCGCCGCCCUCAGUGCCGCCGUCACAACCUAGGCAGCGCCCGUGGUUCCAGGGAACCAUCCCCGCCUCCGCCGCCCUGAUCGCCGCCGUUACAACCUAGGCACCGCACGUGGAUAUUGUUAGAAAUUCGUAGAAAUUCAUAGAAAUUCGUAGAAAUUCGUCAAAAUUCGUAGAAAUUCGUAGAAAUUCAUAGAAAUUUGUAGAAAUUCAUAGAAAUUUGUAGAAAUUUGUCAAAAUUCGUAGAAAUUCGUAGAAAUUCGUAGAAAUUUGUAUAAAUAUUCCGGACUUUGUAGGAUUCAUGUUAUUUUAUGAUUUCAUUAUAUACAUUAUGAUUCCGGACUUUGUAGGACUUUGUAGAAAUUUGUAGUAAGAUGAUUUCUAUGACUGUCAUGUAUGAUUCCAUGUAUGUUUCCAUCAAUAGUUGAAAUGGCAGACGAUGAGACCGCAAGGUAUAUCAUGGAGCAGAUAAUCGCUGGUGAUGGUAGUGGCGACAACAUUCCACUAUCAUACAUGGAUGAAGAGGGCACCCAGGCGGACAUGUUCCUCAACAUGUCCGCCGAUGGGAAUGAAGAGCAACAGCCGCAGCAACAACUUGCCGUGGUGGAAGGUUCCGGCGAGGUAUAUGUUGGCGCUAGAAAUCGGUCAACCGAAUCCCAGCGACCGACACACGACCCGGGAGAAUCUGCUUAGCUCCUGUUCGGGUGAAUGCCCUGGUGCAGUUCGCGCAGCGUGCCAGCCAAUCUGACCUGUUGAUUGGCAAGGAAGAAUACGUGUCAGGUCCAGAAAUCACGAUCGGCUAAGUUUCCGAUCGAGAGAAUUUAUCAACGAAUCGGCCGAUUUACUGUAGUAAUGAAAUCGGCUAUAAGACAGCCUGAUCUCUGUAGCCUUGUAGACAAGGAAUUACUAAAGUAAUCGAUACAAAGCUAUGAUAACAACACUAGGAACAGAUCUAAUCGGCAAUAGAUGAAUUUAAUAACAGAAUAUAGAAAGAGCCGAAACUACCGAUUCCUAGCUGGAUAACUGGUGAUAAAGACUAGAAAAAUAGGUAAAACCUAUGGAUCUAGCAAAUAUCGAUAACUAGUGAAUAUAUCUAAACGAAACAACAGCGAUACGCCCGAAGUUAAAGCUUAGAUAUUACUCGAUAAACGGAACUUACAGAAUCGGCCGGAGAUCAAGAUGAUGCAGCCCUGCCAACCCGCAUGAACUCGUGAGAAGAGAAAAGUAAUGGCGAAGUCGCCUGCUUGAAAGUAAGUACGAAGAAAAAGUAGCUUGUUGUAUUGAUUGGUUGAUGAUUACAGAUUUACAAAGGUAGCUAUUUAUAGCCCCAUACAGAUAUCUUCUUAACCGACUAGAAUUCUAUCCCUAAUUCAAACAGAAAACGAAUAUCUACAAGCAUGAUUCGUGCUAGGUUAGUUACUCCACGCUUCGUGGGCUGAUUUCCAGCUCACCCUUCUAUUCCAAGCCCAUACAGGCCCAAUUAACCCAUCCUCCUAAUCGGCCGAUUCCUCAUCGGCAAAAGGCUACCGAUUGGGACUCUGGUAUAUUCGACCCGAAACGAGACAGAAGUCACCGGCCGAUCUCACACUGUAGCACCACUUGGCCGAUUCCCAAUUGUGCUCCUCCGAUUCCCUCUCUUCUUGGCGCCGAUUCUACUAGUGACGAAAUCUGGCGUCAACACAUGCCCCCCAGUUUCGGAGUAAAACAUAGUCUUUUACUUCGAAAUUCUUUAUAACCUCCCUUCCGAAACGGCCGCAGUGAAAAUAUCCCUCCGUUUCGCGGUCUUCCAGCUGAUCAUUGCAAUUUUUCGAAACGGGCGCCCACGACAGCCACUACUCCCGAAAAACUCGAAACGCCGGCGCGGUGAAAAUUCCAUUUUUACCCCCCUUCAGGCAUCCUUUAAAUAGCGCUUCACCCGCACCUCAUCUUCAAGCUCACGUCUCUUUUCCCAGUGCGCGCGCCUUCUUCCUCCUUCAGCAUCUUUCCCUUGCCGCCGAAGCUUCCUAGCUCCACCUCCUGUUACUCUUCCCUCUUCUCUUUCAAUGGCGGCUCCUUCCGGCAGCUCUCCCGCAUGCGAUGUCCCAGAGGUAGCGCCUCCGGCGGUGGUAGCGACAGCCGUCGCUCCAUCCACAGAAGAAGGAGCUUCAUCGGAGAUCCCAAUGGCGAUCCCCAUCACGGCCCCGUUGUCCGCAUCCGCACCGGCAACCACGCCGAUCACUCAGAACUUCAUCCCAGAGGUAAAUACCGAAUCCUUCUCCUAUCGGCAAUUAAUUUACCUUAGAUCUGUUUCUUACUUUUUACACCCCCUUUUCCUUUUUUAGGCAGUUAGGCAUCGCAUUACCAUUCACCUUACGGGAAAUCCCGGCCUUAUUUGUCUCGGACCUAUGGGAAACCCAGAUCCAAUAGAGCUUAUUAAUUUGGAAACCCACAGGAUACCCUUCAAACUGUCUAAUAUGGACUUAGAUCAGUGGCUGGGUACUUUUAGAUCUUGGCCGAAUGAAACCCCAGGUUGGAGGGAGUGGUACCAAUGGAUAGCCGCAUCAAAGAGCGUCUCAUGGGAAGAGCUCAAAAUCGGCCAGUGCAUCAACCUUUCCUUAUCCCAGAUGGAGAAAAAUGAGCCGUUAGUAAUGGCGGCUUCUUAUUUUUGGUCUGAUGCACUUAAUGCCUUCUUAUUUGGGCACGGUCCUAUGACCCCAACACUGGCCGAUGUGGUCCUGUUGACCGGCCUCGACAUAUCCUCCCCGGACACACCCUAUCACCUUUUAACCACAACGUCACAUCGGCUGGACACAAGGGGAAUCGGCGGGUGGAAGGGUUUCAUCAAAAGUAAUAAGAGGACCGGGACUGUUGAGAAUAGGGAGCACACAGCUUUCCUGAUGAUGUGGCUAGAAAAGCACUUCUUUUGCGGAAGAGCCGCCGGCCCGACAACCAAUACCCAGGCCUUAGCUGAAGCACUGUCCAAGGGAAACCAUGUCCCUCUUGGGAAACAUCUGCUAGGGGCCGCGUACCACAUGCUACAUCAAAUCGGCAUAAGACUAUCCAAGGGAGAGCCGAUCGGCAAUCAAGGCGGGCCCUGGUGGUUCAUCAACUUGUGGUUGAACCUUUAUAUGAGCAGAAUUACUCAGCAGCCGGUGGAUCGCAUGACGUUCCCCAACAUCGAAUCGGUAGAAGACCCUACCGAACGUCGCCGAUGUAUGUCCUUUGGUGAAGCGGCAUCGGCUUUUCCAGGUUGCAUGUAUUCUGCUACAAAGGUAGCCGAGUACUUUCGAUGCUUCUAUAAUGGCUUUAGUGAAGAUGCAACCAUUUGGUUUCCGUAUUAGCGAGACGACCCGGUCUUUGAACUCCCCACUUGCUUCGAUUCGGCUUCCGGCCGAUUUGAUAUAGAGCUCUAUGAUGAGUUGAUCAAGCCAGGGCUCCUGCCAGCCAAUUUCUUCUCGGGGAAGGAUGCCCCUACGUACGAAUUCUACAACCCCUCCGCUGCAGCACGUCAAUUCGGCAUGGGUCAGCUGCCGAUUCAAGUGUACUUUGCUGGCCGAAUCAAGUUUAGGGAUGAGCUCACAUCUGGUCUGGAUUACAGUUGGUUACGAGACCGAAUCCCGGACUCCAGUACAAUUGACCUGAACGACUGGCUAGUAGCUCCCUUUGCUGUUCAGCCGUUCAAACUCUGGUGGGCCGAUUGGAAGCAAUUUCUUUUCUGCAACUCGGCAUCGGCAUACUGCAACCUUCUGGACCCAGCCAACAUCGACCCGAACGUCGAGGUAUUUCACUUAGCCAAUUUUUAUUCCUCUCAACAUGACUAAGCACUAAUGAUUUUAUUAUCUUUUCAGGCCGAGAAUCGAACUCCUCCAACACACAGCCGCAGCGGACGGCUAAUAGAAAGUCACCCAUACACAACUUAUCCUCUUAUCGGCUAUGACGCUCCGUCUGUUGACGUGAUUGCUGGCCGAUCAAAACAAGUCCAUAAGAGGACUACCAAGAAAACCAUUCGCCGAGUCCGAGCUCGUGUAGAAUCGGCAGAUCCCCCUGUGCUCGUAUCGGCAAAGACCCUGGCCGCACCACCUUCUCAGGUCAUCCAAGAUGCCGAUACCCAAGCCGUUGCGCAAGCUGGAACAGCCGCCGCGUCGUUGUUGUUGGAGGCCAUACAGGUAAACCUGAAUUUUACUGCUUCCGAUUGUUAUUCUGAUAUUAACCCUUCUUAUCCUUAGACUGCACAGAGCACCCCUAUGGAAAUACAACAAUCGGCAGCAACUCAACCAGCCAUCGGCGCGCCCCCGCUUUCAUCCGUUGAGGUAUAGUACUAUUUUACUGAUUUCCUUUGGUAUUUGCAUAAUGUACUUAUUCAAUCCUCUGACACAGGCCAUCGGCACACCAAGCGCUCCUCGACAACCGAUCUCUUCUCAGGGAGCUGGUCCAAGCACCGCGCCGAUUAUUGUGGAAUCUUCUUCAUCCGAUGAACCUAUGGCGCAGGCUCCUGAGCAAGGCGUGACGGCUUCACAAGUGCAGCAUGAGGAAAUUCGCUUCAAAAUGGUAAGUUUUGUUUCGGCUUCUAUCCAGCCGAUUUGCUUUUACUUCCAGCCGAUUUAUUUCUUUUCUUUAUUAUCUCCAGGAACAGGACACCCCCGACAACAGCCUCUUUUCUUUUGCGGUCGCCCUUUCCGACGACGAAGAGGUUGCCUCUCGCCAAGUUGCCUUGAGCUCCGUCCCUGAUGACAUCCGAGCCAAACUUUCCAGCAUCCGAUCCCUCCUUCAAGGGGACAUCGGUCGACUAGUAGAAGAUGCUUCAUCGAUUCGGCAGCUCUUCAAUGACAUCAGCGGACGAGUACCAGAAGAGGCGGAGGAAGCCCUGGCACCAGCGGCCUUCAUCGAGUCUAUGAGGAUCCCAGUCUUCAGGGCUCUUCGUCAUAUGGCCGAUCAUGCCAAGCUUGCCAAGACUCGUGAAGAGGAGGACGCGUUCAAGCGUCAGGCUCAAGAGGCACAUCGGCGCAUCCAUGUUCUGGAAGAUUCUCGCCCGGCGAUCAUCGGUGAGAUAGACCGCCUCAAGCGUCGGAGGGCGGAACUUGCCAAGGAGAUGGAGCAAGUGACUAAAGCAAUCAGUGCCGAAGAGAAAAAACUCCAAGAGCUACCUUCUGUCAUUGCCGAUUUGACACGGGAGAGGCAGCGCUUUGCUCAUGAGGCCCUAAAGCUCCAUUGCAGUACAUCAGAAGUCCCCGGAUCGGCAGAUGAAGACCAACGGGUUCUUGACUCUGCCGAUCAGAUCCGGCGCCGGGCUAUCACAGCUAUCGAUACCCUUCUGGGUAAUCUGUAAAACACUGACCGUUUGUCCGAACAUUUACUAUCUUCUUUGACCGUCCCUCGCGACGCCCUUUCUAUUUAUUACCUUUCUUAUUUCCGAUGGGACGUAGCCUUACCAAAUUUCCACGCAUCUUUUUCCAUAAAUACCGACCUCGGCACUUACUCCCGAUAGUACCAAUUUGGCUUUCGGUUUUACUCUCUCCUUCCUCUUACCGGUGCGACUUUCUGCCAUGGCUUCGUCGGCUUCUUCUUCCUCUGUUAACCAGGUGCAAUCUUGCCCUCUACCUCCCCCUCUUUUUAGAUCCUAGGAAAAGAAUGUCCCUUCUUAUUCCUUCUUUGUUUCAGCCUCAACGUCUUAGCCCUGCGCUCGUGCGCGCCAUUGAGCUCAUUCACUCUGAGGACCCAUUGACGUCGGAGGAUAAGGCGCUGAUCCUGGCCCAUCGUGAGGAACUUCGAGAUCACGUCACUGCGGAGGCUCGUGUGGUCUUGGAUCUCAUGGAGAGUGACAGUAGCCGACGAUCUCCAACCAUCAGGAGCCUUCAUUGUGGCGGCCUUGAAGACGAUGUUGCCACGGCGGCCCGUACGAUUUUGGACUUUAUGGAGAGCAAUGGUAGCCGGCGACCUCCCACCGAUAGGAGCCAUCCGCUUCCUCAGCAAGUCGUUCUCGAAGACGCAGCGGCAGGAACUUCGCGCCCUCCCAUGGAUCGGAGUCAUUUUCUCCCUCGUCAAGUUGAAGCGGAGACUUCAAUGAAGGCAAUAGAAGAAGAAUACCUUCACGUCAUGAGCGAGUUGGAGCGGAACGGGAAGGCGCCCAAGAAGAAGAACAAUUAGUUUUUUGUAUUUUUUGUUCUAAGGGCGACUAAUGUUUUGUCGGCCAUGUAACCCGCCGUCCGUACCGAAUGAAUGCAAUCGGCCGAUCCGGUCGACUAUGUGUUUGAACCGAUUUGUAUUGGCUAUGCGUUUGAACCAAUUUGUAUCGGCUAAGUGUUUGAACCGAUUUGUACCGGUUAUGUGUGGUCGUGUUAUGGUCAAUUUCCUACGCUCCGACCCAUAUACUGGGGUAGUAUCUUUUUAAGUACCUUCCGUUCAGAGCUCUAGUAAAUUCCUCUCCUUCUAUUGUUUCCAAAAUGUAAGCAUUUCCUGGGGCGCAUCUGCCGAUUUUGUACGGCCCUUCCCAUGUAGGGGACCAUUUUCCGAAUUUAGGAUCCUUCGACCCAAUCGGCAAUACUAACUUCCAUACUAAGUCCCCAGGGGAGAAUUGUUUGGCUUUGACCUUUUUAUCGUACCACCUGGCUACCCUCUUUUUAUUUUCUUCAAUGCUUAUCAGAGCCCUCAAUCGUUGGCCAGCCAAAUCGUCAAGUUCCCUUUUCAUAAGUGACGAGUAAUCAUCGGCCGUUAACUGGUCCUGGAGCGAAAUACGCCUUGAUCCCGCCCUUGACUCCCAUGGCAGUACCGCAUCGUGACCGUACACCAAUUGGUAGGGAGAUAACUUGGUAGCCCCAUGACAAGCCAUCCGGUACGCCCAUAAGGCCUCUGUCAAACAUAGAUGCCACUUCUUCGGUUGUUCCUCGACUUUUCUUUUGAUCAAUUUGAUUAUCCCUUUAUUGGAGGAUUCCGCCUGACCAUUGGCUUGGGCGUAGUAUGGAGAAGAAUUUAACAAUUUGAUUCCCAUAUUGGUCGUAAAUUCCUCAAAUUUCCCUGAUGUGAACAUUGUUCCUUGAUCGGUUGUUAUAGUCUGAGGGAUACCGAAUCGGUAAACGAUGUGGUCCCUUACGAAGUCAGCCAUGAUAGCCGAUGUCACGGUUCUCAACGGGAUAGCCUCUACCCAUUUGGUAAAGUAAUCAGUAGCCACCAGAAUAAAUUUGUGCCCUUUGCUUGAUGGUGGGUAAAUUUGGCCAAUAAGGUCUAUUCCCCAUCCCCUGAACGGCCAUGGCUUAAUGAUGGGAUUCAUGGCCGAUGCGGGUGCACGCUGGACAUUUCCAAACUUUUGGCACUCCUGACAGCCCUUAUAAUAUUUGAAACAGUCUUUGAGGAUCGUUGGCCAGUAGUACCCAUUAUUCCUGAUCAUCCACUUCAUCUUAUGCGCCGAUUGGUGUGCUCCACAUACCCCCUCAUGGAUUUCUCCCAUCAGCGUCUUGGCCUCCUCUGUCCCAAGGCAUUUGAGAAGAACUCCGUCGAUCGUUCGGUAGAAUAGGUCAUCUUCGAGCAGCACGUAUUUGGUGGCAUGAAAACGUACUCGUCGCUCCACCUUUUUAGACGGAUCCUUCAGGUAGUCGGCAAUUUCUUUACGCCAGUCAUCGGCCGUGAGCUCUAGAGCCAUAGUGCCUAGAAUUAGCCGAUACCCAGACGCAUGCUGGGCAAGUUUGUUGGCGUCUUCGUUGCGGUCUCUUGGGAUGUGCUCGAUUACUGCCGAUCGGAAUUCUUUUAAAAGCUGUAAGCAAUCUUCGUAAUAAUUUCUUAAUACGUCAUCUUUGCAUUCGGACCUUCCGGUCAGUUGAUCCACAAUAAGCAUAGAAUCUCCGAAGACUUCAACGGAAUCGGCCUUGACUUCUCUCAAUAGUUGUAAGCCUUUUAAUACAGCUCGGUACUCCGCUUGAUUGUUAGUAGCGGCGGUUUCUAUCGGCAGAGAAAAAUCAUAGCUUGCCCCCCGAGGCGAUAUGAGAACGAUGCCGAUUCCUGAUCCGACCCCACAUGAUGACCCGUCAAAAUAUAAUGUCCAAGGUGCCAGCUCUACGAGGGCAAUCUCCGGUCUGCAGUGCUGGGCGACGAAAUCGGUCAUGACUUGACCCUUGACGGCUUUUGCCGAUUCAUACCGCAGGUCAAACUCUGAUAAAGCUAAGAUCCAUUUGCCGAUUCGACCUUUCAAUAUCGGCAGUGAUAGCAUGUAUUUUACUACGUCAUCUUUGCAUACGACUACACAUUCUGCCGACAGUAGAUAGUGCCUGAGUUUGGUGCAUGAGAAGUAAAGACAUAGGCAUAAACGCUCCACCGGAGGAUAUCUUGUUUCAGCAUCCAGAAGUCUUCUACUGACAUAAUAAAUUACCCGCUCCUUGCCUUCAAACUCCUGGACUAGAGCCGAUCCAAUAGCUUUUUCAUCGGCUGAUAAGUAUAGUUUAAACGGCUUACCAGUUUGAGGGGGAACCAACACUGGUGGUGAGACCAAGUAUUGCUUGAUAUCUUCCAAUGCUUUGCGCUGCUCUUCUCCCCAUAUAAAUUCCUGGUCUGGCUUUAGCUUCAGAAGUGGCGUGAACGCCUGAAUCCGUCCAGAUAGAUUAGAUAUAAAUCUUCUGAUGAAAUUCACCUUGCCGAUUAGAGACUGCAGUUCGGUUUUGUUCUGUGGGGCCACGACUUUGUUGAUGGCCGCUAUGGUCUUCCGAUUGAUCUCUAUGCCUCGUUCGUGUACCAUGAAUCCUAAGAACUGUCCGGCGGAUACGCCGAAAGCACAUUUGUUGGGAUUCAUCUUAAGACCAUGUUUUUUGGUACACUCUAGCACUUUUCGCAAAUCGGCCAGAUGUUCUUCGUGACCUUUAGACUUGACCACGACAUCAUCGAUGUAGAUUUCUACCAGAAGGCCAAUGAGUUUGUGAAAUAUGUAAUUCAUAGCUCUCUGAUAUGUAGCGCCAGCGUUCUUCAAGCCGAAAGUCAUCACCACCCACUCGAACAAACCAAGGUGGCCUGGACAUCUGAAGGCCAUUUUGGGUAUAUCCUCUUCGGCCAUAAGUAUUUGAUUGUAUCCGGCGUUUCCGUCCAUGAAGCUAAUGAUUUUAUGCCCCGCGGCCGCGUCGAUCAGUACAUCGGCCGUUGGCAUGGGGUAACCAUCCAUCGGUGUGGCCUGAUUAAGAUUCCUGAAAUCAACGCAAACGCGUAGCUUCCCAUUUUUCUUGUAUACUGGUACGAUGUUAGAAAUCCACUCGGCAUAACGACAUUGCCGAAUAAAUUUUGCUUCGAUUAGCCGAGUUAUUUCAGCUUUUAUGUCUGGUAGAAUUUUAGGAUUGCAACGCCGUGCGGGUUGUUGGUACGGCCGAUACCCUGGUUUUAUGGGUAGCCGAUGUUCAACAAUGGAUCGGUCUAAACCGGGCAUCUCGUGAUACUCCCAAGCAAAACAAUCCUUAAAUUCCUUUAAUAAAUUUGUCAAUUUACACUUGUACUCUGGAUCUAAAUUUGCACUAAUAUAAGUCGGCCUUGGUUUGGUACCAUCGCCUAAAUCUAUCAUUUCCAAUGAAUCGGCCGACGUGAACCCAUGCCCUAGCUUCCCAUCUUCUCAGGCGAACUGAUCCAUCUAUUCUGAAUCUUCGGAGCCGACUGCUCGGAUCGGCUGUAGGCCAAAAUCGGUGACCUUCAGGAAAUCGAUCUCCCAUACUCUACCUGAUAUGCACCUGACGGUUUCGCAACUCCACUGCUGCGUGUCGGCUGCCGCAAUGCUGUAUGCGGAGUCGGCUUUGACCACCUCGAUGUUAUCGCCGACCCAUUGUACGAGGCACUGAUGCAUUGUUGACGGGAUGCAGCAGUUUGCGUGUAUCCAGUCUCGGCCAAGUAGCAUAUUGUAGGAUCCCUUGCCAUUAAUAAUAAAGAAGGUGGUAGGAAGGGUCUUACUGCCGAUGGUGAGGUCGACGCAGAGAGCACCGCGAGCGUUUGAUACCUUGCCCUUGAAGUCCUUGAGCAUCAUGUCUGUCUUGGUCAAGUCGUCGUCGCUUUUCCCAAGUUUCCGGAGUACGGCGUACGGCAUGAUGUUGACUGCAGCUCCUCCGUCUACCAUCAAUCUAGUGAGGGGACGGCCAUCAACAUGCCCCUUAAGGAACAGCGCCUUCAUAUGUUGUCGUUCGUCAUCUUCGGGCUUUUCGAACAUGGCCAUCAUUGGCUCCAGGGCCAACUGCGCUGUCUGUUCUUCUAUCGCCGAUACAUCCUGUUGAUCGGCGGGAGUCAUGAAUUCCAUCGGCAAAAUGAAAACCAUGCCGAUCUCGGCCGCCGAUUCGUCCCCCGCCGACUCGUCGUUCCCUUUAUCAUUUCUUUUGGGGCGCCACACCCGAGGCCUUCCUUCCUUCUUGUCUGUCACGCUUUCUUCUUCUUGCUGUUCCAAUUGGCGGAGACGUUGGAUUCUUUGUUUUUGAGACUUGGUCAAUCCGUCGGGACACCACCUGGGGUUUAUUGGUCUUCCCCUUGACCUGGCGCGUUCCCACUCCGGUUCGCGUCCUAACGGGUUUUCAUCUGUCACCCGAGCAUCGGCCAUCUCUUUGAGCCGGCUGUGAACGCUGGCUUUGUUGUCCGACUGGUCAUGCCGAUCAGUCCUGCCCCUCUGCCUAUCAUGGCGUCUAUCUUCCGAUCGAUCAUAUCGGUCACUUCUGCCCCCCAGCCGAUCACGCACGGGAGGGCGCUGGUCAUCUUGGUUGCGCCAAUUCUUGCUGGUCGGUUCUGGCCUUCCAUCUCUGGAGCGAGACCCUUUGAACGGCCGAUUGCCACGAUAAGGACCGUUGCAUUCUGGGCAAGUAUCGGCUGAAGGUAGCCUGAGGUUGUGUUCCCAACAGUGAAUGAAGAACGGGCAUCUCAAGUGCUCCUCGUGCCGACGCAUUGCUUCUUCUCGGGACCUUGAGCGUUCAUGCUGACGUUGGUACUUCUGGAGCAGGAACUGGGAAGUAAUGCGUGGCCCUUCUGACUCACCAUCGUCGUCCUCUAUCCGCCGCUUCCCCUUGACAUCUUCAGGAGUAGCUUGAUUUCUGGGAUCGACGGCGCCACUCUUUUUGGCUAAUUCGGACGUCAGCACUUUUGUUUGGAGUGAAUUCUUCCCUGUAUCAACCAUGUUGGUAGGAAAGGGGUGUUGGUCAAUCUUCAUUGGCUUGGCCGAUUUUGCCGGCACUUCAAAUUUAAGUCUGCCUUGCUCAAUGGCCGACUGUAUCUGCUGCCUGAAGAUUUUGCACUCGUUGGUAUCAUGGGAUGUGGCAUUGUGCCACUUGCAAUACUUCAUCUUUUUUAGUUGUUCGGCAGAAGGUAUUGUAUGGUACGGCGAGAGUUUAAUCUACCCUUCCUGGAGGAGAAGGUCGAAGAUUUUAUCGGGCCUUAGUUGUGUCAAAACCGAACACUUCCGGAUCCUUUUUGCCGAAUGGGCAUGAUAUCGGCUUCUUCCCUUUGAUCCACUCCGCAAGUCCGACUUCAACAUCUUCCUCAUCCUCUAACUCUUCCAGGAACGCCACUUUCUUUUGGAAAUUCCUCCGCGGAUCAAAAGGACGUACCUCCUGUCCAAACAAUCGGUGAACAAUCUGGCUCAGACUUUCGAACUCUUGUGAAGCGUAUCUUUCUUUGAUGUGGGGCAGAAGGCCUUGAAAAGCUAUAUCGGCCAACUGUGCAUCGGUUAGAGCCAGGGAGUAGCACUUGUUUCUGAUUUCCCGAAACCUCUGUAUGUACGAGGAUAUCGGCUCAUCACUCCUUUGCCUGAGGCUGGUCAAAUCGGACAGCUUCAUCUCAUGCACCCCGGCAUAGAAGUAUUUGUGGAACUGUCUUUCUAAAUCGGCCCAUGUGAUAAUCGAGUUUGGCGGCAAUGUCGUGAACCAUUGAAAGGCUGAACCAGACAGAGAUGACGAGAACAACCGUACCCGUAGGGCGUCUUGCGUAGCUGCUUCUUCGCAUUGGAUGAUGAAUCUAUUCACGUGCUCUACGGUCGAAGUAUCAUCCAUCCCCGAAAAUUUAGUGAAGUCAGGAACUUUAUACCGAUGGGGGAACGGCAAUAGGUCAUAUGUAGAUGGGUAUGGUGUUCUGUAGGUAUAAGUUUGCACUUUUGGCUUCAAGCCGAAUUGUUCUUGCAUCACCUCCGCAAUACGUGCCGACCAAUCUGGCUGUUGCUGGUGAACUGUUGGCUGAGGUAUCGGCACGUGCUGGUAAAUCGGAGGCUGAAUAAACGGAGGCUGAUGAAAAGGUGGUAUCUGAGUGUAAGCCGGCUGUGUAGUAAAGGCUGGCUGUUUGAAUGAGCCACUCGUUUCAUCGUACAGCAUGAUCUCUGCUGUCUUGUUGAUCCCCGGAGCGACAGGCUAGUAUGGCGGCACGGUUGGCCGAAUAGCAGCCUGGAAGGAUGUCUGGAAUGGAGAGUUCACUUGACUGGCCGAUUGAUUCUGACCGGCCGUGACCGAAGGUGCCCCCCAGGGUGAUGGGUGAAUUGGGCUAACUGGAGGGAAUGGCGCAGAGGACAGUUGGAUGGAGCCAUAUCCCAUUGGAGUUGAUGACGAGGAAGCACCUGAACUCCCGACAGAAAACUGGAUCGGCUGCGAGGCCGAAUUCGAACAAUUCUGGUUUGGUGGAAUCGGCUGAAAAUAUGCCGGUCCCCUGUAUCCUUGAGGUAUGCCCCCGGCGAAGGAGUUGACAACAGCGUUGUGCACCAUGUUUGAAAGCACCGGGGACUGGUCAAUGAAAGCGUGAUGAAUAGACUGUUGAAUCAUAUCGGACAUUUUAUCCGAAUCUUCAGAAAUCGUGAUCUGGCGGGGAGCAGGGAAUGGAGUCUUCUUGAUGGUCUCCCCGCUUCUGGAGCGACUGAAAGACUUCAGGCAAGCUUUCUGGAACUGUGCCGUAUACUUGUCCAGCUCUUCCUUCUGGUCGUCCUUCAGAUCUGCUUCCGUCACCUCGAUGACGUUAUCUUCGGAGACUUCAGCAGCUUUCGACAUGAUGGCGGUUGUAUUGGUCCCACCGGGCGUGCCAAAAGUGUGUUGGCGCUAGAAAUCGGUCAACCGAAUCCCAGCGACCGACACACGACCCGGGAGAAUCUGCUUAGCUCCUGUUCGGGUGAAUGCCCUGGUGCAGUUCGCGCGGCGUGCCAGCCAAUCUGACCUGUUGAUUGGCAAGGAAGAAUACGUGUCAGGUCCAGAAAUCACGAUCGGCUAAGUUUCCGAUCGAGAGAGUUUAUCAGCGAAUCGACCGAUUUACUGUAGUAAUGAAAUCGGCUAUAAGACAGCCUGAUCUCUGUAGCCUUGUAGACAGGGAAUUACUAAAGUAAUCGAUACAAAGCUAUGAUAACAACACUAGGAACAGAUCUAAUCGGCAAUAGAUGAAUUUAAUAACAGAAUAUAGAAAGAGCCGAAACUACCGAUUCCUAGCUGGAUAACUAGUGAUAAAGACUAGAAAAACAGGUAAAACCUAUGGAUCUAGCAAAUAUCGAUAACUAGUGAAUAAAUCUAAACGAAACAACAGUGAUACGCCCGAAGUUAAAGCUUAGAUAUUACUCGAUAAACGGAACUUACAGAAUCGGCCGGAGAUCAAGAUGAUGCAGCCCUGCCAACCCGCACGAACUCGUGAGAAGAGAAAAGUAAUGGCGAAGUCGCCUGCUUGAAAGUAAGUACGAAGAAAAAGUAGCUUGUUGUAUUGAUUGGUUGAUGAUUACAGAUUUACAAAGGUAGCUAUUUAUAGCCCCAUACAGAUAUCUUCUUAACCGACUAGAAUUCUAUCCCUAAUUCAAACAGAAAACGAAUAUCUACAAGCACGAUUCGUGCUAGGUUAGUUACUCCACGCUUCGUGGGCUGAUUUCCAGCUCACCCUUCUAUUCCAAGCCCAUACAGGCCCAAUUAACCCAUCCUCCUAAUCGGCCGAUUCCUCAUCGGCAAAAGGCUACCGAUUGGGACUCUGGUAUAUUCGACCCGAAACGAGACAGAAGUCACCGGCCGAUCUCACACUGUAGCACCACUUGGCCGAUUCCCAACUGUGCUCCUCCGAUUCCCUCUCUUCUUGGCGCCGAUUCUACUAGUGACGAAAUCUGGCGUCAACAGUAUAUAUAACCAUUCUUGUAUUGUUUCACGCCACCGUUACUACUACGUCCUAAUUAACGAAUCUUGAACUGUUAGCCCUCCGGAUGGACACAAGGGCAGAAGACCCGAGGUCGUACAAAGGUGAUGGAAGGGAGGCUUGUCAUCACGGAAGUGACAGAAGAGGGCAGGCCGGUUGCUCCCGAGAAAGUAGCAAAGAAGUAUAUGAGUCAGAUCGGGGCAAUCGUCCGGGACAACGUGCCUAUCAGCAUCAGAGAAUGGAAGGGCAGAAGCACUAAUCCGUACGCCCUUCCAGAGACAGAAAAGAAUAUGCUGUGGGAAGACGUGAAGAGACAUUUCACAUUCCCCGAAGGAUAUAGUGAGAAGGAUGUCAAAGCGUGGACGCUUAAGAAGAUGGCUACUCAAUUCCAGACAUUCAAGAAGAUGCUGGAUACCCACUACAUCAAGAAGGGCCGAACUCCAGACUUCAACGCGUGGCCAAAGUUGAGGGACCACUGGGAUGCAUUUGUUGAAUAUAAGAGGAGUGAAGAAGGUGUGAAAAAGAUCACGACCAACACAGCAAAUGCUAGUCAGAAGGGCUACCACCAUCAUUUGGGGCGAGGUGGGUAUGGCUCAGCAAUUCCCAAGUGGAGGAAGAUGGAACAAGAUCUGAUCGAACGGGGAAUCGUACCUGCAACUAUUGAAUGGCCCGAACGAUCAAAAAAUUGGUACUACGCUCAUGGAGGCUCCCUAAGCCAAGAGGAUGGGAUGUUGAAUAUUAAUGACACAAUACGUGAGAAGGCCGAACAUCUCAUGAAGAACAUUGAAGAUUCUAAGGCUGGGAGGUUGAAGGUGGACCGAGAAAAUGAUGAGCUCACAUUGGCCCUCGGUAAUCCAGAGCACCCAGGACGUUGCCGAGGGUUCGGGGUGGUUCCGUGGAAGUUCACUUUCCGAGGCGACAGCACCUCGUACAGAAGCCGGAAGCGAAGAAAGGAACAGAUCGAGGAGAGCUGGCGGCAGAUGCUAGAACAAAGAAUGAUGGAUGAAAUCAAUCGGCGGGUGGCCCACGCAGUUGCGGAGUUGGCCCAAUCUGGAGCAUUGCCGAAUCCUAACACCGCCAGCCCUUCUCAACGCCUCUUGAGCAGUUGUGCUUCUACAGGGGUCCCCGAUGCGCAGACGCCCAGGUUACCCGUGGAGGAGCAACGGUUCCCCGUGGAUGCCAUCACACAACGGACCUCAUGUGAGCUGCAUGCACCGGUAGGCAACCUCACUAUUAAGGUAUACUUAUACAUAAUAUUUAUGCAAUCUUGUCAAUUGAUCCAGGCCUCGAGAUCGGAGUUCAACUUGUUUACUUCUGCUAUAUGUACAGGUAGCGUACGGGAGUGCGUUAGCAACCCUGGCGGGGCAGAGCAGUCAUGGCAUGGAAAUUCCAACAGGCUACGCCAGCGUCUGCGUAGAGCAAAUAGUUGAUCCCCAGUAUGAAGGUCUAGAGCUCGACUUCCCGGGAGGCGACGGGGAAAAGACAUUGGCAGAUGCGCUUCAUGGGAUAAUUCUAUGGAAGAAAUGCUACAUCAUUAUUCCCGGCACGGAGCCAUCUCCUCAGACCUCAAGACCGCUCCCCGUAGAUCCCCAGCAGCGACCUUCUCCUCAUACCUCGAGACCGUCAUCUCCUGCUCCAGGACCGUCCCUUCCAUCUAUAUCAAGGUCUCCAUCUCCACCACAUCCUAGUGCUGGGAGCGACGACGACAAUAACAACACCCCUCCCCGAUCACCGUCGCCGGCACCAAGAGCGGCCCCCUUGAAGGAACAUGCACCACCACUAAAGAAGUCACGAGCACCGCCUCCCAAGCAAAGACAGAGAAAGAAGAAAACAAAGGAGCCUGAAGUGACUCGUAAGGAACGCUUUGAGGCAAUGUAUCAUGCAGAACAGUGGGCAGAAAUCCAACGAGAGGCCAGUGAGUGGUUCAAGAAACAAGCCGAAGAAAAAAAGGCAAGGGAGAUGGAGCCACCGCCAGUAAGUCGGCGAGAUUUAAACUUUUUUAUCAGGAUGGAAGAAGGAGCCAAGAAAAGGAUACCACUCUUGUCAAACUAUGAACGGGCUCUAGUAAAGGCUGAUGAAAAGGAUAAAAGGAAAGGAAAGUCAUCUUCCAGCGGUCCAGUCCCCGACCUCAGCCAUUUAUCAAAAAAAGAUGCUCAACAGGUAAAAGCAAUGCCCUUGGAUCAACAAGCAAAUGUAUUGAAGUUCAUGGAAGAAACAGGUCUGGGACUUGAUGAAUGCAUAGGGCAAGUUGAGACGCCAACUGCACCGCCCCCUGAGCCGAAGUGGCCUUAUGAGCUAGGAAAACCUCUAGUAAAGCCUUCAUUGGUACGGAAGCUAUCAACAAAGAUGUACGCAUUCCAUCAAUGGUACAUGAUGGCAUCCGUCGACUCGAGGGAGAUGAUCGGCAUGAAGGUAAAACCGAUAGAUUUUCACGGUGAAGGGGAGAAAGUGAUGUGGCUAGACUUCAAGGAUAUAUACGAAGUGUACCAUCAUGAUGCCCUGGACGUCUCUCUGAUCAGCGCUUGGAUUCUGUAAGUGUCCGUUUAUCUCUACAUGUAAAUUUUGGCGUACAUCACCGUACUAACUUCAUCUUCCAUUUCAUGUAGGAUGCUAAUUCAGACAUGCCGCCGAGAGGCGUACCUACAUAUAGGCUUCAUGGAUCCAUCUGUAGUUAACCAACAACAGAUACAAUUAGCGCCGGAAAAAACCUUUGCGGAAAUAUACAAUUUCCUAGACAAACAAACAUUCAAGGAUUUCAUACUACUUUCAUACAACUUCAAGUAAGUGUGUGUAUACCGUCUACUUUCGAUGUCUUUUUCCUUAUCUCUACAUGUUAGUUAGCUCUAAUAUGCAUGAACAUUUUACGCACGCAGCUUCCACUGGAUCCUUAUUAUAAUUGAGCCUGAAAGAAGCCACGUCACUGUCUUCGAUUCGUUAAGGAAAGAUCCGGUGGACUACCAAGAAUUGCAAAACAUGCUAGGCUUGUAAUAAUUCUGGACCUUUAUCUCUAUGCAAAAAUUUAUUUCCUAAAUUUUAUCCCUGUUACACUAUAUCAUUCAUUAUUCUAAUCCGCAGCGCAUGGAAACAAUUCAUAAGGACACACAAAGGUCCAUUCAAAGAAAAACUUACAUGGAACACAGACUUCCCGGUACGUAUGCAGUCUGCACAUUUAUUACAUUGUAUAACACGAAUAUUUCAUAACUUAUUUUUUUCCGCACUGAAGUGCUUAAGACAGGAACCCGGGAAUAAUCUAUGUGGCUACUACAUCUGUGAGCACAUGCACAGUUUUAUGGGACCCAAGGGACCGAAGAUGACGCCGCACAACUUUAAAGUACGUAAAAUAAAACUAUUACUAGUUAAUUAUUUUCUAGCUCCUUAUAUGUAUUUGUUCAUGUAACAUUCACAAAUUUCCAAAUUAUAGAUGUUAAAUAUUCAACAAGGACUCUUGAAGGAAGAAAGAGUAGCGGCAAUAUGUGAAGGUCUCAUUGGAUUCAUAAUGGACGAGGUGGUAAAUCCAAAAGGAGAAUUUUAUUAUGAUGGACGACAAUUAGACACUCCGAUCAGCAACACCACGACGGGAAGAUUGUAGGAAGAUACUUUGAUUUAUUUGUAUAUAUAAUACGCGCUAAUUAUGAUCGAUUUGUACUAAGCUAGUUGAAUUGUGUAUAUGAAUUGUGUAUAAGGAUUGUGUAUAUAUAUAGUAAUUGUAUAAUUACAAAUCCCAUUCGUUUAAAUACUAGUUGAUUUCGUUCUAAAAAAAUCUCAACUACUAAAGGUUAACAAAUUAAAAGGGCCGCGGUACUACGUAUACGUGAUGCAUGCAUGAAAAAUUCAGGCGUCACGGCAGUGCCAUGCAAGCGUCAUUUAGUCCCGGUUGGAAUCCAGCCGGGACUAAAGGGUAACCCUUUAGUCCCGGUUGGUGACACCAACCGGGACUAAAGGGGGACCUUUACUCCCAGUUAAAAGACCCAGGACUAAAGACCCCCCCUUUUGUCCCGGUUGGUUUAUCCCGGAUGGAUUUUCGAGAGAUAUGUACCCUACCAACCGGAACUAAAGGCCAAUAUUGGUAAGCUUUCAAACAACCUUCAAGUGCUAGGGUUAGGACAAACAACUUGUCAGGGAUAAUUCCCACCAGCUUUGGGAACCUUACUGGCUUAACAAAACUUUAACUUAGUUACAACAAUCUCAAUGGUCCAAUCUUAGAGUGGGUUGGAAAUAUGAAGGAUCUUGGAGCUAUAGUUCUUGAUGCAAAUAACUUCACUGGUUUGAUUCCGUCUUCUAUGAGUAAUCUUACAAAAUUGACUCUGCUCUCUCUUACAAAAUGAAUUCGAAGGUCCAAUAUCACCAUGUCUGGGAAGUCUGCCACUUCUUACAUAUUUGAACCUUAGUUAUAACAAUCUGCAGGGUAACAUUCCUAAGGAAAUAUUCCAUCCCGAGUCCUCAAUAACCACAUGCGUGUUAUCCUACAAUAAGUUAGAAGGUCCAAUUCCUCCAGAGAUUUCUAAUCUUUGACGACUGACGGAACUAUAUCUUUCAUCCAAUAAGCUUAGUGGGGAAAUUCCUUCAACCCUAGGAAAUUGCAAAGAGUUACAGAUCAUUGAAAUAGAUUGUAACUAUCUCCAGGGGAGCAUUCCGUUGACUUUUAAUGGUCUAAAGAGCAUGACCUUGCUAAAUCUUUGACACAACAAUUUGUCAGGCUUCAUCCCAACAAAACUGGGUGACUUACCAGCUGCAACAAAUUCCUCACCCAGCUGGAUCUAUCUUACAAUAAUCUGCAAGGCGAAGUACCCACAAAUGGAGUAUUUGGAAACGCCAAAUUUUUCUCACUUCUUGGCAACUAGGGACUUUCUGGAGGAGUGCGGGAUCUACAUAUGUGCCCAUGUGCUACAGUCAUGGAGCAAAGAAACACGAUACUACUACCUGAUCAGGUUACUCAUCCCGGCAUUUGGAAUCAUGUCACCCAUAAUGUUGAUCUAUGCUGUAAUCCCACAGAAAAAGAAGUCAACAACAAGGUACUCAUUGUUAUUUUAUUUUGGUAAGAAAUUCCCUAUAGUUUCUUACAAGGAUCUAGCUCAAGCUACAGAAAACUUCUCAGAGUUCAACCUGAUUGGGAGGGGUAGCUAUGGUUCAGUGUACAGAGGAAAGUUAACUCAAGCUAAAAUGCAAGUGGCUAUCAAGGUUUUUGAUCUUGAGAUGAGAUUUGCAUACAAAAGCUUUGUAUCAGAAUAAGAGGUCGGGUGGGCCGCAGCCCACUCUAAGAUUUGGUCCAAAGAACCCAACGUAAGAAAUCGGUGCUCGAUAGCCUAAGAGGGGGAGGGGUGAAUUAGGCAACUUAAAACCUUAACAUGUGGCUUCAACUACAAAGCAUCAAAAAAUAGACUAAAUCAUGCUAUGCAGAUAUGCAUCUAUGGUUGAUCUAGUGAAAACUUCCCACCCACGAAGAGUUUUACAACUUAGAGCCAAUCCUAUCAAGAUAUUACUCUAGAAUAUAAGAAAUGCAAAAAUGUAUAAAAGUGGGUUAGGAACGAUGCAAACUCGGGACGACGAUUUAUUCCGUAGUAUCGAUAGGAAAAUGACACCUCUAGUCCACUAGAGCUCCACCGAGGAUACGCUCCUGGACACCAAAUCUCUCUCGAUCAAGGUCUUGGACCCACCACAAAGGCUCUCACCAAGCCAGAUGAGAAGCUUGCCAUGAAGGAAAGCUAACCACUCCCUCUCUUCCAUUCACCAUGGCGCCGUCUUUACUACAUAGCUUCUCUAUGAAGGAAGGGUUCUCCCCGUCCCCCGCACACGAUCGUUGUUAUUGAUCCACAUCAAGCUGGAGAGUCGAAGACUUGCCAGCGAGCCACCAAAGGCCCGAGGCGCCAGCACACCAAGCUUACAAUGGUGGUUCACUCCUUGAACCAAUCACAAGGUAGCAACACCUUGAACUCACUCUCUCUAGAUGUAUCCUAGCACUAAUCACUCUCGAAGCAUGUGCUAAACCUUGUAUUAUCACUUUUUGCACUUUUGGUGGGAUGGAUGUGUUCUUGAUGAGUCUUGAUCUUGAAUGAACUCUUGGACACUACAGCAAUUUCAAAUGGGCGAGUAGAGGGGGUAUAAAUAGCCCAUGGACCUCAAAGACCCAUUGAUCCAACGACUAGUAAAAUCUGUGAGCAUCGGAUGAUCCCAUGGUCACUUUAGAUAGGCAUCGGAUCAUCCGGUGCCCCUUGCUAAUGCAUAUAGCCGUUGGACCCCCUGCCCAAAAUUACUCCGAUGCUUCAUCCAAUGGGCAUCGGAAUAUCCGAUGCUGAGGACUUUUUCACCUAAAACCUUCUGGAUGAUUUCAAAGUAAAUAUGUUUAGUCCGAUGCCUCCAACUUCUGACCAUCGGAACAUCCGGUACUAUAGGAUUUUCUCCAUCUUCUUUGCGCAUUGUUCCGACGCUUGUAAAAAGAACCUCGUCAUAUCAUUCGGUGCUUACUGCAACUCAAGCUGAUUUCUCAAUUGUACUAAUUGCUUAGAUGGUUGCUCUAGUGGACCGUCGGAUCAUCCGGUGCUUCAUAUUUUUCUGAGUUGAAUAUCGCAAUUUGCACACAAAAAUACCAUCACUUGGAUUUCUAUCAUUUAAACACUUUGAAUACCAUAGAAUGAUCCAGAUAUUUAUGAAUUGGACACUUGAAUAUCAUGAUUUGGACCUUUUGCCAUGAUUUAGUUUGCAUUCUUAGGAUCCAGAAAAUCUAAGGUACAUGCUAGUCAAAGCAUUAGUUUGUCACUCAGUCAUUAAAAUCACAAAUUAUAACCUAAUAGGACCAUGUUCCUUGCAAUCCAGCUCCUAGAUUUUCCCAUCCGCUGAGACGCUGACAGAGCCAGCCACGAAGCCAGCACCCACGACUCAUGGUAAUCAUGGUAAUAAAAAGGAUCAAGUUAAUGAUUUGAUCUAGUGGCUUGUCAAAUUUUUUGCAUUGUUGGACCACUCUAACUUGAAAUCCUAGAAAUUCUCACUAAAAUCAGAAACAUCAAAUAUUAAUCGUGCAAACUCUAAUAAUUAUAAUCAUUGAUCUAUAAUAUUUUAUAAAAGGUUACCUACCAAACAUAUUCUAAAAUAAACCCUAACCCUAUAUCUAAAUUAUCGAGCUCUGCAAUUAUAAAAAACUAAUCUAAAGUAACCUCCAUAAUCUUCGUCCAAUUUAUUUAUACAUAUCAUUAUAAAGUAUAACUUCAAAUGUUACUCUAAAUUUGUAUCUAAGUUACCCACGUCUAAAUUUGUAUCUAAGUUACCCACGUAUGUUCUUAUUAAAAUAAUCUAAAGUAAACACCUAAAUCUUAAUCUAAUUAUCUUCAUGUGUGUCAUUCAAAAAAGUCCAAAAGUAAACAUUAUGAGUGUUAUUAUUAAUAUAGAAAUACUAAGUUAAGGUAUAUACGCAUGAUGAGUGUCACCAUGUAGACAAUCUGUACAUGUAUGUGGAGAUGUGAUACAAAAUGAAAAAAAAGUGUGAAUGUGGAUAAAAAAUAUAUAGAGUAAUUAAUAAUUAAAAAUAAUCAUAAGACAUAAGUAUACAUAUCAAACGCCUGUCUCGAUCGCUUGGCUUCGUGCCGAAACCAGCUAGCUAAACAGUAAACACCUUUGCCGUCGGGGCUGGCUCCACAAGGUGGCAGUUGUCAGUUGUGCUGUUCGAUCUCCAUCCCACGCUGGCAGGUAGGACACCCGUGAGGCGAUGAAUCGUGACGCGAGCUUCGACGGGCCGCUAGCUUCGACGUACGAGUACAGCGAGCAGUGGCUGGAAUUUUGCAAUUCCUUCGGUUGGGUUGGGUGGUUUUGUGCGGGAUCGGCAAUGGUGACAACUGGACGAGCUGUUUGUGUUGGCUUUGUGCAAACUGCUCUCAAGUACAUUACAUUCAUCUUCUAAUGAUCAAUUUACUGAGUUUGCUGUCGAAGAUGGGCUAACUACUUGGUGAUGCAAUCACAACGCAUGCAAAAGAUGUGUUUCAACUUGCACAGCCACCACCUUGCUGAUGGUGAUUUAGCUAAGUUUCAACUUGAAAUUUCAAACUUCCGAAAAAAAUGCAGCAAGAUCGUAUCUAUGACGCUUGACUCUUUGCAGAAUACUUACAGUUAUCUGGUCCUCAAUUGGAAUAAAUUUUGUUUGCAUAAAAAGUAAAGUGCCACAUUUUCACCUUCAUAGAACUAAUUGUCUCACUAGAUAUUUCUCCAAUUAAUAAUCAACAUUGUACGAGACCCCUACGAAGCACGGCAUUGUAUAGACUAUUCUUGUCGAGAUCGGAUACAUAAAAGUUGACUUGACGCGCUACCCGUUCAAAGAUAACCCAUGAACGAAUCAUGGCCACACGAUACAUUCUGGAAGCGCGAUCAUUACAAAGAUCCAAAUCGGAUUUGAAAACGAAAAUCCAGCGCCGGUAGACCAUUCCACGAGCUGAAUUUUAUCGUCAUCGAAACCGCACUAGACAUGUAGCACGCAUCAGCCCGGAAUAUCUCUGUCCAUUUCCUGCAGAAAAGUACCCUGCGAUUCGAGGCUGGACACGCCGCAACAAUCUUGUCCAGCUCAGACAGUGACGGCCGCACUGUUGAGAAGAUCGAAGCUGUGAAGUGGCGAUAACCGGCGAGUUUGACGGACUCGGGGUCUUCGCUCCAACGCCGUCAAGCUAAGAUAAGAUAUGAUGAUGAUGCAAGUGUGUGGAUUGUAAUACCGCUGUAAGACUGUUUUUAAACCCCUGGGGCCUGAGACAGUUGUGCAUCCAACUUAAGCACUAGUGGUCUCCGUUUCAGCCAUUCCUGAGACCAUCCAAACAGUUAGGUCAGGCAUAAGAGGACAUCAAACGCCUGCCUGGAUCGCUUGGCUCCAUGCCGAAACCAGCUAGCUAAACAGUAAACACCUUUGGCGUCGUCGAUCGGGGGCUCACCCCUGCACAAAUACGGCAGUGCUGUUCGAUCUCCAUCCCACGCUGGCCGGACGCCCGUGAGGCGAUGAGUCGUGUCGAAAGCUUCGUGGAUCGGGCCGCUAGCUCCAGUUUUUCAGACGAGUGGCACGCUCACGUGUGCACGUACGAGUACAGCGAGCAGCGGCUGGAAUUUUGCAAUUCCUUCGGUUGGGUUGGGUGGUUUUGUGCGGGAUCGGCAAUGGCGACAACUGGAUGAGAGCGGUUUAUGUUGGCUUUGUGGGAACUGCUCUCAAGUGCAUUACAUUCAUCUUCUAAAGUAGCUAACCCAUCUUUGUGCUGGCUAAUUUUCAAGUACUUCACAGCCAACCACCUUGCUGAUGGUGAUUUCGCAGAGUUUGAACUUGAAAUUUCAAACUUGGAAAAAAAUACACGAAGAUCAUAUAUAUGAUUGUUUCCAGAAUAUCAUGCAGUUAUCUCGUCCUCAAAUGAACCAUUUUUUACAAAAAAGGACUUUAUCCUACAAUUACUACCAACUUAAAAAAAGGACUUCAUGUUACUAUUAUUAAUUGGAGGGUGGACACUCUAGAAAAACAAAGAAAUCUUAGAAAUUCUCACAAAAAGUCAAAAUAUCUAGCCAUCAAUCAGUAUGCUCAAAUCAUCAUAGCCAUUGGAUCUAUUUAUGUUUUCUAAAAAAUUACCCAUGUAUGCCAUUAUGAAAAUAGCCUAAAGUAACCCCCUAAAUCCAUGUAUAAAUUACCCACCUCUUCCAUCAUAUAAAAUAAACUAAAUAACCCCCUAAGCUUCAUUUAAAUUACCCACUUAUACCAUUAUAAACAAUGUUUCAAAUAACCCCCUAAAUUUUCAACUAAAUUGCCCACCACUAAUACUUAAAAAAUAACUUAGAGUAACCCUUAAAUUUGCAUGUAUAUUACUCACAUAUGACAUUAUUAAAAAUAACAUGAGGUAACCCUACUUUUGAAUCCAAAUCACCUUAAUUAAAAAUAUAUACCAAAUAUAUGAUUCUAAAUCAUUUAUUUCUUACACUUUGGUAUAUGAUAUAAUAAUUAAGGUAACCCUACUUUCGAAUCCAAAUCACCUUAAUUGAAAUAUAUACCAAUAUAUGAUUCUAACUCAUUUAGUUUUUAUGCUAUUGAUAUAUGAUAUAAUAAUUAAGGUAUAUACAUGUGAUGUGUGUGACCAUUUAUGAAGAUAUAGAGGAAAUGAUGAGAAUAUAGAUUUAUAUGUUAAAUUUGCAACUAAAUUUCCCACCACUAAUAGUGAAAAAAUAACUUAAAAAUAAAUUAAAGUGACCCCUUAAAUUUGCAUCUAUAUUACCCACAUAUGUCAUUAUUAAAAAAUAACAUGAGGUAACCCUACUUUUGAAUCCAAAUCACCUUAAUUACAAAUAUAUACUAAUAUAUGAUUCUAAAUUAUUUAUUUUUUACACUAUUGAUAUAUGAUAUAAUAAUUAAGGUAUAUACGCAUGAUGUGUGUCACCAUUUAUAUAAAUAUAGAGGAAGUGAUGACAACUUAUGGUCGGUAUGUGUCAUCGGUACGCGGUUGAGUUAACAUUAUGGCUUAAACUUAUGAUCCAUAGAUAAAUUCAAGCACAUACCGACGAUGCAAAUUGAAAAGUUAAUAAUUAUAAAUGUGGAUGAAAUAUUAUAGAGUAAUUACUAACUAAAAUCUAUCACAAUUAGAUGAAGAUAAUAAGUAUAUAUCUAUAUAAGCAUUGUGUUAGGAUAUUUAACAAAUGAGAGGUAGCUUAAGGUAAUAGUUUCGUAACAAUGGGGCUACAUUUUUUCCAUUGGAGAUUCCGCAUUAGUUCUCACGAGACACGCUAGGAAAAAAUCCUAGAAAUUCUCACUAAAAUCAAAAACAUCAAACAUCAAUCGUGUAAACUCUAAUAAUCAUAGUCAUUGGUCUAUAAUAUUUUAUAAAAGGUUACCUACCAAACAUAUUCUAAAAUAAACUCUAAUCCUAUAUCUAAAUUAUCGAGCUCUGUAAUUAUUAAAAACUAAUCUUAAGUAACCCCAUAAUCUUCAUCCAAUUUACUUAUGCAUAUCAUGAUAAAGUAUAACUUAAAAUGUUACUCUAAAUUUGUAUCUAAGUUACCCACGUAUGUUCUUAUUAAAAUAACCUAAAGUAAAUACCUAAAUCUUAAUCUAAUUAUCUUCAUGUGCAUCAUUCAAAAAAGUCCAAAAGUAAACAUGAUGAGUGUCAUUGUUAAUAUAGAAAUAUUAAGUUAAGGUAUAUACGCACGAUGAGUGUCACCAUGUAGACAAUCUUUACAUGUAUGUGGAGAUGCGAUACAAAAUGAACAAAAAAGUGUGAAUGUAGAUAAAAAGUGUAUAGAGUAAUUAAUAAUUAAAAAUAAUGAUAAGACAAAGAUAAGUAUACAUGUAUAUAAGAGUUAUGUUGAAAUAUUGAAAAAACUAAGAGAGUAGUAGGUAAACAAUUUCGAUUAUUAAUUAGGAGCUCAAUUUUUAAAUAAUUUUCAAAUAUGAUAAUUUUUUUAAAAUAUUAUCCCGUGCAGGAGCACGGGUUGAUGGACUAGGACAACUAAGGCUGAUCACUAGAUAUUUCUCCAAUUGAAACGGUGUUCAACAUCUGCAAAACCCUGCAAAGCACGGCAUUGUACAGACUAUUUUUAUCCAGAUUGGAUACAAAUUGACUUGACCAGCUCGCUACCCUAUCAAAGAUAACCUAUGAACGAAUCAUGCACACACACAUACAUUCUGGAAGCGCCAUCAUCACAAAGGUCCAAAUCGGAUCUGGAAUCGAAAAUCCAGCACCGUAGACCAUUCCUCGAGCUGAAUUUUAUCAUCAUCGAAACCACACGAGACGUCGCACAUCAGCCUGGAAUAUCUCUGUCCGGUUCUGAUGAAAAGUACUUUGGGAUUCGAGGCUGGACACGCCGCUACAAUCUUUGUCCAGCUCAGACGGCGACGCCGGCGCUGGGAGAGAAGAUGGAAACUGAAAAGUGGCAGUAACUGGCGAGUUUGACGGACUCAGGGUCUUCGCCCAACGGCGGUCAAGCUGAGAUAAGGUGUCUCAAUACGAGUGUGUGGAUGAUAACGGUGACGUAAAACUGCUUUUUAAACCCCUGGGGCCUCAGCCAGUUGAGCAUCCAGCUCAUAAUUCCAGUUCAAACACCCACUAGCAAGCAAAUAGAAGCAGAUUAGAAAGGCUGACGCACAGCAGAGGUACCAUACUCUCUCCCUCCCUUCCCUCCCUCCUGAUGGUUUUAACUAUCCUCUUUAUGCUGUUACCUUUUUAAGAUGGUUUUAGCUAGUUACUUGCUGCAACUCUGUAUGGUUUCUCAAAACUAGUACCCCUCCGUAGGUCAUUUUAAGUUUUUUUAUUUUUAUAGAUAUUAUCUAUGAAUUAUCUAUGAACAUAAAAAAUCAAAACCAUCUAUAAUUUGAAACGAAGGGAGUACUUCUUAGAAUUAGCUCUGGUUACAGCAUGAGCUUACGCUGCGUAAUUCAUCUAGUAGUACUUUAUACGCUGCCAAGUUUAUGCUUUAAUUUUGCAGGUGACAAUUAAUAUGCUCCUCAUGCGUCACUCGAUGUUGCUGGCGAAACUCGCCGUGCUUAUCGUAUUGCCUUUUUUGCUGCUGUGUUAUGGAGUUGGCAACGUUUACUGCUCGACAAUUCAUGAGAAUAGAGAAGAUCUGCGCUCAUUGCUCGACUUUAAGAAGCGGAUCAGUUCUGAUCCAAAUGGAGCCUUGAUGAGCAAUUGGACAACCAACACCCAUUUCUGCCAGUGGAAUGGUGUUAACUGCACUUCCACACCACCAUAUCGCGUCAGAGAGCUCAUCCUCACCGGGCUAAACUUGGGUGGCGAAAUAUCCUCCUCUCUUGGAAAUCUGACCUCCCUUAAUUAUCUUGAUCUAUCCAAUAAUAGCUUUCAUGGUCCCAUACCUCUUCUUAACAAACUCCAAAACCUAGAGUACCUUUUAUUAGGAAGCAACCUUUUGCAAGGUGUUAUUCCCGACGCACUUACAAAUUGUUCUAAUUUAGUUACACUAGAUCUCUCUGGAAACAACCUCAACGGUCUCAUUCCUCCUAGAAUAAGCUUUCUUACCAAACUAGCAUAUAUCAAACUUUACAGUAAUCAUGUCACUGGGGAGAUACCAGCAUCCCUCAGAAACAUCACAAAUUUACAACUAGUCCAUUUUUCAAAAAAUCAGCUCAAUGGUAGAAUUCCCGACGAGGUUAUGCAAAUGCCAAACUUAAUGGAGUUGCACCUAAACCAAAAUAACCUAUCAGGUAGUAUUCCUGAGGUUUGGCAAAUGCCAAAUAUAUUGGUAUUAGACCUAAGCGUAAAUAACCUUUCAGGUCGAAUCCCACGAGCUCUAUCUAAUGUAUCUUCUCUUCAGGGAUUGUCCUUGGCAUCAAAUAUGCUAGGCAGUACAUUACCAUCUAACAUUGGAGAUGCUCUACCGAAUCUCACGAUUCUAUA